rnacentral:lncRNA from 1 species
UCUUGAUUAACUAGAGGAUGCUCUGCAAUGUAUUUACAUCAACCUUUCGAGCUCCAAUUAGAGCAGUUCACGAACCGAACUAACUUGAAUUUUACUGUUUUCAAGAUUGGUUUGUUACGUUUUAGGCGAGUUCGAAUUCGAGUUAGAAAUUUGUUACGAUCUCGAGGCUAUUCGAGUCUGUCUUAUUAACUACUUUUGACGAGCCAAAUUCAAACUCAAUUCGAGCUUUGGGUUAUUAAAAACUGUCAAUAUUCUGAACUGAUUUUGAAUCUUGCACACUAUAAUGUGCCACUUACAUUUUCAUUUGCACAAUCAUAAAUUACAUAUAAUAAAUUGUAUACGGUUUUCAUGACAAAACAUAUUGCAUUACCAAGUCUACUAACGAGGUAUAUACUCGAAUUAAUAUGUGAAUUGCCUCUCGAACCUAUAGAGUCGAACAAAUCCUAACACAAGCUUGACCCGUUGUUCGUCAUCUGUGAUACCAGAAAUUGACCAAACAGGAAAAUGGUAAGAAUUAUUUACUGCAGAAAAGCAUUUCAAGUAAAAAUUUAUACUUCUCAAGAUUAAUUGAUUUGGUACCCAGAAAGUGCAACAGGGACACAUUCCAAUCUGUAUCCAGAAAUCCAGGGGAAUCCAAAAAAUGAAUUUUGGGCCAGUCUUUCACUUAGCCGUAAAGGGGUAGAAACCUUUAUUACAGUUAUUACAAAACUGACAAUUUUAUCUCUUGCAGACUGGUAGUAUGUAUCUUCCAGAGUUCGAAUUCGACCUAUCAACUAAGACGAAACAAACGAUAUGCCGUUUUCACUGCUUCUUCAUCAGGUUGCGGAUCACGUAUGGCAGGAUGCCUCCAUGGUUGAAGUAUUCCAGUUCCACCUACCAAUCCCAUACGGGAAGAUACAAAAGAUCAGCAACAAUGCAGUAACUCAAUAGUCUUGUCUAAGGGGAGUGGGGUCGUAAGGCAUACCUCUGUGUCGAAUCGGACAGUGCAGGUGAAAGACUUCCCGUUAUCGGUGGUGACAGUGACAUCCUGGCCGGGUCUAAUCUCGCUGAUGUUGCUCGGGAGGUCGAUGGUGUACCGUUCAUGACCAGUGAGGCCUAGACUGUCGGCAUCUUGACCGGCCUUGAAGCAGAGAGGGAUUAUUCCCAUUCCUACCAAGUUGCUGCGAUGAAUCCUCUCGAAACUCUUUGCAAUCACUGCUUUAACUCCCUGCAAGUCGGAUAAAAAGAUUAGAACAUACCGAUACGAAUUCAAACUGAAAAAAUUGGGGAAUCCAAUUGCGACAAACCAAUAGCAUGGGGCCCUUGGCAGCCCAAUCUCUGGAGCUUCCACUACCAUACUCAGCACCAGCAAGAAUGAUGGUGUCCUGUCCUUCGUUCUUGUAUUUCUGAAUAUAGUAGUUCAGAAGUAAACAAGAUUCAGUGCACUGGUUUAGUAAGAAUCUUUAAAUAGUUAUAUAGAACUGAAGCAUCAUUGUGUAUACUUACCGAUGCAGCAUCGAACACGUAGAGUUUCUCUCCGGAGGGUACGUGAACAGUCUUCGGGCCGACUUCACCAUUCAGGAGCUUGUUAACGAUGCGGAUAUUAGCAAAAGUUCCUCUGGCCAUGAUCUCGUCGUUUCCACGCCGACUACCGUAGGAGUUGAAGUCCUUGCGGUCAACACCCUUCUCAAGGAGGAACUUGGCGGCGGGGCUGUCCUUGUGGAUGCUUCCUGCCGGGGAGAUGUGAUCGGUUGUGAUGCUGUCUCCGAAAUUCAGCAGACAGUAGGCAUCCUUCACCUUGCGAGCUCCGGGAGGAUCGAGAGUCAUGUUCUUGAAGUAAGGUGGCUCGUGAAUGUAGGUGGAGUUAGGGUCCCAGGAGUAUGAUGUUGCAGUUGGCACGCUUAGGUCGUUCCACAUAGGAUUGCCCUUUGUGAUAGCUUCGUAUGUGCUUUUAAACAUUUCGGGCAACACACUGGAUUGAACAGCCUAAACAACAUACAGAAUUGGUAAUCAAUGAUCAUUUCUCGCUUGGAAAUCAUUCUGGAAGCAAUUAAAGGACACAGACGUUGAAGUUAGUAAAUAUACCUGUGCAACUUCUUCUGUAGUUGGCCAGAUAUCCCUGAAAUAGACAUCUUUGCCAUCCUUGCCUUUUCCAAUGGGCUCUUUGUCAAAGUCAAUGUCAACCUGGUAAUUCAAAUGGUUCAUUACUCAUUUGCAACAAAGUGAAUGAUCGAGCGAAGUAAGAAAGCCAUGGAUAAGGAACAUACAGUGCCAGCAAGGGCGUAAGCAACCACUAGCGGUGGAGAAGCCAGGUAAUUUGCUCUUGUUAAUGCAUGAACACGACCUUCAAAGUUUCGGUUUCCAGAAAGCACAGCUGAGGCAACAAUGUCUGAAGAGAAGAGACAGGAACGUAGGCAGAGAUUCAGAACAAAAGGUUGGUAUGCCGAGCCCAAAAUGUGGAACUGGACUCGUCAGAUUAAGAAUUACCAUUUUCUGUGAUAGCAGAAGCAACAGAAUCUUCGAUAUCUCCAGAGUUACCAAUGCAUGUGGUGCAACCAUAUCCGACAAUGUUGAAGCCCUGGUGGUUCAAAUACUCUUGCAACCCACUGAAAAAUGCAAAGAUUAUUUAAUGCUCGUUAGUAUCCAAAUUAUUGUACGAAAGCUAAGCACCCCACCCCUUUAAAAACAACAGUAUGCAAAUACAGCACCUUUUGAGCAGAUAUUUUGUAACCACUCCAGAGCCUGGAGCAAGACUAGUCUUUACCCAUGGCUUGACCUGGUGGACAGAAUUUCCAAUACAUUAGAAAAGUACAGCCUUAAAUUGGAUUUUUUCUUCUGAACUCUGAAGAUAAAAGGUAAAAAAAAAUUAAAUAGAGGACAGAACAAUAGACAUUCCACGCAAUAUAUUCAGAUAAGUGUUCACACCUUCAAGCCAAGUUCGUGGGCCUUCUUGGCAACAAGGCCAGCCCCGAGCAUGACACUUGGAUUUGAAGUAUUGGUACAGCUGGUGAUUGCAGCUAUGACACCACUGCCGUGCUUAAGCUCUGCUGGUUCCCCAUUGAAUGUGAACUUAGCCACUUUACCUUGUGCUUCUUUUGGUAUGGCAAAACCCUAAAGAAAAAGAGUGUCAACAGAGAUAGUAACAAAGAUAACUCUAUGUGAACAUGAGAAUGGACUACACUACAUCUUAAACGUCAAAAUAGCCAACUAUGGACAGGAGUAAUCUAAUCGAACAUGUAAAAAUCAACCAGCUGUAUAAUAAGUAAAAAUACUAAUUUGAAACUAACCUUGAAUCCAACUUUGCUAUCAAGGCAAGAAUGCCAGUCUGACUUCAUCUCUCUAAGAGCAACACGAUCAUGAGGUCUGAAGAGAAAAUGGAACAGAGAACAAGUCAUUAGAAACAGUUCGCUAAAGCAACAAUGUGGACUAUGGCAUUUCCAAAUAGCAGUUAUGUAAACGCAAACCUCUUGGGUCCAGAAAUACAAGGCUCAACCUCCGAAAGGUCCAGUUGUAGGUAUGAUGAAUACACUCCUUCUUGUUGUGGCUGACGUUCAAGAUAAUUAAAGACAAGUUAGUAACUGAAUGAAAACUUCACUUCAUUACUUCAGCCGUACAAGUAUGAUAAAAAUAUGACUAAAUAUUAACUCAAACACCUCAUCAUGGUCAACAAACAUAUUAUUUGCCCGUAGAUAUGCCUCAAUCAUUGAAACCUGCAGUAUGAAAAAAGGAAAGGAUAGAGUGUCACAUUGAAUGUUGACAUUGUAAUUGUCCAACUAAACGAACACAUAAAAACAUGUAGCAGAUACAAACAGAGAAUAGAAAGUUGACAAACUUACAGUUUCAUCACUCCUUCCUGUCAAUUUAAGAUAUUGUAGAGUCACACGAUCUACUGGGAAGAAUCCCAUAGUUGCACCAUAUUCGGGUGACAUGUUGGCUAUGGUCGCCCUAUCAGCUAGGGAUAGCUCCCUCAUUCCUCCUCCUAUUACCAAAGCACAAACAUGAGAUAAAGUAGAAAGAAUAUACCUAGAUCAACUGAGCAAUAUUUGUGGCUAAAAUUGAUGAGAAGAACAGUACCGUAGAACUCCACAAAUUUCCCGACAACACCGUGUUUCCUGAGCAUUUGAGUUACGGUUAGAACCAAGUCAGUGGCCGUAACACCAUUGCGCAAUUUCCCAGACAACUUAAAUCCAACAACACCGGGUAGAACCAUGCUCAUUGGCUGUCAUUAGGGAAGCAUUUCAUAUCAGAAUGAAGUUGCAAAAGACAUAAUUCAGAAAGAACAAGGUCACCACUGACCGGAACAGUUCAGGUUAACAAAUAUAAGGGAACCAGUAGCUUCAAAUCAAUACAUAAUUCAAUGAAACCCAAAAGGAAGCUCCAACAGGAUUAAUUACCUGACCCAACAUGGUGGCCUCAGCUUCAAUGCCUCCAACUCCCCAGCCAGCAACUCCUAGUCCGUCAAUCAUGGUAGUAUGGGAAUCAGUUCCAACCACACUAUCCGGAUACAUCACACCGUCCUUGUUGAAGACGACUCGGCCAAGAUACUCAAGAUUCACCUGAAAGUACGACAAACCAGUGAAACUCCAACAGUUAUUGAACCAUUAUAUAUAACCUCUGAAGGAAGAUAAGUAUUCGAUUCACAGUUUACAAUUUUUCCAACUCAUAUAUUAAGAAAAAAAAGGUGAAAGCAAAAUAGAAGAGAAAGAUAACUACAGAGAAUCACUUCGGUAAAAGAGGAAAAUCAAUUCAAGUCUGUAUGGCUUAUAGGGCAUAUAAUAAAUUAUAGGACUUAUACCUGGUGCACAAUGCCAGAACCAGGAGGCACAACAAGCAUGUUAUCGAAAGCAGUGGAGCCCCAUUUCAGGAAAGCAAAUCUUUCCUUAUUUCGCUGAAACUCAAGUUCCAUAUUAGCUUGGACAGCAUUUUCCGAUCUGGUUACAUCAACUUGAACUGAAUGGUCAAUUACAAGAUCAACUGGGACCUGCACAUUGUAGUGUCAUAAGACGUCAAAUGAUAAACUAAAGCAAGCAUAGCUACAGAAUAAAAACUAAAUAAUAGGUCUUAUAUGUUGUUUAUUGUGAAUUAUAUUGUAUGUCUAGCACAUUGCUUCACCAUAUUUCACAUACCAAAGGAUUGAUCUUGCUGGGAUCACUGCCGAGGUUGCCCAUUGCAUCACGCAUAGAAGCAAGGUCAACGACAGCUGGUACUCCAGUAAAAUCCUGAAAGCAGAUAAGAGAAUUAGAUAAGUGUAAUCAUGAAUAAACAGCAAUUUGAACUCCAGUUACAUUUUUCAUAUCGUUCCUCAAAUACCUGCAAGAGAACACGAGCUGGCUUGAAGGGGAUCUCUACUUGUUUAGGAGAUGAAUUUUCCCAGUCGACAAUCUUCUCAACAUCUUCUUUGGUGACUUGGAAAUUGUCACAAUUACGAAUCGCAGAUUCCAACAGAAUUCUGAUGGAGUAGGGAAGCUUAUCUGUUCAAGAUGAACGAACACACGAUUCGAAUUAAUCAAGGUCAUAAAGCAUCACCAAAUCUUACUACAUACAACUUUUACACGGAAAACUUCAUAUGUUGUUCAAGAGAAUUACCGAUACGGGGAUCGUUAAGAGCAGGCAAGCUGUAGAACUUUCCAAAUUCACCACCACCUGGCUUGGGAAGGGACGUGAAAAUUUCUUUGUAAGGAUGCUCCGAAGCUGCAAUCAUCAAUAACAAAAUCAGAUGCAUAAAUCUCAAUGCCAACAGUCCAGGAUCACGAGCUAAAACUCAAGACAGUUCAAGGAAACACACUCAGGAUUUCCAUAUGGAAUGAUGCACAAUGUUGAUCAUUGCAAGUUUACCAGAAAGGUCAUCAAUUAUGAAUUAUCCAAACAUAUGUGCACCGACACUUAAGACUGACAACGACAUCACAAAGAUGACAGAUAAGAGGCAAUUAUCCAAAAAUGAAAUCUGACUGAAUCGGAGGUUGAUUUUACAUAUUGAACGUUCCUUCCAAUCAUAAUGAACGAAUAAGCAAACACACGAACAGAACGAAAUUCGACUCAGGUGACAAAACGGCAUUGAGCUAAAAUGUCGACUGAAGAAAAGUCAAAACAAUCAUCCGCAUCCAAGCUCGUCACUAUCAACUACUCCAAGCAAGAACGUAAAUCCAACCCAAAAAAAAACAACGAGUAAGCACAAAACCGUUACCCAUGGACGCGAUCUUCCUCUGGAACUGCUCAAUCACAGGGAUACCAGCAGCUCUGCCGUGCGCGCGUACGGCACCAGCACCCUGAGACUGCCAAUUGACACCGUGGCUCCACCGCGGCAGGGAUCGAACCGCGGAGAAGCAGCUCAGAGAUCGCUGCUGCUGGAACUGGUGUCCAUUCCCCAGAGCCAAUUUCGGUGCUGCCGCCGCCGCCGCCGUCGAGGAACCACCACUGGAUGCAGCCGAAGAGGCAGAGAGCGAGGAGACGUUUCUAGCCUUGGACGAAGCUCUCCGGAUGAGCGAAGAGGCAGCCGAGGCAGAGCCGUUUAUAUACAUGACGAGGACGUCGAUCGCAUACAAAACAACCCGAGUAUGGGAGCAGCAGGUGGUGACGAUUGAUGAUGAGGAAGGAGAUAAGAUCUGAACAGACUGAUUGCAGAGAGGAGGAGGGGGCGUGUGGAGAGCAAGGGUGACCUAGGGCUGAGUGCCGAGCUGGAGUAAAAAUACUGGUUUUCGAAUUCGAAUUGUUCGGACUUUUCUCUGGCUUGCCUUUCCAGAGUUUGGAAUAGUCGGAGGAGAAUUACGAAUGGUGGGGAUGGGUUUCCACCGGGUGCGGGCGAGUGUAGUGGAGAAAUCGGUGGGUCUUGUUCCAGAUGGGAGAUGAUUGGUCGACUUUCCAAAUUUGGGGGAUGGUUUUCGAGUUGUAAGCAUUUCGGUUUGAGCUUACGGUGGGAGUGAGCACAGGAGAUUGUGUUGGGGCUUUGUUUACUUUUGGCAAGUUUCGCAUGUGGGCUCGUUGAGUUAUUGGCUAUUAUUCGCGCAGAUCUGGGGGCGGGGGAUUAAUCGGGGGAGUUUUUGGCCAAUUUGGCUUCUGGUUACAUUGCGAAAUUCAACGAGGCGCUGACCAAUUUGGUUUUUUCUAUGGUUACAUGAGAAUCCUUAGUAAAAUAAAUGAUUGACGGUUCGAGAAUCACGUUAAAAUGGUCUGAUUAAUAACGAUAACAGUCGAGAUAAUGGAUGAUCUAGUGCUAAGUGUAUAAAGGGAAAAUAAGAAUAGAAUAAUAACGGAGUAACACAGGGGAUUAACGUGGUUUUUGGCUUUGAGGUUGACUAAUUUACGGAGAAAAAGGGAAAUAUUAUUAGGAGUUUUGGUAGAGUCUACAUAGAAGGAGACUAAGAUUUCGGUUAACCCAUAACCAUAACGGGACUAACCCGAUAUACUUAAUAAUUAUUAAGCUCCAAAUUUCGUACCAUGUGGAAUAAUGUCGAUUGGGUUCUAUGCGGUUAGAGGUCUACGCACAUAUAGAGGACUACAUUGAGCAAGACAUAGAUCCAUGCACGUUAAGACCUCUAUCUCGGACCAAACUCGAACUUGAGCUUCAAAGCGGACUCAACUCGAGCUUGUUAAGACCUCUACCUCGAACUAUAAAGUAAUAUCAUCAUAUAAUCACAUAGCUAUUUCGCAUUUGCACUACCGCAUGAGUUAGCCUCAUGCUUUCUGUUCUUAAACUGGACAUCAAAAUUCAAUCUUAAAUAACAUAUCAAAACCAGAGUCACCAACAAAACUAUAUGAUUAAUCACCAUUCAUCAAUGGCUGCCGCGACUAACUGUCCCUUUGAACACAUACACCACAUCACCAUCCUGAACACCAUGCCACCUCAAGCUACAGUUUCCCCUCAUGAUCCUCUGCCUGUGUAUAAAUAUAUAAUCAUCUUCCGGCAACACUUUACUCCCCACCAGAACCCCCCUCAGCUCCUCAACAGUCCCCGAAUCCUUCACCUCCACCGGAAUCGCAAUUCCGUCCAACAAACAAGACGCCGUCUGCACCACCAACCUGAUCACCACCCCACCAUCAUCCUCCGAACCCUUGCCUCGCCCCGCCCUCGCGCCACUCUUGAAAAACACAACCACCUCCCCACCUCCCCGGACCCCAUACUCGCUCAGGUUCCGAAACUCGUCCUCCAGCUCCACUCCCGACCAGUACAGCGACAUCCUGCAAGGAUGUCGUCGUCGCUGUACUACAAUGUCGAUCUUCUCCCUCAAGCUUCGAACCGUGUCGGUUGUGUCGACCUGGACGGUGAAGUUUUUUGACGAUGGGAGUUUGAUAGUGAGGUUGAAGUGAUGAGGGUUUGGUUUGAUGGCGAGGUGGAUUCUUGUGCCCUGGUUGAUGAUCGGAUAAUCUUCCAUGUCGAGCCCGUCAAUUAGCUCCCAGCUCGAAACUGAUAGCGUUUGUGAUUCGACCGGGAUUCCUAGUAGUGAUUCAAUCUUGCUCUUCAUCUCGAGUACCGGCUCCUGCUCGGAGAUUUCAAUGGGGAAUUCGCCCUGGCAGGAUACGAUUGUUACCUCCUUCAUCCUGUUUGUUCAAUUUAGAAGAACAAAUGGUGGUUUGGUUUGGUUUGUUUUAUCCCUGUGAUCAUAUAACAAUAUUUGUGUGACCAAUUUAGGGUAACAUUUUUGUGUGUUGCAAUUCUCAUGCAUAAUGUGCCUUCACAAGUGCAGAGAAAUCUGUUAUGAUUGUAAAAACCGAUUUCGAAAACUAGAGAUAACCGAAGGGUUCGAUCCAACCGAAGAAAUCCUUAUCGGUUGAGGAAUUGGGAUGGUAAUUACUAAUUAGUAAUUACAGAUUCAAAGUUAAAUAACACCCAGUCAAACAGCUGGAAUAUUGGGCUGGCCCAUUUACUACUACACAUCCUAUGGGCUUUCUGUACAAAAUCCCAAUGUUUUCAGAAUCCAACCGGACCGGUUCGACCGCAAACCGGAUUCUUGUUUGAAACUUGAGAUGGAUCAGAAGUCAAAAUUGGAUGUUGGCUUGACGUGACUGUGAAUUUUGGUUCAACCGAGAUUAAUGUGACGGUUACGUUGGAUCAGAUUUUUAUACAUUUUUUUUUGAAAAAUAUGGCAAGUAAGAUUCAAACAAAGAUGUGAGGUAAAUAAAAAAAUGAGGGAUAUAAGUUCGAUCACAAGAGGUUAGACUCGACCUUAAUCAACUAAUAUCAACCACGAAGAAAGCAUAUAGAAUUACAACAACAAGAAUCCAGAAUACAACCGUCAAGCAUGAUUCAACUGUAUGCAAAAAAGCACAGGAAAAACUCAAUGAGAAGCAUAAGGGAAAGAAGAAUAUUCCCUAACGGAGUAACAACAAAAGCCUCAAAUUCUCCGAUCGUGGAGCAUUUGAACUAACAAAUCUUAACAGAACUUCAAGGAUUCUCUCAAGAACAUCAAUCGACUGAGUGAACUUUUUUUCUCAUAUCAUUAAUUAUCAAAGAUGACACGAAUUAUAUACAUGAGUUCAAUGUUGAGAACGUAACGUCUCAUUAAAUACUAGGAACCAAUUAACAAAUAUUCAAUAGGAAAAUAUCCUUUGCCAGCAUCAAUUAUUUAGAUGGAAGUUGUCACCUUUUCUUCUUCUACAAUAUUUUCUUUGCUCACUAAUCAAUUAUUAUUACUUUUUUUACAAUAUUACAAUAGGAAAAGCCAUGAUAUGUAGAAGAGUUCCCUCAGUAAAAGCUGAGGUGAAAUACUAAAAAAAAACACUUAUUUUACUGUGAUUUUUCCUUAUUAAAAGGUGGUGCCUGCUGGCUGCUGCCGUGGCAGAUGUUGUUGAGGGAUAUGGUUUUGCUUUUAACCAACUUUGUAAUGCUAAAAUCUUAUUUUACUGUGUUAAAUAGUAAAAAAAAAUCUUAUUUUACUGUGGUAAAUAUUCAUUACCAAAAUGUUUAUGACAUGAUUGAUCUUUUACAUUACUUUUUAUUUUUUAUUUUCCAAACACUCAAGUGAAGAAUAGCCGGCGGCUUAAUGAUCUUUCCACAGUGGUGAAGCCAACGAUAAAAGAUUUAAUGGUAAAAUAAUCUUCAUAAUAUUAUGGUAAUUUUUAAAUAAUUGAUGCAAUUCCUACUUUAUUACUGUGGUAAGUAACUGAAUCACGGCCGGGUAUUGUCCAUGGUAAAAAUGACAGAAGGAUUUUUCAACGUUACAAUUCAGUGUUUUUCAUGUCUAAAUAAUUGAUUACAGUUCAGUGUUAUAUGGUUACAAUUCAAUCCAAUAUAUAUCAAACCAUUUUGAAUUCAACUUAGGAAGCUUGGUUUUGAUUAUCCUCUUCUAGUUUGUGGACUAAGCUCUCCUUUAAUUUUGUAAAAAAAUGUGAAUUGUUAGCCAACAUACACCAACUAAAAGCUUGGUUAUUGUAAUUAUAAACAAAUAGAAAAGAAGAUCAAUGGCGAACAUCGAUGGAGUUAGAAAAUUGAUUACGAAGUUCGAAAUUCGUACUUAAUAAUAUGUGGUGGAAAAAAGUUAUAAAUCCAAGCUCAAUUUUGUAUAAUUGAAAGCACAUUCAACCCCACUACCAACAACUAUCAAAAUCCUUAAAAAAUGUAUUUUAACUUCAUUUGACUAUUAUUUAAAGGGUUUAACAUGGUGAAAUCUUAAUUUUUAGUCAUUCCCAACAAACAUGUCAAAUAUUAGCCAAUUUGAAAUUUUGAAAGUUUUCAUGUCAAAAUUGGUCAAUUUUCGUGUGUUAUACUAAGGAAAUUUGGCCGUUUUCGCAAUAAAAUAUCAAAUUUUCAAAUCGACUAAUAUUUGACAUGCAUGUNNNNNNNNNNNNNNNNNNNNNNNNNNNNNNNNNNNNNNNNNNNNNNNNNNNNNNNNNNNNNNNNNNNNNNNNNNNNNNNNNNNNNNNNNNNNNNNNNNNNNNNNNNNNNNNNNNNNNNNNAAAGUAAUACUAACCAAUGAAUCAAAUCGGUGGGAUAUGAGGUUGUUAUAACUAACGCUCAUAGCAGAUGAUCGAUAAUAAAAUUGGAAAAUUCAUGUGUUAUUUCUAUUUUGGCGGCCGUCGAGGUAAGGGUUCUCUUUAAAGCUUUGAGAAUUGCAAAACUCACCAAUCUCAUAACUUUGAUCCUCUCGGAAGUCUCACCCAUUGUUAUGGCCCUCAAAGGCAAUAAGACCAUCUUCAAUGUUAGGACUCAAAAUCUUAUAAUUGAGUAUUAUAUUUGGAACUUUAAAAUUACAAAAAGGUGUUUUGCUCUAAUGGUACAAUCUUAUAUUUAGGAUUCACAUUUUUACCUUUUGAGUGUUAGUUUAAUUUAACAUUUUAUAUAAAUACCUAUAAUUAAUUGAAACAAACAUUUCGAUGUAAUUUUUGUAGACUUUACAUGUUUUUUUUCUCGUUUAAUAUAACAUCAUAAAUUAUGAAAAUAUAAAAAUAUAAUCAAAUUGAUAUUUUUAUAUUCGCAUUUAAAAGAUAGGAAUUUUGAUAUAAAAAUUAUCCAAAUCGAAAUUAAAAUAAACAAGUUAUGAAAAAAAUAAAAAUGAUGGGGGAAACGAAAAUGAUUCACAGAUCCUCAUAAACCCUCUCUACGAAUACAGAUCGUUGGAUCAGUGAGAUAAAUUUGAGACUUUGAGACUUUGGCUAGUUAAAUAUAGGACCAAAAGUUCUCAAAAUUUAGGAUUAUACAUUUAUAGGACUCCUAUUGAAAAACAUUGAGUCUUAUAAAUGGGAUUUUAGAACGUUAGCCCCUUCCACCGGAGAUGGUCUAAGGAGGAGUGGGCCUGACAAUGAUAUACUUGACUCCUCGAUAUGUAGGGAAUUGAAUUCUCCCGACUCAUGAUUGCAUUCCAUUAUCCUUUACCUUUUGUAGAAUCAACAAAGCGGUUAAUGAUGUAGGUUAGAUUAGAUUUUCUUCCACAUGAUUGGAUUCAUUAUAUUCUCAUUUUAAGGCUUUUAUAAGAGAUUACUCUAUAUGGAUGAAUACACUCAAUUUUCAUUUAAAAAAACGAAUCAAUUUAGUAUUUUGCACUUGAAAUGAUAAGUCUUAAUGGUACGAAGUUCGACUGUCCAAAUUGUUAUAGCUAGGACUGCGAUUGAAUAGUAGUUGAAUUGGUAUCGUAAUUUGAUAGUGCAUUACUAACUUAACGAUCAAUUUACAAUCGAACCGAUUGAACGGUUAGUUUUCCAUGCUCGUUUAUGUAUAUUAUUAGCAUAUACAUCUUUUUAUGUAAUUAUCAAUAUUUCUAUGUAAAUAAAGCAGGUUGUUGCAAGUGUUGUUGGCCGGACAUCAGUAUUUAAUUUUUAAAAAUACAUAAAUUAUGUAAAAUAGUAAAUAAAUAAUUAACACAAAAGUGAACAAAUUUGAUGACGUGGAAAAUGGGUAGAGGAAGAGGAGCAGGUGAAAUGAAAGCCAAAUGGUGACCUUCUUCCUCCUAGCAUAACGUUUAAUAUAUUGAUAAUGUGACAACCCAUACUUGUUCUUUGAUAAUGUGGAGUUGUUGUGAAAAGAAAAAAGAACGGUUCAAUGUCGAGAGAGGCUGCAUUACUAUUUGACCCGAAAAUUACGAGAUAAUGUAGUCUUUGUUCGAUCGUAUCGACUCAAUCGCGUAGAAAAAGUCGAGGUGAUGAACGUCAAAACUUUCAGUAAAUCAUCGUUACUAUCUGUCGCUAAACCAUCGUAAGGUGAUCUAACAUCAACCUAAUUGAACGUUGCAUGUAACAUGCAUACGUGCCCACAUGCAUAGGAGCUCUCUCUAGGCCAGGCACCAUUCUUAAAUCGAACAUAACUCCAUGAAAUUAUGUUGUGAAUCCUUUCAAAUGCAUUUAAUAUUUAAUAUACCAUGACGUCCAUAUAGGAAAUUAGGAGUACGUUGAAGCUAAGUUGUACGUUGCUUUGAAGUGGUGUCGUAUAUGAUAAAAGAGUGUACGACUUUAUCUUUUCUGUUGUUUGCCGGUAAAUAUUUCCCAACCAAUAGACGAUAGGGAACCUAUGUAUUCUGAAUAUUGUGAUGUCAUAUGGCACAUAUCCACUUCUCGAGUUAUUUCGAUGCAUAAUUAAUUGAUAUCCAACAUUCGUACCCGAUAUAGAUAGAUAUUUUACGUAAUUUGUACACAAAUUAUUUUUAUCGGUACUUCAAAUUAGUGCUUGAUACUUGAUAUUCGAUCUCUGACAGCCACCUAUAUAGAGAAGACUGAAACGUGAUCACAAAACUAAUCCACGAGUCCAAGAUAAUCAACAAGUCAUUCGGUACUAGAUGAACGAACCGAAAAAUAUAUAUUUUAUUAGUUAUGACUCGAAAUGUAAAAUGUAAAAUUCGGGGUUCUCUUUGGAUAUUUCUAGGUGUNNNNNNNNNNNNNNNNNNNNNNNNNNNNNNNNNNNNNNNNNNNNNNNNNNNNNNNNNNNNNNNNNNNNNNNNNNNNNNNNNNNNNNNNNNNNNNNNNNNNNNNNNNNNNNNNNNNNNNNNNNNNNNNNNNNNNNNNNNNNNNNNNNNNNNNNNNNNNNNNNNNNNNNNNNNNNNNNNNNNNNNNNNNNNNNNNNNNNNNNNNNNNNNNNNNNNNNNNNNNNNNNNNNNNNNNNNNNNNNNNNNNNNNNNNNNNNNNNNNNNNNNNNNNNNNNNNNNNNNNNNNNNNNNNNNNNNNNNNNNNNNNNNNNNNNNNNNNNNNNNNNNNNNNNNNNNNNNNNNNNNNNNNNNNNNNNNNNNNNNNNNNNNNNNNNNNNNNNNNNNNNNNNNNNNNNNNNNNNNNNNNNNNNNNNNNNNNNNNNNNNNNNNNNNNNNNNNNNNNNNNNNNNNNNNNNNNNNNNNNNNNNNNNNNNNNNNNNNNNNNNNNNNNNNNNNNNNNNNNNNNNNNNNNNNNNNNNNNNNNNNNNNNNNNNNNNNNNNNNNNNNNNNNNNNNNNNNNNNNNNNNNNNNNNNNNNNNNNNNNNNNNNNNNNNNNNNNNNNNNNNNNNNNNNNNNNNNNNNNNNNNNNNNNNNNNNNNNNNNNNNNNNNNNNNNNNNNNNNNNNNNNNNNNNNNNNNNNNNNNNNNNNNNNNNNNNNNNNNNNNNNNNNNNNNNNNNNNNNNNNNNNNNNNNNNNNNNNNNNNNNNNNNNNNNNNNNNNNNNNNNNNNNNNNNNNNNNNNNNNNNNNNNNNNNNNNNNNNNNNNNNNNNNNNNNNNNNNNNNNNNNNNNNNNNNNNNNNNNNNNNNNNNNNNNNNNNNNNNNNNNNNNNNNNNNNNNNNNNNNNNNNNNNNNNNNNNNNNNNNNNNNNNNNNNNNNNNNNNNNNNNNNNNNNNNNNNNNNNNNNNNNNNNNNNNNNNNNNNNNNNNNNNNNNNNNNNNNNNNNNNNNNNNNNNNNNNNNNNNNNNNNNNNNNNNGUCGGUAUUGAUUUUUAUAUUAAUAUUUGAGAUAAUUAACAAGCUAAUAGGGAUCAGUUAAGCAACUAGUUAAUAUACAAUUUCAUAAAAUUUCCCCAAAUCGAAAUGAACCAAUCAACAACUAUCACUGAUAUCACACAACACGACAACAUGGUAAGUUAGCAAAAUCCCAGGUCCCACAUAAUUACUGAGAUCUUAAUCAUUGUUUAAUUAAUCAAGGCACCACAUUGCCUUAAUUCUCUAUAUAAACCUUUAAUUCAACUCUGUUUCCCAGCAUCACAUCCUCCCCAUCUGGCAACAAAAAUCUCCAACAGUGAAAGCAGAAGCCUAACCAAAAAAAGAAACAAAGAUGGAGGGAUCCCAUCUCUUCUUUACUCUUCUUUUGGCAAUCUUUGUUGCAUCAACUCAAGCUCAGCUCCAGAUGAACUUCUACUCCCAGAGCUGCCACAGAGCAGAGCAGAUCGUCCUAGAUUAUGUCAAGGAACACAUCUCCAAUGCUCCCACCCUCGCCUCUCCGAUCCUCCGAAUGCAUUUCCACGACUGCUUCGUCAGGGUAUAUAAAGAUCGAAAAUUCAUCAACCACUACAUCAUCCUUACUUAAUUGGUCGAGUUUGAUGAUGAUUUGAUUUUGGAUGCAGGGGUGUGAUGCUUCUGUGAUGAUCAACUCGACUUCUAACAACACGGCUGAGAAGGCUGCGGCUCCGAAUUUGACUCUAAGAGGGUUUAACUUCCUCGACGGUCUCAAGAGCUUGCUCGAGAAAGAGUGCCCUGGCGUUGUCUCUUGUGCUGAUAUCCUUGCUCUUACGGCUAGAGACUCGGUUGCUCUUAUUGUAAGUUUUUAUUUUUUUUACAAGCCAGUUCAUUUCAAUAAUUCGAAUUUUUGUUAGGUGGUUGAUGAAAUUAUUCUUCUUCUUUUUAGGGUGGACCGACGUGGAAUGUUCCAACGGGGAGAAGGGACGGGAGGAUCUCAAACUCGUCAGAGGCGCUUAACGCCAUCCCUCCUCCGACGAGCAACUUCACCACCCUCCAGAGGUUAUUCGGGAACGUUGGUCUCGAUUUGAAGGACUUGGUCCUCCUCUCCGGUAAUUAAAUGUUUAUUUAUUUUAUGAUAAUUUUUACUAGAUAAUUAUCAACUUGUUAGCCGAGUUAUGACGUUAGAUCAUAUCAUAUAUGAUUCAUUUUGAACCCUCGUGAUGUUAAUAAUCAAGUGAUUUUUAUUUUAUUUAAAAAUUAUUAUAUAGCGGCCCACACGAUCGGGAUAUCUCACUGCAACUCGUUCUCGGCCCGGCUUUACAACUUCACGGGUCGGGGCAACGGGCAGGACCCGGCCCUGGACAGCGAGUAUGCGACGAAGUUGAAAAUGAAGUGUAUGAACACGACCGACAAUGUGACCAUUGUGGAGAUGGACCCGGGGAGUUUCAGGUCAUUCGAUCUAAGCUACUUCCAGCUGGUCCAAAAGAGGAGAGGGUUGUUCCAAUCCGAUGCCGCAUUGAGCACGAGUAGCACCACGAUGUCGCUCAUAAACCAGUUCGGUUCGGGUUCCGUUCAGAACUUCUUCACCGAGUUUGCUCUGUCCAUGGAGAAGAUGGGCCGGAUCAAUGUGAAGACCGGGUCGGCUGGUGAGAUCCGGAGGAAUUGUGCCGUGGUUAAUUAAUCCAAUUUUUUUUAAAGUAAUUUAUUUGGGGAUUUUUAAUUGGUUUGGAUAUAUAUUAAUUAAGAACUAAAGUGUGUGCUUUAAUUUUGUUCUUCCUUUUCUGCUUUAUUAAUAUUUGAUGUUGUGUUUGGUCGGGGAUCCCACUGUACGUUUGUUCUCAACAAUAAUUGAGCCUUUUAUUUUUCAUUUUUAUCUCCAAUGUUUAAUUGUUUUGAGAAUCCAUGUAAUUAUAAAAUCCAGUUAUUCAAAACUUGUAAUUUGUUAAUUCGAAAGGUAUACAUCAAUAUUGUGCAGAACGAUGUGUAUAUGAGAAAAGAUCCUUCAAACAAAGCAUGAAAAAUCGUAACAAUUUGAAUUAGUGAUUCUUCACGGUGUGAAAUAAUAGAGUUGAAGUAACUAUACACAGAGACGGACCUAGGGAGUGACUCCCCUAGGCACAUACCUUUUCUUUUUUGGCGACGAAAAAAUAAAUUCAUUAUAAAUUAUAAAAUUUUUAUUUCGAUCUAAUAAUACUUUAAAUUUGACCACANNNNNNNNNNNUCCAUAUUAGAAUCAUUAUUUACAAAUUAAUUAUUUAAACACACAAAACAAGUGAAGAUUAAUUAUAAUGUUCAAUUUGAAUAUUAUAUUUUUAUUUUGACGUAAUAACUUAUUUUAUAGAUCCUUUUUUCUAUUAUUCAAAUUAGAUCAUGUGUUAGACCCUCUUUCAACUAUUCAAAUUAUUGAAAAAUAAAUGGUUCGAUUGGUCUAAACCGCGUAAAAAAUAAGUUUGAAAUAAUCAUUUCAAAAUUUAUUACCUUAAUGAUGGAAAAUAAUAAAACAUCCUAAUUCAUUUGAUAAUUAAAAUAUAAGAUGCAAUCUUGAGAAUUUUCCAACCGUAGGAAAAACAAUACAAUUCAAAACACAUGUAAAUAAUUGGAUUUGAUUGGAGCUAUAAUAUGGAUUCUUGGAUAUUUGCAUGUGAUGUUUGCUUUGUAAAGUUUGUUGCAUGGCUGCUCGAGAAGCACAAUAAUAGAAAGAAAAUUCAUCUUCUCUUUUGUGCAUGUCAGACAAUGACCGNNNNNNNNNNNNNNNNNNNNNNNNNAGUGAAGAUUAAUUAUAAUGUUCAAUUUGAAUAUUAUAUUUUUAUUUUGACGUAAUAACUUAUUUUAUAGAUCCUUUUUUCUAUUAUUCAAAUUAGAUCAUGUGUUAGACCCUCUUUCAACUAUUCAAAUUAUUGAAAAAUAAAUGGUUCGAUUGGUCUAAACCGCGUAAAAAAUAAGUUUGAAAUAAUCAUUUCAAAAUUUAUUACCUUAAUGAUGGAAAAUAAUAAAACAUCCUAAUUCAUUUGAUAAUUAAAAUAUAAGAUGCAAUCUUGAGAAUUUUCCAACCGUAGGAAAAACAAUACAAUUCAAAACACAUGUAAAUAAUUGGAUUUGAUUGGAGCUAUAAUAUGGAUUCUUGGAUAUUUGCAUGUGAUGUUUGCUUUGUAAAGUUUGUCUGCUCGAGAAGCACAACAAUAGGGUGGAAAGAUAAAUAGAUUAAAUAUAUAGUCAGUUAAUCCGUGUUCCACAAGGAAUCAGGAUUUGGAUAAGCGCAGGAUGAUAAACGGUGAAUUCUUUUGUAUAUUUGGUAUAUCAAAAUUUAUUCAAUAUUUUUUUUAUGGGCAAGAAGCCGAAUAGGAGACGGUCGAUAGGGAGACCUUCGACUAGGAUAUGGUUGGUGGGAAGACCGUCAAAUAUGAUACGGUCGAUGAAAAACCGUCAAUUAGGAUACGAUCGAUGAGAAGACAGUCAAUUAAGAUACGAUCGAUAGGAAGACCGUCAAUUAGGUAGCUGACGAACAUAUUUUAAAAAAUAAAUCAUUCUAGAUCAAUUGGGAGACCCAUGUCAUCUUUAUCUAAAGUUCUCAUUGACUAUAAGGCCGUCGAUUGGGAGAUAAUUAUCGUUAGAGAAAAAUAUUUAUUUAUGACUUAUCAAUGUUAACAAGGGGCAAUGGAUGGGGAGACGGUCGAUCGGGAAAUAGAUUUAAAUUUAGGCCAACAUCGUAUGAAAAGGCUUGUUUUAAAUUUAAACCUAAUUAAUAUAUUUUGAGUUGGCCUUAAUAAAGUGAAUAAUUAUCUUAUUUUUAAUCAGUGUGGUAUAAAUAUAAUUUGAAUAUAAACAGACUCAUGGAUCCGGUUGGUCAGCCUUCUUCCACUUUUCUCCUGCCGCCGUCCAAACGUCGUCCCGACCAGCAGAGUUUCUCCGUGGUAUAAGAAGAACCAGAGAACUGAUACCCAAUUUUUGAGUUGUAAUAACACCGACGGUUCUAUUAAUAACGCUUUGGAGUCAGCGUCGAUUGUUGAGUGCCACCUGUUGAUUGACGAUUCAUCAAUAAAGAGAAUCUUCAUCGUUAUAAAUAAAAAACAACACCUCCAUAUUAAACAUAACCUCCAUCUCCAUCGACAACACAAAUAUCUAUCCAAAUCCAACUUGGUGAAAGAAAGUUUCGAUUUUGGAUCCGCCAUUGUGAUUGAUAUCGACCUAGAUUAGUGUUCGCCAAUGAACCUUUAGGGCAUCUUGUAUUUAAAACAAAAACUCCUACACAAGACAACUUACUUAGAUGUCCAACACUACGUGCCUAUGUUGCCACUUUUUCUACUUAAUUUAAGUUCAAUAUAAAGCUUUUGGCAUCCACACUUAGCCUAUGUUGCCACUUUUUCUCUAGCUCAAUUAUUCCCCUAAAGCAAUAGAUCGUAGCCUGGCCAGACUCCCCAAACCCAAGAUCAAAUUCGAUCGAGUCAAGUUAUUCCCAUUCCAAUUUGCCCGUUUCGAAACUUGGUUUUGAUCAUGCAGUUCGAGCCCUUAUAACCAAGAUGGUCAGAGAUAUACUCGACACAAUUUCAAGUAUAAAACCUCGACAUACACAAUUUUAUAUCGCUCUAAAAUUGAAAGAUCCUAAACGAUAACGUCGAUCGAGAGUAUUGAACCCAAUUUUACAUGAAACAAUAACAUUAAAUAUUUAUUCAUCCGACAUAUCCAAAUGACAAUGUCAUAAGGCCAGCUAAUUAUUAUACCAAUACAGAAAACAAAAAAUAAAUAUAAAAAAUAAUAACAAGUUAUAUUAAUUAAGCCGCCUGAGAGCAGGUAUAACGAAACGUUCAUAUUAAUCGAUUGGCAUCCUUUUGUUGUACAUAUUCAACGGACAUCGAAAGUCAGCUAUUCUGUCAAGUUCCUUUAAGGUUUGGUUAGAAACCAUUAAAUAGAAUAGUCGAUUUGUCCGAAUCGGGAACUAUGACACUUUCUUCAAGUCGUUUAUGGCACCGUACGCCUUGUUAUUGUGCACAACAAACCAACAGCCGGUUGCUUAUAGGAUAAAAUCAUAAAAAAGCAAAUUUGCAUUUCUUUUAUCUUUUUAGUUACAAACUAUUCAUAAUUUCCAAAAUUCAAUACAACCUUUUUACAAACUAUUCAUAAUUUUCACAAUUCGAUAUAUCAUUUAUUUCAUUUCAGGUUAUGGCUGGGCUAUAAUAUCGUAAACAAAAAAUAUACCUUGAUUCCAAACUCCUAAAGUUCCAAAAUUGUAGGCCAAAACUACUUGUGGUUGAUGAAUUGUAUGGUCCGUUUGGCAGCGGAAAUGUAAAAUAAAAUUUGGAUGGAAAUAAGAAAAUUAACUUCCAAAAUGUACUUCGUUAGAAUUUAAAUUUCCUGUUUAAAUGAAAAAAUACUCAAAAUUUCAUCCCACAUUUCAAUUGUGAAACGGAAUCGUAAUGUAAAUUAUUUUGUAGUACAUUUGUUAAGAAAAUUGUACUUUUAAAAGGUUAAAUUGUUUGGGUCAUAUUGAUUCUAUUUUGACCACCUAGUAAAAGGUUAAAUUUUCUUAUAACUCCAAUUAUUAUAUAGUAAGUAAUAAUGGAGUUAGUAAAAAGUUCCUCCAAUGGCUGCUGGUUUGUCACAUGGCAAGGUAAUAGUUGGCCAUUAGUAUGAUGCAUGGAUCAAUAAUUGAGAGAAAUCAUAGAUAAAAUAAAUGAAAUAAACAUUUUAUACGAUGUUAUAUAUAUAAUUUAUUAUUACUAUAUAAUCGAAUUGGUAUCAUUAUAUGUACCAUUUUGCAUACAAUCAGCCACCAAUAAGCAUAAAAUCUCACGUACGUGUCAUCUAACUUAGAUAAUAAAUAAUAGGAUGAAAGGAAAGGCGAUAUGUGUCACAAAAAUCUGGUUAUGGUUAACUUUAGUUCAGCUUAGAUAUGAAUUGAACUUACAUUUUAACUGAUUUAGUGUAUUUUAACCAUUUUUAAACUAAUUAAUGUUAACCUAAUUUAUUGAAAAUUGAAUUUCAAUUAACCAUACUUCAUAUACUAAUUAAGUGACUAAAUUGUAAUUAUAUAAAAGUUUGGGAGUCCAAGGUGUAAAUCUAAGUUUGGUGAAACAAUUGAAAUAAUGCAUUCCUCCAUUGCACAAUGCGCCUCGGGUGCGGUCUCACUGGAAGUCUCGAUAAUUACUAUUUUUUGUAAUUUAAAUUUUAAAUUUACUAUUUACAUAAUUUUUAAUUUAAUCGCGUCUAAAUUUCUUUUCUCCUUUCAUUAAAAUCCUAGUGUCACUACUUCCUUCCUUUAUUCACGUAAGGGACAAAUGUCAAUCCCAACUAACAUGUUGUCGUUUUGCAUGAAGUAUAAUGACAUGUUCGUUAGGUUGUAAAUUCGAGUGCCAACAUCCAUGGUUUUCCAAGUCGACCAAAGAUUCUCUGUAGCAGUUUCGGGUUUGAUGUUCAAUAGUAACAUCACUUUACAACUAGAAGAAUCUGAGCAUGGUACCCUAUGUUUCCUCAUCCCAGGAUUGCACAACGAUCUCCUUGGCCUCCGAUAUGCAUCAACCCUCUGAUACCCCCUCUCCCGGAGCCCCUCGUCAUUCUCUUCGUCCUCAUCUCUUAAUUAGAAUGGUGCACGAUCUCGAAACCUCCCUACACUCGAUCAAGAGAAAAAUACCGAAUCCGAACCCGAAUCAAAACUCCAACCAUCCAAAAUAAUUUAGCUAUCAUUUCUACCAAACUCAUCCCUACAUCUCCAUAAUCAAAAGUCAUAGACCUUAAAAAAAAUUAGCAACUAGUUAAACAAUUAUAAUAAGCUUUGGAGACCCUACAAAGGGCAUAACAAUGUGGGCUGCUUCCCAUUUCAGCCAUAAUCUCUCUAGCCUAUAAAAAGCCAGAGCAUUAUCCUUAGCAAAAUACCUUCACACUCCUCUCUUCUAAUCAUCAACAGUAACAAAAGACAAUGGAAAGGCUUAGCUUUUCUUCUGUGGCAUUACUUGUAAUGGUGGUUGCUCUUGUUUCGGUCGAAUCGGCCAAUGCUCAGUUGAAGAUGGGUUUUUACUCCAAGAGCUGCCCCAAAGCGGAAAAUAUCAUACAGGACUUCGUCCACCAGCACAUCUCCAACGUCCCUUCUCUUGCCGCCACCUUCAUCAGGAUGCAUUUCCAUGACUGCUUUGUCAGGGUUCGUUUCCACCUCUCAAAAUCUUCUUAGUACCACAUUGGUUGAAUAAGACUCUUUAUGUUGUUGGGAUUGGCGUGUGAGUGAAAAUGAAGAAAUGAUUUGAACUGGUAUGGUUCUGGCCAAAUCGAUCCAUAUAUAACCGAUUUUGGUUUUGACUAUGUUUGUGUGUGUUCUAGGGAUGUGAUGCGUCGGUGCUCCUGAACACAACCUCAGGGGAGCAACUCGAGAAGCAAGCGCCUCCGAACCUGACACUUAGAGGGUUCGACUUCAUCGACAGGGUGAAGAGCCUCGUCGAAGCUGAAUGCCCCGGAGUUGUCUCCUGUGCUGAUGUUCUGACUUUGGUCACUAGGGACUCAAUCGUUGCAGUUGUACGUCGUAUGUCACAUAACUUUGUAAUCAUGUGUGAAGUUUUUCAGGUUCUGAUGAUUCGUGGGUUUUUUUUCGACAGGGCGGUCCGUCCUGGAGAGUUCCUACGGGGCGAAGAGACGGGGUGAUCUCUCGGUUUUCGGAAUCUCUGAACAACAUUCCUCCUCCAUUUGCCAACUUCACCACUCUCCAGAUAAUGUUUGCCAACCAAGGGCUUAAUGUGAAAGACCUUGUGUUGCUUUCAGGUAAAUUCCCAAAACGCUGCCAUUUAGGGACUAUAGUUGAAAUUUUGGUUUGAUCACGGUUUGACCGGACUAAACUCAGUUGAUCACCAAAAUUGCCACCGUGAUUUCGACCGGUUUCAUUUCAGCUCACUGUGACCAUAACCGACUCGGCCAACCAAAAUGUGGCAUAUUGGAGUUGUUUCGGCCCGGUUUAAUCUGAUAAUUGAAAUGAAAUGAAAUUCAAUUUUCACUGAAAAAAGUUUAGACACAUGGGGUUGGGACCAUGAAAUAGACCAAAAAUUGUACAUGAUUGAAACCCGUAACCGCAAUCAAUCUCGAACUGACUGAAAGCAGUUUUGAAUUCGAUUAACCAAACAUCAAAUUCCGGUUUGAUUCGGAGCCCAACAUGUAACAUGUCAUUAAUUAUAAUUCAUUUUUUCCAUUUUUAUUACUUUCUCAGGGGCUCAUACUAUUGGCAUUUCACAUUGCUCCUCAUUCUCCAACCGGCUCUACAACUUCACAGGCAGGGGAGACGCCGAUCCGGCCCUAGACACCAGCUACGCCUCGAAUCUAAGGUCGAGAAAGUGUCGAAGCAUCGGGGACAACACAACGAAGGUCGAGAUGGACCCCGGUAGCAGGAACACCUUUGACCUGAGCUACUACUCCUUGCUCCUGAAAAGGAGAGGACUGUUCGAGUCGGAUGCUGCCCUGAUAACCAACUCUGCCUCGUUGCAACUCGUCGAGAAGAUCACGAAAGGCUCCGUGAAGGAUUUCUUCGACGAGUUCGCUCUAGCCAUGGAGAAGCUGGGUCGGGUGAAUGUGAAAACCGGAUCCAGUGGUGAGAUCAGGAAGCAAUGUGCUUUGGUUAAUUAAGUUUAGAAAACCGGUUGGUUGGUUUUUUUUGGCUGAGCAGGAUGGAAUAAAGGGUGGAUCGAGUACACCUUCAAUAUUUAUUCAUGUGCAGUAUUGAGAUUUCGAAGAUUUGUUACAGUGUGGUUGUAUAUAUGUAUUUUGUGUUUUUGUGAUAUCGACAUAGUUAUGUUGGUUAUGGACGAAAACAAUCCUUAUGUCAUGAAUUCAUCUGAAUUUUUCGAUAAAAAAACACAUUUUACAUUGCUUUUUAAUUAUGAAUAUGGAUGUUAUCUUGGUAUGCAAAAUUUCCCUUUUAAUGAGUUUUAUUUUAUUAAUAGUGUAGUAAUAUGAGUUAUGUUGGUUCCUUGCUUACGGGAGAAUUUAUGAACACUUAUGAUAAGGACAUUGGUCAUUUAACUUUUACUUAUAACAUCGAAGUAUAGAAAGUUCAGGACAACUAACAAAGUGGUAUUUCUGUCAUCUGUCGUUAAUUUUCGGCGUUUUGGGCUGAAAACCCCAGUUUCCAUUUCGCUGGCAGUAUAAGGUCUGGACCUCCAACUCUGUUCUUGGUAGGGCUGGACAAUGGGACGGGUUUGGAUACCCGUCCCGUUUUACACAGUAUCCAUUAUUGUUGGAGUAAAAAUUCUUCCCAUGUUUUAAACUUAUAUGGAUAAUGGGUACCAGUUUAUCCAUACGGAACGGAUAACGGGUAUCCAUUCUACCCACAAAAUAUUCGAAUAAUAAUAAGAUACGAAAUAAAUAUCUACUACUCUAAAGCACAACAUUCAAAAUACAUCUAAAAUUAGUCUAAUAUUACAUUAGUUUAAUAUUAUACAACACUACUAAUGACAUUUUCUCUAAUAUUAUACCUUACUAAUGGCAUUAGUCUAAUUUAAUGGGUAUUACGGGUAUCCAUAAUACUUGAAUGGAUUUGCGGGUAACCCACGGAUAUCCCAUAUGUCAAUUUGCAAUUUCAUAUCUCAUCCCAUUUGAAUAUUAUAGGUAUUAUGGGUAUCCAUAACCCUAAAAAAUAGGAUGAAUAUAAAUAUGGAUAUUACCCAAAUAUCCGUAAGCUGAUGUCUAGCCCUAAUUCUUGAAUCCGUUUAGAUACAAAGUAGAGCUAUCACAUGAACUUAGCUUGCUAAUGGAUUGGAUUUUGGGAUCAAUAAGAUAUGCUUAGAGGCAAACCCGACCGUUAAUAAUUCAUAUUCAUACUCUUAACGCAUUAUUUAUAUAUUUGAUAUAAAUUUAAUUAUUCACAUUUUAACGAGACAAUAUAUUAUUAUUAUUUUUUAUACAUAUCUACCUGUAGGGCAUACACCAACCACUAACGUGCGCUCAACUUAACAUUGAUGAAUGACAUUUGAGCUACCAUUACAAAAAAUUGGUCAACUUGGUGGAAAAGUAGAGCAUUUAAAUAAUUAAAUUGAGUUUUUUCCCGGCCGGCAGCUAUAUUUGACUUUUUUGUCCCUGGCCGGAAAACUACACAAACAGUCGGAGAAAAGUUUCAACUUCAAUCGCUAAUUCGCUAUAUAUAAAAAGAUUCACUCCGGAACUUAACCAAAAAUCCAGAACCACACUAACCAUGUUCCCAAACAUCCUCUUCCUCCUCCUUCUUCUUCCGGCGAGCUCCACGUCAGCAUCCUCCUCCCACCAUGAUUUCCUCCUCUGCCUCCGUUCACAAAACACCGCCGCCGCCGGUGGCGGCUAUGUGCACACGCCGGUCGACCCAAAUUACACCACAUUCCUCCAAUCCUCCAUAAGGGAUCCGAGAUUCAACACAACCCAAACGCCCAAACCGUCUGUAAUCCUCACACCGGACACGCUGCCGGAGAUCCAAGCCGCCGUUUCCUGCUCGAGCAAGCACGGGCUCCACCUCCGAGUCAGGAGCGGCGGACAUGACUAUGAGGGCCUAUCGUACACAUCUAACUACAACAACCACAACUCUUCUUCUGGUCGCCGUCCCACAUUUGCAGUUCUGGACCUAGUCAACUUCCGGAAUGUCACCGUUGACCUUGCCGGGAAAACAGCAUGGGUUGACUCCGGCGCGAUUCUAGGCGAGCUAUACUACCGGAUCGCGGAGAAGAGUCCGAAUCUCGCAUUUCCGGCAGGCGUCUGCCACACCGUCGGUGUCGGUGGGCACUUCAGCGGAGGCGGGUUCGGUCUUCUGGUGAGGAAGUUCGGCCUAGCGGCAGAUAACGUGGUGGACGCGGUAUUGGUCAACGCCUACGGCGAAAUUCUCAACCGGAAGUUGAUGGGGGAAGAUCUGUUUUGGGCAAUCCGUGGAGGCGGAGGGAACACCUUCGGGAUCGUCGUUUCUUGGAAAAUUCAAUUGGUUAACGUACCGGAUAGAGUAACAGCGUUUAGUAUCCAGAGGACUUUGGAUCAGAACGCUGGGAAGCUAGUCCACCGAUGGCAAUCGGUGGCCAGCAGGCUCCCCAAUGACUUGAUCAUUGAAGUCAUAGUAAGAACCCAAAAUAGUAGUAGUAGUAAUAGUACUAAAGUAGCCAUUUUCAACGCCCUGUUUCAGGGCGGAUCAGAAAGACUGUUGAAACUAAUUCAGAGUAGGUUUUCGGAGCUCGGGAUUAGAAAGCGGGAUUGCAAGGAGAUGAGCUGGUUGGAGGCCAUCGUGUUCCAAAGUGGAUUUCCGAGCAAUACUCCUGUGGAAGUACUGCUCAACAGGUACUGUAUUAUUUUCAAGUUCAGCUCAAUAGUAUUUUUAAACUUUUAAAAAAAAAUAUUUACAUCCUUGAUUUGUCUAUUUGCAGGUCAAUUAGUCCGCCCGUGAUCGGUUUGUUCAAAUAUAAAGGGAAAUCCGAUUACGUUCAAAACCCGAUUCCCGAGGCGGCCCUAUUGAAGAUAUGGGGGAAGUUCGACGAGAUCGAUGUCGGGUCGAGUGCUAUGGUGAUGGUGCCGUUUGGGGGGAGGAUGAGCGAGAUAGCCAAGACUAGCAUUCCGUUCCCACACAGAGUUGGGAAUUUGUACCAAAUCCAACACUUGUCGUAUUGGAGCGACGAUAGGGACGCGGAAAAACACAUCCGUUGGAUCAGGGAGUUGUACGAUGAUCUCGAGCCUUAUGUGUCGAAGAAUCCGAGGUAUGCUUACGUGAACUACAGGGAUCUCGACAUCGGGAUGAAUGGAGGAGGUGAAGGGGAUGAGAAGGGUACUUAUGGUGAGGCUAAGGUGUGGGGGGAGAAGUACUUUGGGGUCAACUUUGAUCGGUUGGUUCGGGUGAAGACGAUUGUUGAUCCCAAUAAUGUGUUUCGAAACGAGCAGAGCAUUCCCUCAAUUCCAACUCGGUUAUAAGGAUCAAUGAUCAAUGAGAAUUUUCCUUUCCAAUGUGAUUACAAGUUCUAUUGGGUCAGCUUUCUCAACUGCUCCUAUUCAUUUAGAUUAAUUCAUAACAACUAUUAAUUUACCAGCCUUUUAUCCGGCCCGUUGGCCGAUUUAUUUUCUUAAGUUUUAGAUGAAAUGAAACCGAUUUAGUUUUUAUUGAGAUGAGAUUAAUCUUAAUUUGCUUGAAAUUUACUCACGGUUGAUGUGAUAUUUGGAAUUAACUAAAAUGAUAAAUAUCGGAUAAAAAUAAAAAUAUUUAAAAUAAAUAACAUAAACAUAAGAACAAUAAAAUAAAUAAAUUUAAUUUUAAUUUAUUUCCUUGUUUUCUUUCUGUAUCAUACAUCUCUUCUCUUACUUCUUAAAGGCUUUUCAAUUAUCACUUAAUUAAAUACAAUAGAUAAAUCGUUAAUUCUAUAACAUUAACCUAUACACUUGCACGGUAAACAAUCAAUAUGAUAAUAUAAUAAUAAUAUAAUAAUUCAAUUAUUAAUCUACAAUUUUUUAAUUAUAAAGUUUAUGCGGUCAGUUUCUGCAAGCUCCGAGCUCCUUGUCAUCGUUAGUUUCUGCGGUCUCAAGGUAUAACGACUCGGAGCGACGAGCCCUUUGCUUCCAAUGGACGGGUUGCAUUUCUGCCGUCGUUGAGCUCGAUUGGCGUGUCAUGCUGGAGUCAGAGUUCCUACAAAAAAACCCUAAACUAGAGGGUGAUUAGGGUGAAAUUAGGGUGUUGGCCUGGGUUCCAUUGUCCAAAGUUUUAGUCAACUUAAAAACAGACUUAAAUUUUAUGCUUCAAAAUAGUUUAUCUGUUAUUAUAUUAGCGUGUAAUUAGUCUUGACAAUGGGGCCGGACGGGUACGGAUUCGGGACCCCGAUCCCCGCCCAUAGUGUAAUGGCUCAACUGCCAAGUCAGCAUUGGACCGAAAUUAUUGGACACGAAGUACUAAUGUGAAAAACUUUACAUUUGUUAUUUUCUACUUUAAUACUAUGCUAUUUUCAAAAUUUGAACUUUAAUACUAUGUUUUUAUAUAGUUUAGUAUAUCUUAAUUUUUAUGCAAAUUCAUCUAAUUGUAUUAAACUAUUUUCGAUCCGUAGCUAAUUAUUUCGAAGGCAAGUCAAAGUGUUAUUGUGGACUAUGUGAGCUAAUAUUGAACCUUUAUCUCUCCCAACCACUCAAGUUAAUUGAACCAAACUCGAUCGGUUGGGUUUCGAGCUAUUUCGAGCCAUUGUUGUUAUAUGCACGUGAGAUAUCAAGAUUGACCCGAACACUUUAUUAUGAUAAUGUAGAAAAAGAAAACAUAUUCUAAGACUACAUGCAUGCAAAGUGCAACCCCUGCAUGGAAAGCUGCUCAACACGUGGCAUAGACUCCCGCCACGUGUCCAUUCCACCUCAUCACCUCACCCCCACCGUUCACCUCUUAUUAUAUCACAACAAUCAAUCAAUCCUACUCCUCCAUACUCGAACAAAUCCGACCAACUUAUACCAAUAUUCCCAAACUUGAUUAAUUUCUCAGCAAUAUGGAUCAGACGCACCAGACAUACGCCGGAACCACGCAGAACCCGAGCUAUGGCGGCGGGGGCACAAUGUACCAGCAGCAGCAGCCGAGGUCUUACCAGGCGGUGAAGGCGGCCACUGCAGCCACCGCGGGUGGAUCCCUCAUCGUUCUGUCCGGUCUCAUCCUUACGGCCACCGUCAUUUCACUCAUCAUAGCCACCCCUCUCCUUGUCAUCUUCAGCCCUGUUCUUGUCCCGGCUCUCAUCACCGUCGGGCUCUUGAUCACCGGGUUUCUUGCUUCCGGUGGGUUCGGAGUCGCCGCCGUCACCGUCUUGUCCUGGAUCUAUAGGUAUGUAUAAGCUUUGGACUUUAGUAUUGUUAUAAAAUACAUAAGCUGAUUUAUGAACAUGGAUCUCCCAACAAGAGUUAUUUAAAUGCAUUCUCGGUCUGACUCGAUCGGUUGGGUUUUGAGCUACUCGGUCACAAUGGUCGGGUCGGCUCUGGAUCUGUUAUACUAAUAUUUGGAAGCCUGAAGUUUCAUUGUUCUGCCCCAACUUCCCACUACCUUUUGAGGGUGUUAAGAAGCCAUACAAACUAAUUAUGAAUCCCUCCCAACAACUCAGAACUCGAGUCAGUGGGUUGUGACGGUUCUCUAUAAACAUUUCGAAAAUCUUUGUUCAAUGAACGUAGAAAUGACCAUGCUUGAUGAUUGUGGGUCUUAUAAGGUACGUGACCGGCGGGCACCCGGCGGGAGGGGAUUCGCUGGACCAGGCUAGGUCGAAGCUGGCCGGAAAGGCCAGGGAGGUGAAGGACAGGGCGUCGGAGUUCGCACAGCAGCAUGUCACAGGUGGUCAACAGACCUCUUAAAGAGAGUCCUCUAGUUAAAUUGGUCUUCGUUUCUGUUUCGUGGCGGCUUGUAAACUCUCUUUUAAGUGUGCUGUUUUCCUUUUGUCUCGUGUGUUGUAAGUGAAAGUGUAAUCGAAGUUCCAAGUUGGAGAUGUUUGUAACGAUGAUGUUUUCUAAUAAUCAGAGAUAUUAAAAGGGUUGCUAAUUUAGUAUUGCGUCUGAUCUCGGACCAAACUCGCAAGUAAAAUUGCAGAGGAUGAGUUGUACAGAACAAGCGUGCAUUGUUCUGGAAGUUCAUCUCCUUGGAGCCGACCUUGUUGCUUGCAGUUUCGCCAAGUCCACUAGACAAUGUUACGAGUUAAGCCUCUGUCAAACAGAUCGCUCUAGCGUCCCAGAAAACACCAGAUUUUUCGAAAACCAUCGGGGAUCAAUUUUCGAUUCAAUUCCGAUCUUGGAAGUACUUGAACAGAAGCAUGAUGCUAAAAGAUAAUAGAAAAUCGAAGCCUAGAAAAGUUGUACAGAAAGCAACAAGUCAAAAAUAUAGAUCAACUUCAAAGGUUCAAAUUACAUCUUACAGACCCCAAAAAAUGACAGUUAACAGAAGUCGACUAAACAGAAACCAGCCAGCUUCACCUGGAAUGAAGGAGCUUUGAUCAAUCCAUCCUAGCUUCAUUCCCCUUUGAAAUUGCAGACAGAGCUCUCAUCCUGCUAAAGCUGGUGGCUUAUUCUUAACCCUGCAAUCAAUAAGCAUGAACUAACAUUGGACACCUUCAUCGGCGGAUUGCUCGAAAAUCAGUGAGCGAGGGAUUUACCUGUGUGUGUAGUAACCUCUCUCCUUGUACAUAAAAUCUGGAAAUUCCGGCAUCAACUACUGCCACCUUUCUGCUUCAAGGUGAUUUUAUCACCAAGGCUGAGCGCGAUUCCUUGCGUCUUGCUCCGAAUCCUGAUGUAUCCACUGAGCUUUCCAUCUCCUUCCUUCUCCAGGCUUAUGUUCACCAAUGCGUCCUCGCCGAACACACUCUUGGCGUACAAGUUCGCAGCCAGGAAUCCACACUCUCCAUCAAGUGCAGACCUGCAAACCCCAAAUAAGAACACAAACUCCAAAGUCAACGAUCAAUUCUCCGCCUUUUAUGAAGAAAAGGAAACUUCUGGGUACUUACGGUGCCGUCAGACACUUCAUAUUUGUAGACUUGAUGAUAUGGUCCAGGAAUUCCUUCUCGUUCUGAAUUGUUGUGUUAACAGCAACCUGACAGACAGAAAGAUAUCGCAAAUUUAAGAUACUGGGAUGACUAGGCACAGAGAAAUGAAAUCUAAUUCUAGAAGUAAAACCUUAUUUUCCCAUUCAAAUUCUGCCCACAUAGUCCGGAACGCAGCAUCCGAGCAAGAAGCAGGAGAGAUGUAAUCCAUGAUAUCGAUGUGGAUAUCGUUGAGGACGACAACUGAACGUUCCAUCACAUUGGAUGUCUCGAAAACAAUGUUACCGAAAAUGACGCCAGUCUCAGUUGAGGAGACCUUGAUGUUGGCCUUUAUCUGUUUGCUUGAUUCUGGUGCCAAGGCAUAAUUCUGAGGACGCUCAACUAGCUUGAGAUCGCCCAUUGUAGCCAACUCCAGGCACAAGUUUUGGAGAGUUUCCUUUGUCCGGUUGAUGACAGUGACAUCAAGUACGAUGUCGUAGUGGUUGACCUUGACAUGUGCUUCGGCAUACACAGGGUCACUAAAUCCAGUGAGCUGAAGGAUUCGGUUGAGCUUAUUAGCGUCAUUGCCAUCGUUGAUGAACUCUCCCGUUGCACGCUUCAAAUCAUCUUGUACUUCAUCUUCCAACUCCAGCUGACUCAUACCCUGGUAAUCAAUCAUUAAGCCAUUAAGAAUGUUUUGCCUACAAUUAGCUACUUUAUAUGAGAGGAAAAGCUUAAGCUUUACAACAUAAACAGAAAUGCAAACGCAAAUAGGAGCAGGUGAGAUUUAUCCUAGCAGUAAUAUUUAUCUUCUAAAAACAUUCAAAUUAUGAAUGACACAAGAAACAUCCAGCGACAAAUCUAUAAGAAAAAGAUUAGUAAAGCAAUUCAAUUAUUCCAGUUAAAGAGGAACUUACCUUCCUGCUCUUUAAAUGAUAGAAGUCGAUAAGAUCAUCUGGUUGUGCAUGAGAAACCUGAGCCUUUGCCUUCAAUUCCUCAGUUUCCCUCAAUUGCUUUUCUGAGAGCAUUUUCACAAAGCUUUGACGGCAUGAUUGCAACCAUAUCUUCCGGAUGUCAUCACCAGUAUUACAUAGCAACCUAAUGCACAGAAGGAUCCUAUCAUAUGAAUCGCUGUCAAUUGGAUGAGGCAGAACAGAAGACUGUCCCAAUUGAAGCAUGGAGACCAUUAUCAACAAAGUCUGUGUGGCUGCCUUGUUGACCUCCAGUUUAGAAGAUUGCACCUCUUCGAGUCUCAGAACCAGUUUUGUUAGAGUGCAUGCAACAACUGCUCCAAGGAAAAAAUCGCCAGUGAGAAGAAGGGAUCUCAAAUUUCCAGUGGACAGUGAUCCUUGAACUACAGUAGGCGGAGAAAAUGCUGUUUCAGAGGCAGCGUUUUGUGUUGCAUAUGUCCCAUCAGAAAGGAUAGCGGGUUUUCUUGAAGAGACUGUGAUGGAACUCGGUUGUGGUGGCUUUUUGGAAGAAUCAGUAACUUCACCUUCUUCUGAAAUAGAGAAAAACGGCAAUUCUCCAAGACACUGCUUGAUUGUUGCUAUGCCACUCUCUACUUCAGAAAGGGAAACGCAGUACUCCCCAAUGAUCCAAAGGGCACCAGAGCAUACCCUGGCUGCUCGGAUCUGAUAGAAAGUAUCCAACAGCCUUGUUACUAUCGAAACUCUGAGUUUCGGGUUGGUUUCGAUUAUUUCCCGGACAAAAACAACCACAUCAAUAGCUGAAGCAAUGUUGCUAUCUCCAAGGAAAUCCAUCAACAAGUGAACCACUAUGCUUGCCACCUCCGGGAACUUAAUAGCACAAAAAUGGAUGGCUUGUAUAAGCAUCUGCCUGUACUCGCCAUUCUUUUCAAGCUCUCCACUCUGGGUCUUAACAACUUCCUUCUUGAGCAUCUGAACAAUUUCAUUCACAUUCCUAGCAGUGAUCAAGUCAAGAACAAUAUCAAGGGUCUUGCGGCGUAUAUCAAGAUUGGGGCUAGAGAGUGCCCUAAGCACGUCCAUAACCAUCUCGACCAUGAUUUCCCUGUGAGAAGACUUUAGCUCUUGCAAGCGAUCAAGCACAAUAAGCUUGACAUUGUUAUCACUCUGAGACAAAAGGAGUUGCCCGUAUGUGUUAGCAGCAGCUUUAAUGGCAGUAGGAGCAGAUGAAAGAGAAACAAGAGUUCCAGCACACUCGUAAACCACAGCACUCGAAGGUGCAGUCAACAAUGAUAUGAUGAUUUUGAUGUAUCUUCCCUUCUCUCCCCUACUUGUUUUACAAACUUUACGAAUCAACUCCAAAACAACCAUCUGAAGCUUCUCAUCCCAUUCAGGGAUCUUAUCAACGUGGCUGAAAAGAUAAUUAAUAGCUCGAUCUUGUGCACAAGUGAAAAGCAUCAGGAACGCAUUGCGCUUGGCUGAAGGAUCGUGCUCUGAGGAAAGAGCCUUCUCGAUCAUUUCCGGAGCAUCGAUGAGCAGCUGGUCGCCCUGGGGAAGCUUAUAGAUGGACAUCACUGCAAAGAUGGCAUUCCUCCUAAUAAAGGGGUGCCUAUGCUCCAGAUUCUGCAGCACCGAAGGGAUUAACGGCUCUAUAAUCUCUGUCUCGUGAAUCCGGCAAAGAAACCGCAAAGUCACCCCACGGAUGUACUCGUUAGGGUGUUGAAGAUUGUUCAUCAGAUUCUGGCAUAUCAAAAUCAUCUCCGGAAGAAGCUUCCCCGAAGCAUCUUUCUUAUCAAUGAUCUCCAAGUAGAACAGCAACAGCUUCUGUAUGGUGUGAUCCUCAGAGGGCAGUACAUAUCUAAGAAUAGUGAUGAAAAGCUGAGGCAAGUUUUCACCAUUCAACAGAAGGCUAAUUGCCUUCUUCAUGCCAUCAAUCUUGGCCGAAACAUCAUUCCCUUCCAGAGCUUCCUUAAUCUCAUUCGCAACCGCUGGCGAUCCCUUGUCGAAGUGAACCAGUAGAGAACACGAUUUCUCCAUCUCCUCACUGUAUUCUUUGGAGAUCUCAGUAGGAAAAAGAAACAAGAAAAUAAAACAACCAUUACUCGAACUUGAACGACCAUAGCACCAAUCUAAUACCAACACAAAUGACAGAAAUUACGUAUUGCGCACAGACAUUGAAUGAUAAACACGAGUAGAUAAACCAUCUUAUGUACAGCCAAACGAAAUCCAAUCAUAAACAUUUCAAAUUCUGAGCCAAAAUUAGCCGUUUCCAUUUCACGAAGACUCUACUCCACGGAUCUACGGAGUCACUGACUAACCGACGGAGGAACAUACAACGAUACGCACAAAUCGAAUGCCAAAUCACACAGAUCAAGUAGAUACAUCACAAACCGGAAAUCAAUCGGAACAGAAAAUCUACCAUGGCGGAGAAUAUCAACAGAGAGAGAGAGGGCAAGAGAGACGAAAUUAUAACGGUUCCGUUCAAAUCCGGGAAAAAAGAACGAUCACAUUCCAGACCUAAACUAGGACUUGAGAUUACGAGAAAGGGAAAUGCAGAGAGGGAAAACCUUGCUGACCUGAUUCUCGAUCUGUAGCGCUGACGGGAGGAGGAGCUUCCUAGUGGAGAGACGAAGAAAUGAGCUGCGGGGUUUGAUCUCGAGCGGAGAAGAAAUGAGACUGAAACCCGGAUCUGACAAUAGGUGAGGUUCUUUAGCCACCAGUGGGCAGUGGGUACCGUAUAAUAAACUUGCCGGUGUUUAGCAUUAUAUAUUUCACAUAUUUUUUUUCUUUUUCGGUCGGAGUUAUUUUUACAUAACCGCAAGAGAAUUUUAUUAAUAAGAUUCAAAAGUCGUACAUUGAUACAAAAGGAUGUUUGGAGUUGCUUUUUAAAUAUAGUUGGCAAAAAAAAUGAGUAAUUAAAAGAUUAUUGUAUUUCGCUUCGAUCUCCUCUAUCUCAAUUCUCGAACCUAGAAUGCAAAAAAAGGCUACCUACCAAAACAUUCACUCGAAAUUGAAACAAACAAAACGGACCCAACUAGAAAAGAAACCAAUGUUCCAGAGUUCGAAAAUUAAAACUAAGACUUGGGUAGGUAGUCGGCCUUUGAGUCUUGCAGCGACGGAGCAACCGGACUCCUCACUCCUAAUUUGUGUUUACAUCGGUGGGCGAAUGGCCACUCGCCUGUUGCUCAAAAUAUGGAGGGACCCCGUCUUCUUCGGCUUCGCUGUGUACCGGCAUGGUGCUGCCGACCCUUUGUCGAUAUCAGUCAGGGCUGCCAUCGGCGCCGAAUUCUGACUCGUUUGUCAUGGCCUUGCCCUCGGUUUGGAGUUCCACCAUAAAAUGGUCAAGCUGCCGCUAUGGCCGAUUACAUCGACUGCAAAACAACCAGCGAAUCCGAUCGCAGCAUGUACAUUUCCAUCGUCCUGCUCGUCACCAGGGUUUCGAUCAAGAUCGCAAUGUCAGGUUUAUGUUCCGUGACUAAAUCCUUGACUACCAAGACGGCUUGAGUAGAUCCCAUGCCUCUACAAUUCCAUGAGAGUAGAAUCAUUAUGCUCCGAGCUCACUAACAAGCUCAGUCGCUGUCGGACGAAAGGCCGCUGAGAUCCGGUGAGGCCGAUUCCCACCGCGGGGAAGAAACCCUAAACGUAGGGUGAGAAGAAAUACGCAAAUUGCGGAGAAAAACCCUUUGGCUUCCUGUGGUCUCUCCUUUUCCGGUUGGAGUUUCUUUGUUUUUAUUAUUAUAUUUUUAAAAUUUAUACUAUGUGUGAUUGAUUUGGAUUUUAGAACUACUCAUAAACAACUAUCAUCCGGGUUAAUAUGUUAUAGUAAAUGUAUAAGUCCAAUCGACCGGUAAGUUCCAUCCGAAAUAAGAUGCACACAAGGAAAAGCACUUAGUCAAUCGUUAAGGGUCUCCCCAAAACCUAUGACCCAAUCCGAAAGAUGGCUUUACAGAAGUUCCGAAUCCGAAUCAGCGGAUACUGCCAAAGCCAAAAGAGAGUGAAAAUUCCAUACCUGACAGGCAAAUAGAGCUUUAACAGCUUUAACAUGAUCUAUAUAUCACCAGAAGACAGAAACUACAGUUAAGAGAUUCAAGACCAGAAGAAAAAUUCCACUGUGCCCGUAUCCUGAAAACGCAGAAGUUAUUCAACUAAGCAAAACAUUUUGGUACACAGAAUAACAAACAAGUAAAUAGCAAGACACGUUGUUCUUGUAGUUGAAUACAAAGACCAACCAGAAGGAAAGAGUUCCAAUAGAGCAUAGAAGUUGAACACAAAGCAACAAUACAUUAAUGGCCCCUCUCGAAUCCGAUGCGACUCCUCCCAGAGCCACCACCAUAAUCAUCUCGGUUUGAAGAACCACCACCACUAGCCCUCAUCGUACCUCCGCCACCCCUAUCAGCCUUCUUCCCCUUCUUCACCUCAGUCAAAAACUGAUCAAGACCAAACGGAUCAGCCUCCUCAGCUUCCUUCUCAAACUCAACCGGUCCAUCUCUCUGAACCCCACCCCUCUCCGCCGUACCUGUAAACGCCUUAUCUGGUUUGAACCGGUCAGUCUUCAUAAUCUUAUCCAUCUGCUCAUCAGCACCUCCGUACAUCUCAGAAUCUGCAUCCUUCUUCGGCCUGUACAAAGUCGAAAGAGUCGGCUGAGCAGUAAACAAACCCUUGUCAUAGACAUUGUACUGAUCAUCAGUUUGGAAACCCGAAUCCAUUCCUUUCUCUUGGUUGAACAGCCUCUGAUCAUACAUAACCUCCCCUCCUUUCGCAGCCCCCGCAGAAGCCAUCCCAAGUGCCACUUUCUCGCUGAUGUCACGGUCUCUAUCUCGAGUAAUCUUGCUCUUCUUCCCCAUCGCAGCAUCCUUCGCCUCCAAUCUCCUCUCCCUCUCCCUCUCCCUUCUUCGUUCCUCGCGAAUCUUCUCUCUUUUGAUUCGAUCUUCUCUCUCCUCCCUUGAUUCCUUCGGAGGAGGAGGAGGAGGAAGAGUGUCCUUCUGCCUAUCUCGUACUGUAUCGUAAUCUCCUCGAGUGUCCAUGUCAUCCAUUGGCAUCGACAUCGAAGAUGGAGCGGCAGUGCCGGUUCUUUCAGCUCGAGCCUUCUGAGCUAAAGCCCGCAACUCCUGUUCUUUCCUCUCCUUCUCCUUCAUCAUCAUCUCCUUCUGAACUUUAGACCUCAUAGCAACAGCUUCUCUGGCCUUUUGCUCCGCUACAUAAAGCGAUUCAGACAGCUUGGCGAAAUUAUCGUUGAUCUGAACAUCCUGCAACCCUCUUCCAUCAGCUGCAAGACGCUUAUCGAGUGGAAUUGUGUAACCUUUCGGAUUCUUCCAGUUUGAAAUACACGGCGGGAUUUUCCAAUCCUGCUGAUCUUUCACAGUCACGGGUCUAGGAGGGGAAUGCAUUACUGGAACCGGUGGAGAUCCGGAAGCUCUAGGAACCCUCUUGUGCUUGAACUUUGGUGGCUCGAGAGGAUCGACAGGCAUCUCCACCAUCCGAAUAACCCUCUCCUUCGCUCCGGAAUUGAACGCUGCAGAUUGCUGUGACGGCUUGUACUUGAUGUACUGCGACUCCGAAGAAUGUUUAGGAACAUUCUUCGGCUGCGCUGCACUCAGUCCCACGUUGACACGCUUGUCAAUCGCAGCUUGCGUUUCCAUCGCCGUCUGCUGCUCCUUCAUCAACUCAUCAUUCUUGUCGGCAUCAUCAACUUGCUCCUCGUUCUUCAGAAUCUUGGGGACGAUAUCCUUAAGCUGAGAAUACACAAUCUUCUUCGAGUUCUCGUUCUGUCUCACAAUCGCAUCAUAUGCGACAUCUCCAUGAGCAUCUACAGUAACGGGAAGAAUCUUCGAUCCUGGUUUGGCGGAGUUUUUUCUCCCCAUGUCGAGAGGAUACUGAGCGAUGUGAAUCUCAGGGAAAGCACCGCCAUCUCCGAAAUCAUCGACCUUUCUUGGAACGAAACUUUCACGCUUCAAGUAAGGAGGCACAACUUUGGCUUUCACGGCCGCUGAGGAAUUCUCGGCCUCGACUGCGCUGAACCUCUCCUUGAACCAUGGAUCGUUGGAGUGGUCGUAGUAGGUCGAAACUGUUGACUUGGCUGGAGGUAGUAUCUCCUUCAACGGAGUCAUCGCCGCCAUACAAAAUGGGCAAACCUGAUUUAAUUUCGAACACGUAGAAGAGGUAGCAACCGUUAUCACCAGAUCGGGGGAAACAAACACUUCUCAGAAGACGGAUUCAAAGUUUUAAACCUAACCCAGAUGCUGAAAAGUAGCAGAAUAUAGGACUAUCAAAGAACUUAGUGUACUAGGGUUCGGAUUUUGAGGAGAAAAAAAUUGAGAGGAGGAAGAAUGACCUUGCUCGUUGUGCGAAUUGCUGCCUCCCGUCAGAAGGAUUUCUCCGUAGCUGAUGAAUCGAGCAGCAGUAAUUCAAAAUAUGAGCUGUAACUUUCCCGGCGGCGAAGUAAUACGGAGGAUUCUGAUUUGUGAAAUCCCUAAAGGGCUAAAGGCUAUUAAAGCUUGUAGCGGAGACGAUCGGAAAAGGCGGUGUUUCUGGGAUAGUGGGAUUAUAUAUGGAGGCAUUCCGAAUCCUGCACAGUUUUGGAAACAAAGAAACAUUAAUGGCCCGAAAUAUAUGGGCUACGUGAUCCAAGGCCCAAUUGUUAGUGGAAGUCUUCAAUCCAACUAUUAUAUCAGCAUGUAAAAGAAUAAAUGGGUGAAUCCAAAACCCGUAUAUAAACGGGUAUAAUUUUCAUAUUAUGCCCAUUUAUUCAAACGUAAUGACUACGGAUAAAAUCCAAUAAUAAAACAGAUUAAUGAAAGAUAUACCAUACCCGUUCUUUUACAAUGACGAGAUUUUAUGAAAAUUUUGGUCUCACCAACUUUACGUAGUGCUUUGCUUGCGAAGGUUCAACAACACAUUUAACUCGGUUAAUUUUGGACCACCAACAUGCCCAUUUGGUUUUUCAAUUUCAAGAGUUUCUUCGACGACGUGAUUGGGAGAUUUGCCUUCACCACCUUUACCGUGAAGGUAACUUCGCCGCCGACCACUUUGCUUCUAAUGGUCAUGGUCUCUCCUUUGGUUUGCAUCAGUUGGAUGCUUCUGAUCCUGCAUGCAAUGGCUCAUUGGUUAGCCUACAGUCACUUGCGACGAUCGCCCCAACGGUGGUUGACGCUGCAUACUUUGUAAUAUGUUCUUUUCUUUUCAUUCAGAAAAAUUUCUAACAACACAUCUUUGUAGCCGACACAUGUUAAAUGUUAACGAACCAUUCAUACGAUAAGACGCCGCUAGUUAUUAUUACGAACCAUUACAAAAUGAGGAAGAAAAACACAAAUAUAAUCAUAGUCAAGCUAGCGGGAGAAAUUCCUAUAUAAUGUUUCGAAAAUAUGGUCACCAAAAAUAAAUAAAAAUUACUCAUAUUAGCGAGGUAGUACACGAUAAAAUUCGCUUCUCAAUGAAUGUAUAAUGCAUCCCUUUAUAAUCACACUAAUCACAAUUCAAAUUAAAUUGAUAAAUAGUUUUUUCAUAAAAAAAAUUAAAACCUUUCUUCGAAAAUAUAGACACCAAAAAUAAAAAAAUGAGCCAAAUUAGCGAGGUAAUACGCAAUACAAUUCGCUUAUCCGUGAAUGUAUAGUAUAUCACUUUUUAAUCACACUAAACAAAAUUUCAAAUUAUAUUGGUAAAUAGUUUUUCUUAAAAAACAAUUAAAACCUUUCUUCUUUACAUAGUUAACUCCGCCGAUCAUUAACUAUAAAAAAAUCCGGCCGGCCGUUGAAAUCGUCGAACGUUAUUAAUUAAUCAAAUAAACAAACUUACAAAACUCAUUCAUAUGCAUUCAUCCUCUGUUGACUCACUCACUCUCCCCAAAAUGGACAAUCCACCACCAUCAUCGCCACCAAACGUGGCCCUAAUCGUCGGCGUAACGGGGAUGGUCGGACUGAGCUUAGCCGAAGCUCUAAACAACCCAUCAACCAACGGCGGACCGUGGACGGUCUACGGCGUUGCCCGCCGUCAGUUACCAAAUUGGUUCCCUGCUACUCUGCUCCACAAAUUCAUCGCCCUCGACGCCCUUGAUCGCCAAGACACUCUGCAGAAACUCGCCCGUGUAGCUGGCGAAGUCACCCACGUCUUCUGGGUCGCUUUCCAGCUCCGCGAAGUUGAAGAAGUCAACAUCGAGUUGAAUUCCACCAUGCUCUUUAAUGUUCUUGACGCCGUCAAGUCUUCGGGGGAGAGUUGCCGUCUCAAGCAUGUCACUCUCCAGACAGGUGAGAUUAUUUGCAAGUGAUUUGGUGCGUGUUCGGUACUAUAAUGAUUUGGGUUAUUUUCUGUUUCCAAUCUUAGGUAAACAUGCAGAGCAGAAUUGAGUGGGGUUUUCUCCAUUUUUCUAAAUUGAACCCUAUCCACAGAAUUCGAGUCUUAAAACAAAUUGGGUAUAAGGGGUAGUUUGUUUAGAUCCGAAGGAGAUUUUGUGGGUGAUUUUAUGUGCAUGGAUGAUUUGAUCGAUAUAUCGUGUUUGAAUACGAAAUGAAAUGAAAUUUGGAAAGUGAUUUGAAAUCCGUUUUUUGGACAUGAGAAUUGUCAAAUCUCCAAGUGAAUUGAGUAAGAAAAUAACAAAGUGAAUGAUUUGAGUAAGAAAAUCGGAAUUACUUCCUUGAGUUUAAAGAAGGAAAUAAUGUUAAGAGUGUUAAUUAUUUGACAAAUAAGUUAAUUAAAGAAUUAUUUUUCAUAAAAUUAGAAUUUAUUUUGUAAUUUCUAAAACUAGACUAAACAAAUAAAUUAUUUAUAAAAUAACUAAUUAUUUUAUAUCACAAAAUAUUUACAGAAUUAUUAGCUAUGUCAAAAUAUUGCAAUAGAAUACAAAAAUAAAGUGGGGUUUAAAAGUAAUUUAGGAGGAUAUAAAUUUUGUUAAAUUUCAAAUAAUUUAAAAAAUACCAAAUAGUUUUGUUAAGUUUAAAAGAAGAGAAGGAAAUAAUAUUAGGGAUAUGAUAUUGUUUUUUGUAAGUUCAAAUUUCUAUUUUUAUUUUUAAAACUGAUAAAUUAUUAACGAAACGAUUAGCUAUUUUAAAUCACGUUCGAUCAAGUUUCAAACCCAAACGACCAGUUAAUUGAUUGGACUGAUGGAUUGUGGUUUUGAGGUGAAUUUUGGCAGGGACGAAGCAGUAUAUGGGACCGAUUUAUGAUCCAGAGCAUGGGUCGAAGUUGGUGAUGCACGCGCCGCCGUUCAAGGAGGAGAUGCCAAGGCUUCCGUAUCCCAAUUUCUACCACGCGCUGGAGGAUGUGCUGGCGUCGGAUUUGCCAGUCGGCGUUUCAUUCUCGGUUCACCGGUCGUCGAUCAUAAUGGGUGCUACGCCGAGAAGCAUACACAAUUUGUUGCUAUCUCUGGCUGUUUACGCCACCAUUUGCCGCUACAAAGGGCUCCCGUUCAGGUAUACGGUAGUGAAUACUCAGGUUUCCGGUUGAACCGGAUUCACGAAUUAAUCAUUCUGGCUACUCAUUUGAUGGGUUAUUUACCGAUUUUUUAAGUUGGUAAUUGAUGGAACUAUCAACUAUGUUGUGGUUCUGAAACAAACACCUUUGGUUUGGUUUCGGUACCCUGAUCAAUCUAAUUCGGUUAAUGGAAAAUGUAAGUGAACAAUCGGGUUGCGAAUUAUGAGCUUUGACGUUAAAAUAGAUGUUUUCGUGACCAUUUCGUACAGUCCCUAAUACUUUUUAUGCAUUUAGUACAGUUGAUACCUUUUAGUUACCACUGUAUAUAUUUUUGGGGACCGUAUUGUACCGUUCUUAAAACUACAUUUUUUGCUAACAAUUGAUGACUUAUGAAAUGGUCUAGCUACCCGGGGAACAAGUACACAUGGGAGCACUUUUGCGACAUGUCGGAUUCAAGGCUGCUAGCGGAGCAACAGAUAUGGGCGGGGACGACAGAGCGAGCCAAGAACCAAGCCUUCAAUUGCACCAAUGGCGACAUGUUCACCUGGAGAGUAGUGUGGAAGCUAAUGUGCGAGCUUUUCGAUGUGGAGUUUGUGGAACUCGAAGAUGGUGAGGAGAAGUUCGACGUGAUUGGGAUGUUGAAAGGGAUGGGGAAAGUGUGGGAGGAGAUUGUUGAGAAACAUGGAUUGGUGGAGACUAAGUUGGAGGAAGUGAAUUGCUUUGAUGCGAUAACGGUGGUUAGCAAUUUCAAGUUUCAGCACGUUUGUAGCAUGAACAAGAGCCGGGAGUUUGGGUUUGUGGGGUCUUACGACACGAUGAAGAGCAUUCGGUACUGGAUUGGGAGGAUGAGAGAGAUGAAGAUCGUACCCUAGGAAAUACUCUUUGAAGAUUUGGUACCAAAAUCGGGCCGAAUAAUAAGUAUCAGUUUCGUUGAAUGGGCUUUCUGUGAGUUCUUGUUGUAAGAGUACUUGUGUAAUGGAGCAAUUGGCUUUUAAUUCCGUUUUACACCAAAAACUUGUGUAAUGAAAGUGUAUAAGAGUAUUGCUUUGUUGAUAAAUUCAAACUUCGAUGCUGGUUUUGUCAAGCUACAUAAUUGAGUGAUCAAUGUGUAUGAGAACUAUAUAUAGAUGACUACUUGUAUUGAUUGUAGAAGGAAUACAGAAACAAAAACAGCAAUUGGACCGGAGAAUGCGAUUGCAUUAUAAGGUCGUAAUUGCACAGAUCGGGCAAGCUCAAAUUGACGUAACAUAAAACCUAUUAAUCCGAAAGCGCCGUGGAGAGCAACAAAAGUCUACAGGCCCCCUAAUUGACACCAACGAGUAAAAUCCCCUUGUGCUUCAGGACCCCAUAAUAACAACAACCAAUUUGUAUUGAUUUAUGUUUAUAGACCAUAUGAAUUUCCUUCUAUAAUAGGAAUCAGUAGGAUUAGGCCACAUUUCUUUUUCAAUGAUAUGAUCUAACAUCGAUUAUAUGUUCAUAUAAUAUAACUGAUCAUACGACAUAAUAAUUGAUUAUAAUAAUAAUCGAUUGUUCGUUUUCAUUACCAGUUAUUAACUUACUUGAAAAUUUAUCGAAGAGUCGCCGGAGAAGAGUAUCGCCGGAAAGGUGUUGAUCAAACGUGGCCGAUGACAAUGGAAGCUCACCGAACAAAGUGGUUUGGGGUGAGACGGCAGAAAACUUGUAAUGCCGUUGAUAGAAAUUGCCGUCCUAAAAAACAAAAUUUCGGUCCUAAAAAGUAUUUUUUUCAAAAUAAUCAACAUGGGCCAAAUGUUUUUGAAUUUCCAUUCUAAGUACCCCGUUCGGUCAAUGACCACGACGUGGUAGUGACAAGUUUGUCCCUCAACUUUAUCUUCUUGUGCUAUAGUUUACUUAACGAUGGAGUCCUUUUGUUUAUUUUCUGGUCAAUUUUGGAAUCCACGUGAAAAUUGAAAUUUUUUUUUAUUUUCGUUGUUAUAAAUGAAAUAAUGUACAAAAAUGAAUACCUUCGAUAAAAAGUUUACUUUCAAAGAACGAAUAAAAGAGCAUUGUAAAGCUUCUAACUGAUGUAUCAAACUUAUCGUGCAUUCUGUAAAAUAAAGUCAACGAAAAAGCUUACGAAAAAUAGAGUAAAUUGAUUUUUCGUAGUGUAGGGAGCAAUUUGUUAACUUGACAAAGUGAAUGUAGCAAACUACAAUAUUUCUAAAAAUUUAAAACUACGAAUCCAUCAACAACGGUAUAUAUCUUAAAACCAUUUGCCAUUGACAUUGACAUUCCCCCUUCUCUCCUCAAUCUCACAGAUAUGUCAAUGCUGACCGUCGUCGAAGACCGGAAUCCCUCCUCCGUUGCCCUAAUCGUGGGCGUAACGGGGAUGGUCGGGCUGAGCCUCGCCGAAGCUCUGAACGACCCGUCAACUCCGGGCAGUCCGUGGAAAGUGUACGGAGUAGCACGUCGUGCAUUACCCACUUGGUUCCCUGCUCCUCUGCUCCAAAAAUUCAUCUCCAUGGAUGCUCUGGAUCAACAGGACACGUUAGAAAAGCUGUCCCCUGUGGCUAGUGAAGUUACGCAUGUGUUCUGGGUUGCCUUAAUGAUGCGUGAAAGUGAAGAGAUGAACAUCUCCAUGAAUUCGUCCAUGAUUUCUCACGUUAUCGAGGCUUUGAAAUCGGCCGGAGAGAGUUCGCCGCUCAGGCACUUCGCUCUUCAAACAGGUAAUGAAAUAUUCAUAAUUCAGAGUUUGGGUAAAGUCUCUGUGAAAUCUAAAUCGUAAGGUUUGUAUUGAAUUGGUUAUCUACAAAUAAUUCAGAUAAGGUAAAAAAAUUAAAAUGACUUUAUUUUAGGGCCCUCGGAUCUUGAACUUUUAUAGUGAUCCAACGACUCAAAAUUUGGGAGGAAAAAAUAUAUUUUGAUAAUUUGAUAAAAAACUAUGAAUGUUACUUUAAUUUGAACACCUCGUUUAGGUACGAAACACUAUAUGGGUCCAAUCCUCGAUCCCGAACACAGCUCGAAGUGAUGCACGCCCCGCCGUGGCACGAAGACAUGCCAAGGCUACCAUACCCAAACUUCUACUACGCACAAGAGGACGUCCUGGCAUCAACCUUACCAAAGGGAGUCACACACUCGAUACACAGAGCAUCAGUCAUAUGCGGCGCAACGCCAAGAAGCCUCUACAAUGGACUUCUAACCCUAUCGAUUUACGCUACCAUUUGCAAGUACAAAUCCCUCCCGUUCAGAUACUACGGAGGCAAGUACGCGUGGGACCACUUCCGCGAUAUGUCUGAUUCGAGGCUUCUGGCCGAGCAACAAAUAUGGGCUGCCACGGCUGAGGAGGCGAGGAACCACGUGUUCAAUUGUACCAACGGGGACAUAUUCACGGGGAAGGAGUUGUGGAUGGUGCUCUGUCGGGAGUUCGAGUUGGAGUUCAACGAGGACAUGGAGGAAUUCGAGUUCGAUGUGGUAGGGAUGGGAGAUGUGUGGGAUGAGAUUGUGGACAAGCAUGGGCUGGUGAAGACUCAGUUGGAAGAGGUUACUUGUUUUGAUUUGUUGGUGGUGAGUGGGAAUUUCGAGUACCAGACCGUUUGUAGCAUGAACAAGAGUAGGGAGUUCGGGUUUAUGGGCUUUUACAAUACGAUAAAGAGCGUUCCUUACUGGGUUGGGAGGAUGAGGGAGAUGAAGAUCAUACCUUAGAAAUACUACUCUGAAGGCUUGGUGCCAAAACUAGGCCGAACAAAGUGUAAUUGUGUAACAAUAAAGCGUAUAAGAGUGUGAUAUAUUUUCGAACGUCAAUGAUGAUUUUGUCAAGUUAUGUAACUGAGUGAUCAAUUUGUAUGAGGAGUCCUCAACUAUUUUUUAAACAAGUCCAAUAGACAAUGACAAAUUCCGACGAACAACAUUUUUAGUCCUCAUUCAAAACGAUCAAGUAACUAAAACACUUAACAAAACAGUCAUCAAAGUUUUAAUCCGUUACGUCCACCAACCAAGGUCAAGGUAUGAUCUUCAUUUCCAUCAUCCUCUUGAUCCAGUAACGAACGCUCUUCAACGUGUUACAAUAACCCGAAAACCUGAACUCCCGACUCUUGUUCAUACUACAAACAUGCUGGAACUCGAGAUUCGUAACCGGACCGAAAGCAUCAAAGCAAGUAACAUCACCCAAAUUCGUCUUCACCAACCCAUGCUUCUCCACAAUCUCAUCCCAAACAUCUCCCAUCCCACCGUUCAUAAUCUCAGCCACGUCAAACCCACCACCACGAUCCUCCCAAUUCUCAUCGAACUCCAACUCCAACUCCAACUCCGAACAGAAGACCCUCCACAUCUCUUUCCACGUGAAGAGAUCUCCGUUGCUACAGUUGAACUUCUGGUUCUUAGCCUCACCGGUCGUGGCAGCCCAUAUCUGUUGCUCGGCCAGCAGCCUCGAGUCAGACAUGUCGCAGAAGUGUUCCCAUGUGUACUUGUUUGCCCGGGCACCUGAACCGGAUCGAUUUGUACUUGCAAAUCGUGGCAUAAAUCGAUAGGGAAAGCAACGAAUUGAAGAGGCUUCGAGGUGUUGCUCCCAUUAUGAUGGAUGACCUGUGGAUCGAAUGUGUGACUUUCUUUGGUAAGGUUGAUGCCAAGACGUCCUCUUGUGAGUAGUAGAAGUUUGGGUACGGUAGCCUUGGCAUGUCUUCGUGCCACGGCGGGGCGUGCAUCACUAGUUUCGAGUUGUGCUUGGGAUCGAAAAUCGGACCCAUAUAGUGUUUCAUGCCUGGAAAUGAUAUUCAAUGCACGUACUUAGCAUUCAAAUUAGGGGUUUAGAUCGACAAAUAUCAAUUGACAUAAAAAUGAGUGAACUCUAUGAUUUUUAUAUUUAAUGGAGUCAAUCGCCAAAUGGGUAAAGUAUAGGGGGAAAUAACAAAACAGCCUAUUAAAAUCAUCCCAAAAUGGGUUGAUUUGUAUUAUAUUUAGAUUUGACAUUUAAGAUCUGUAAAUUUGAAAUUAUUAUUUUUAAAAGGUAAUUUGAAAUAGGGAGAAUACAUCUUUACCCUCUUUGAACUAUGUAAAAUUUACAUCAGCGUUCUCUUAUUAAAUUUUAACCGAUUUAACUUUCAUAUUUUUAAAAAAUUUACAAAUGGACCCUUUCAUUAGAUUUCCAUCCAAAUCUCUGUUAAAUCUGCUGACUUACCAACUACAUAAAAUGAUAAAACUGCAAGUUACUAACCAAACAAGGAAAUAUAAUUUAGUAUUCCAAAAAUUCCAAAUGCAAAUCAAUCCUAGGGCGGAGCUCUCUCCGGCCGAUUUCAAAGCCUCGACGGCAUGAGAAGCCAUGGAUGAAUUCAUGGAGAUGUUCACCUCUUCACUCUCAUGCACCAUCAAGGCAACCCAGAACACAUGAGUAAUUUCACUAGCCACAGGGGACAGCUUUUUCAACGUGUCCUGCUUAUCCAGAGCAUCCAUGGAGAUGAAUUUGUGAACCAGAGAAGCUGGGAACCAACUUGGUAGCGACGAGCUACUCCGUACACUUUCCACGGACCGCCAGGAGUUGACGGGUCGUUUAGAGCUUCGGCCAGGCUCAAUCCCACCAUACCCGUUACGCCCACGAUUAGGGCGACGGAGGAGGGAUUCUGGUCGGCGGCGGUCUCCAUUUUUGUGUGAGGCGGAGUGGUCAAUGGGAAGUGGGGGCUAUGUGAUCAAGGAGUAUUUAUGAAUGGUUUAAUUUUAUUUUUUAAUGGUUUAAGUAGUAUUAAAAAGUUUGAUUAAUCAGCACGUCGUCGACCAUGCAUUAUUGGAAUGGAAUUUAAAUUUUGAGUUCGGGUUUGGGUGGUAUGGUUUGGUUAACCACUCUGGAGGACACCAUCAACCAAACCCAUUUGAUUUUGACUUUUAUUCAUUACCAAAGUGAUGGUUGGGUGUUGUUGAAAUAGCGAAAGUCCAUGAUAAGAGUCAAUUGCGGAUUUUAAGUCAACAAAUUUUACGUUAAUCCGGUCGACUCAAGGGCCAAAUUAGGAGUCCUAAUGCAAUUUAAAUUUUCUUAAAUUUUAUGGAAAAAGUUCGAUUAAUCAAAUAUUCUCUCAAUAAUUUUCUUAGAAUGUCAUUGCAUCCUCAAAUCUUUUCCAUUAGUCUCUUUGGUUUUCAGUCCUCAUUUAGAUGACUGCGCUAUUUUCUAAAUGACGUGUGAGACUUUUUAUUAUUCAAAUAUUUGUCAUUUUUUUAUAUUAUAUCCCUUCAUCUUUAUAAUUUUUUUUCUAUGAAUAGUCAUGAUACCUCCGAAUAAAGAAAAAACAAAUUGGACUUGGCGGUGGUCUAACUUUGAACCACUCUUCUAAGUAGCUUGGAAUAUCUAAUAUAUAUAGUUCAAUUGUAAUUUGAAUACAAUUUAUAAGAAUUUGGUAAAACUACAUAUUAUUAUACUCACCGAUUUAAAACUACAUAUUAUUAUACUCACCGAUCUAACAUAUCGAUACGAUUAAAAGGACAAGGCAUAGUAGACGACAGUUGGCCGCCAUCCACCACCAUAAAUGUUCCAUUUGGGUAUAUAUAUUCUGCUGAUACAUGUCACCUUCUUCCCAGAAAACAAAAUGGAAACCGCCUCCACCGCCGUCGACGACCAGAAUCCCUCCUCCGUCGCCUUGAUCGUCGGCGUAACGGGGAUGGUCGGACUGAGCCUCACCGAAGCACUAAACGACCCGUCAGCUCCGGGCGGUCCGUGGAAAGUGUACGGAGUAGCUCGUCGUUCGUUGCCAACUUGGUGCCCUGCUUCUCUGCUCCAUGGAUUCAUCUCCAUGGAUGCUCUGGAUCAGCAAGACACGUUAACGAAGCUUUCCCCUGUGGCCAGUGAAAUUACUCAUGUGUUCUGGGUAGCUUUAGUGGUGAAGGAAAGCGAAGAGGAGAAUAUUGCCAUGAAUUCAUCCAUGAUCUCUCAUGUCAUCGAGGCUUUGAAAUCGGCCGGGGAGAAGUCGAGGCUCAAGCAUUUCGCCCUUCAAACGGGUAAUUGAUUUAUUCUGACUGUUUGUCGAGCUAUAAAUUUGGUUUGACAAGUAAAAAGUUCGAUAAUAUUUUAAGUAUUUUACCGUCCGGAUGGGUAUUAUAUUUUAAAGUAAUUUUAGGGAGCGAUUUAUUUCAUUGUCAUCUAAAUCCUGGAGCGGUCAAAUGAACGGGUCGGACGAUCAUUCAACAUUUUACCAAUUCUACUAAAUUUCAUGUCACAUUUUCCCUGCUAAAUCAAGCUAUAGUCUGUAGAUUCGUGGCUACUGGUGGAAGUCAGUUGGAACGAUUAAUACCGAUUACAUUGGUUGAUAAAUUUGGAUUGUAUAAGAAAAUAAAUUAACCAAUUAACUGAAUGAUAUAAUAUCGAUUAAUUAACUGCUAAUUAACCGACCGAAGUAAGUUGGUUAUUGAUUAAAGUAAAUAGGUAUAUUAUUAAAAGUCUACUAAAGAAAUCUAAAAAGCUUAACCGUUUGACUGAUCUAAUUAUUUUAGGUUACUCGUUUAAUUUUUAAUCAUAACCGAAUAUUCACCCUUACCUAUGUCCAGGUACGAAACACUACAUGGGUCCGAUCUACGAUCCCGAACACAGGUCCAAGAUCGUGAUGCACGACACGCCAUUUCGCGAAGACAUGCCAAGGCUACCGUACCCGAACUUCUACUACGCACAAGAGGACAUCUUGGCAUCAACCUUACCAAAGGGAGUCACACAUUCGAUCCACAGAUCAUCCAUCAUAAUGGGAGCAUCACCCAGAAGCCUCUUCAACACCUUGCUCUCCCUGUCGGUCUACGCCACCAUUUGCAAGUACAAAUCGCUCCCGUUCAGGUACUUUGGGAGCAAGUACACGUGGGAACACUUUUGCGACUUUUCCGACUCCAGUCUACUGGCGGAGCAGCAGAUAUGGGCUGCGACGACCGAGGAGGCUAAGAACCAGGCGUUCAACUGUACCAACGGGGAUGUCGUUACGUGGAAGGAGGUUUGGAGGGUUUUAUGUCAGGUUUUCGAGUUGGAGUUCGACGAGAACGAGGAAGGAGAGUUCGAUGUGAGUGGGAUGAUGAAGGGUGGGAUCAUGGGAGAUGUUUGGGAUGAAAUUGUGGAGAAGUAUGGGUUGGUGAAGACUAAGCGGCCUUAUGUUACUUGCUUCGAUGCGUUUGCGACGGUUAUGCAUUUCGAGUUCCAGCAUGUUUGUAGUAUGAACAAGAGCAGGGAGUUUGGGUUCAUGAGUUACUGCAACUCUUUGAAGAGCAUUCCUUUCUGGGUUAACAGAAUGAGAGAUAUGAAGAUUAUACCUUGAGACCUCAGAAAGAUCGCUGAUGUCCAACAAUCGGUCAUCUCGUGCGAGCUCGCACGAUUUUCGCCUCUUCUUCUUGUUUCUGUUAUAAAUGUAAUAAAAGCUUAAAAGACUUUCAUAUAACAGCAGCUUCCAUAUACGCACUAAUGAUCAAAGAGAUGGUCUGAACAGAACGUCCUGCCAGAUCAUGACCAUUGGAUCAUAUCACUUUUCCGCCAAAUUUCAUUCAACGGCUAAAAGUGAGUCAACGAAUUGACUUAAAUGGGGUAGUUUCGGAACAAAAAAAUUGAAAAAAAUCACUUAGGUCUUGUCGUUGUACGAGCAUGUUAUGCCGCUAAUAAAACCAUUUUACAAGCUCCUUAUGUCGUUGUUACGUCCACCUUAGGAGUAGGUAAAUUCAUCAUCGUUAUAUCCAGUUUACCACUCUUUUAUGUCGGUUAUAUAUACAAGAUAAUCUUAAUUCUCCUACAAACUGCGAAUAUAAAUGUGUGUCUCGAUUUUAGAAUUUAGGUAUAGCAGAAAACAACAAAUGUGUGAACUACCUAAACGAAAUAAGAAGCAAACAAAAUGGACACAUACGAAUUAUAUUCCAAAUUUCAGAAGACAACAGCAAACUUAUAGCAUCCUUUCAGGUGGUUACAGAGUUACAAACACAAAACAUGUAGAACUAAUGUGAAACAUUCCAAGCUGAUGUAACUUUUGAUCUACGACAACCUAAUCCCACGAAUUUUAAAGUCAUCAACUCGGAACAAUUAAUCAAGGAAAAAUAUGAGAACUCAAUCGUUGAGCAGAAAUUAAAAAGAACAAGGGUGCUAGAUUAGAGACUAUAUCUGCAGGUUGGAUUUGCAUCAUACUAAUCCGAAGAAGUGUUCCAGUGACGGAGAGUGGACGACGUUUCCAGGUGACCGUUCAAGCUUUGUAGGAGAGAUAUGGAGUUGAUACUUGAUAAACCUCUGCAAAAAUGAGGAAAAGAACAGGUUUUGUGAUGCAAAAAGAGACAUCAUUGGAUGAAACUUUGAGACGUCCAGUAUGCGGAAAAUUACAGCUAAUUGAGUGACAAUUUCGGGACUGCUGUCGAUAUGCCAGUCUGGUUCGAGCUGCCGAACGAAAGAUGUGCGCCCAGUUUCUGUGCUACAGAAGAGAACCUGGAUAGAGAUAACACAGUGCGUAUUAAUCUGGUCACGGCAACUACUUGAAGAUUAACCAAUCCAGCUCAAAACAUUAAGUGGGUCAAAUCAAGGGGCAUGCUUUUUUAAACUGGCUAUGUAUAUUUGCUGCCAUUUAGUGCUAGCAAUUCAUCAAUAGCCAUGAUUUCAGCCGUGAAAGGAUGCAAGAGAUGGGAGUCAGCUAUAACUGUUCUUAUCGAUUCCAUUUUGUAGUAUUAUUUGCCAAGUAAUGCGAUUUAUGUAGAAACGAUACAGGCAAACAUCGUUAUGUUCAAUCAAAUUCAAAUUUGAAGAGUGAUUUCAUUUCCCAGUUAGGUGCAGCAUCAAAGCAAUACAAGUUGAGAGCUUUUUAAUCGGCUAGUGUUUGAUAACUGUCAGAAAUAGUUACCUUGUCUUUGACCAAACCACCAGAGGUGAAAACUCCUGCGCUCUCUAAGGCAGCAAGUACUCUUUGCUGUAGCAGAAAAAAGUAAAUGAAGAACAUUAGUAAUCAAGAAAGCCAAAAACGAGCACGAGCCUCGAGAGUACUUUACAAAGAAGUUGAGCAAACAUACUUCAGUUUCAUCAUCAAGAACUCUUUCCAUCAGGUAAAGAUCACAAAAUUUGGUGACCUCCAACAAUACUUCCAGAACAGAGGAUUUCACUGUUGCUUGUUUCUGCACGUAAGGAAAUUAGCCAAGUUAUUAUUCAGGACAUUUGAAUGUAGCAAACACAAAUAAAAAAGAAAUAUAAUAAUCUCUUUACCUGAAGCUCUUCUGGAGUGCUUUCUUCAAGAAUCACCCCAACUAAACGGCAAGUGACCUGCAGAGGAAGACAGUGAAGAACUAAACCGUUGAGGAAUUGCUUCCUUGAUGGACCAAUUAAGUCGAAACUACACGAGAUAUCAUCACAACCUAAAAACUUCAGAUAUCCAGUACACUUCCAUAUGAUGGAUAGUGGAAACAUUUCCGGAAUUCCAUCACAACAGGGAGUAAUGUAAUCACAAGCAGCUAAACAGAAGCCCUCGGCUAAAUUUAACUUCUUCCUCUCUUCUCCCCCACAAAGAGGAAGGAAAAUUCAAUACUACAUGGACUAAUCCAGCAUUUCCCUCAAACGAGCAAGAGAUGAAUCAAACUUAAAACUAAAAGAACGACAGAAACAAUUACCUUUCUGCCUUCACUCAACUUUUGUCUCACUACUUGCCCCAAAGUUGGCUGAAACAAAGGAAAGCAUAUAAGCAUACUGCAUUCACGCCCAUCAAAAUAAAGUAAAAUUUUCCCAAGGUGCUCACUUUAACAGGCUGGAAGAACUCAUUUACAACAUUUUGAGCUCUCAAAUCCUCUGAAGAUGAAGCUCCAGAGGCAACAGAUGCCGCAUUUGUUUCUCUGUUAGCAGAAGAAGUACUAGUUGAAGGAUUAUCUCUUUUCGGUGGUUGCCUUCUCGGUGGAGCACUAGGUGAUCUCAACAUUCUCCAAGUGAAAACCACUGCCAGUGCAAGUCCUGCUAUGGCCCCAGCAGACCUUGGAUCCUGACAGCAAACACAACACACCGAAAAUUCAACGAAACCCGAAACAAAGGUUCAACAAAAAACACCAAAUGAUCCCAGCAAUCAAAUACAACACAAUCCCUAGCGAAAAAAAAUCAACAGAGACAGGGAAGUGGAUAAGAACCAGAUUACGGAGUGAGAUCGGGAGGAAAGUCGACAUCUUGACGCUCAAAUAAGCUCCGAACCUCUUGAUCAGCUGCAAGAGCUCUUCCUUCGAUGACUCAGCCAUUUCUCCGCCCCUACUGAUCUUCUCCUGUGAUCAAUCCCUAUCUAUCUCCCACCCCAAAUUAAUCACUUCAGCCAGACCAAAUCGAAUCGUGACUUGUUGGGUUCUCUUCCACGGUCAGCUGAUUGAUUCUUCUGAGUGCUUUUAGGCUGUUGGGUAUCGUUCCACCAUUGAUUUGGACAGCAGUAUCGAGAGGAGAAGAGGAAUAAGAAAAGGGGAAGGGUGAAGGAAUGAAAAGUCUGUUCUGAUUUAUGGGUCGAAACUCGAAAUGGAAGUGUUCUUUCCCUUUUCGGUCUUUAGCUUUAUUAACGAAGAAGUUUGUUUGUCGAAAGGAAAGCUUCUGAAGUUCAGUGCUCAAAAUGUAAUUAAUAUCAUUUAUCUUUUUGGUCACUUAAAAAGUACAUAUUUGUUAUAGAGGGUGCAAGGAAAUAAGCAUUAUGGAGGGUCUAGUUCCUCUAUGUAUCUUGGAUGUUGGUUCUUGAAGCUUAGUUUGAUUGAAUUUGUAAGGGUUAUUCUGAUUUCAUUAUCGAGUUUUGAAUAUGGGACUGAUGUUGGAUGAUCGUCUCUUGCCUAUGUAAAAUAUACUUCAUUCGAUAUUUAACAGGUUAAAAUCCGUUAUACAACGUAUACAUUUGAUCGUAUUUUAUGAGUUCUCUAAGGUUCUGUGACGUUUAAAUGAAUGUUUAAAUGAUUAGUUACAAAGGUAAGUAUGCAAAUCCGGUAGCACAUUGUAUAUCAAAUCAUGCAAUCCAAUUUUUCUUCAAAUUCAUCGAGUUAAUAGGGGUGGAUCAAGCAUUGAUGUUUCGUAAAUGUGUCCGCAACUCCGCCUUCGGUUCAUCUUUCACGACUGUUUUUAGUUAGGAUGGGUCGUGGAGUUCCCUCAUAGAAGAGCAGAUCUAAUACUGAAGGAACUUGGCAGAACUGGAUGAUUGGGCAUCUUCUACUUAAUCUAAUUUCGAGCCAGAAAUGCACACCUACUGAACUAUCGAACAGACAGGUUAAGAAAUUCACUGGUUGGGAUCAUCAGGUUGUAGGUUCAACUGAGCCACGAAUUGAAGAACACUCACACUCCAUGACGAUAUUGAUCAUGCAAACAUCUUCUCUCCAAGUAGCACAUUGUAUAUCAAAUCAUGCAAUCCAAUUUUUCUUCUAAUUUGUCGCACUGAAACUCGACUUAUUCCGCAAUAGGGGUGGUUCGAGCAUUGAUGUCUUCUAACCGUGUCCGAACUCUGCCUUCGGUACAUAAUCUAAGCCGAAAAUGCACACCUUGACCUAGGCGUAUCAAAUGAACAAGUUAAGCAAAUUACAGGUUGGGUACAUCAGGUUGUAGGUUCAACGAGCCAAGAAUUGAAGAACACUCACACUCCAUAACGAGAGUAAUCCUUUGUCUGGAAAUCUCCUACUCAUUUCCACAAGUAUCCUAAUUGCAGAACAGAUUCUCUUCAAAGAACGCAAUCCAUGGCGGAAGAACAAACAGAAUGGCAAAGUCAUAAACAGAUAGACAAGCUCAAAGAACAAGGAAUGUUUCGAUUAUCCAUAAGCUAAAGAUUUUAACUUCCCAGUGAAGGAAUGGAGGCAAAAUUUGGGUGGCUUUAUACAUCACUGAAAAAAGCUCUAGGAUCAAAAGACCAGCGAAGAAACUGUAAGAUAACCGGAAAUUUGAACGAAACAAAUUCAAAACUCCUGUGAAGCAGAUCCGAUAUCGCCCUUCCCGCCAGCCUUCUUCGGGAGGAGAGUGUUGUGGAUGUUGGGAAGAACGCCUCCGUUGGCGAUCGUCACCGAUCCCAAAAGCUUGCUCAGCUCCUCGUCGUUCCUCACCGCCAAUUGGAUGUGCCUCGGCACGAUCCGGUUCUUCUUGUUGUCCCUCGCCGCGUUUCCAGCAAGUUCCAAUACCUAAAGGAUGAAAUCCGGAAUCAGAUCAAAUCAAAAUCAAACAACGAUCGAUAAAAUGCGAUUGGGAAGAAAAUAGAUCAAGCGAUGAACAAACCUCUGCGGCGAGGUACUCGAGGACGGCGGAGAGGUAGACGGGUGCACCGGCGCCAACACGCUCGGCGUAUUUCCCGGCUUUGAGGAACCUAGCGAUCCUUCCAACGGGGAACUGCAGUCCGGCCUUGGACGAUCUGGAUACAGAUUUCGCCGCCUUGGCCUUGCCUCUGCCUCCUUUCGUUGAUCCUGCGGCGGAACUCAUUUGUGCGAUUUGAAGGUAUGAAUCGAUAGAUCUCGCGAAACCCUAGGCUCUGGAUUGGUUUUCUGUUGUUGCAGAGAUGGUCGAGGGAAAUUGGAACUCGAUUGGAAUGAUGAGGAGUCUGCGGGUUUAGAGGGUUUAUAUUCGCAAGAGAUCUGUAAUUUGAUUGGUCGAAGGUGUUUCACGGGGAUCGCCAGCGUGGCAGCCGUGGUUGGUUUGGUUUUGAUCGAGCGCGGGAAUGGUUCUUUUUUUUUAUGAUUCCACGGGUUGGUUUUUCUGAAUUUUGUACUGGGCCGGUUAAAUAAUUGAAACUGAUUAAUGGGCUUUAGCCUGUCUCGUCGACAUUUAGCCGUAUUUACGAAUUUCAGUACAUUGUUUUUAAGAGUUACAAAAUGGUACCACAUUCUCGUUUCAUCGUUAAAGAUCAAACUAACGGCGAAAUAUAAAAUCAGAGUCGUAGCACAGGGAAUGUGAGAACUGAGAAGAUCAUUACAACUUAAACAGACAAUUCAAAGAGUAGAUCGACGAAAAAUGAGAAGACGGUCCUCGAGAUAGCGAGGCAUUAAGGUUUCUUUGCUUUGUUUGAUAUUAUUUAUGGAUGACAAUGUAUCAUCCAUUUUUCUGUUAUGUAUAACUACAUUGUUUUGUUAUUUAUUAACACUUAUUCAAUUUACUUGCACAACGAUCAAAAAGUAGAAUCUUCUGGGACAAGUUACCAAAUUAAUCCAUCGACUUCAAGUUUUGCUGCAACUUUGUAUCCCAGCUCUUCAGUAUCCAAUCUGCAGAAGAUCUCCAAGAUCGAAGAUUUCCGUCCUUUCUAUGGAUUCAGCUCUGAGCUUGAUUCGAAAUUUACACCGUAAAAGCCAUUACCUAUAGUUUCAUGUGAAUCAAUUCAUCAUCUUUGCAUUCCCUAACUUCAAUCUCCAUCACUUUGUUAGCAGAUGAAGGCAAAACAUCACAGCACUGCCUCCUUGGAGCCUGCAGCUGAAAUAAUCGAAAUGGCGCAUAACGGGUGAGCUCGUUUAGUGGUAAAACAGUAGCGUUUAACGAGUUAAGAAGCUUAAGUGACUAUUGAAAAAAAGAAAUUAUCUAUUCUACCUGCGCAUCGCUGAGGUCAAGCUUGCGAGAGAACACCUUUAUCUCUUCAAGUCUUCUGGGUGAUGCCAAGUCCUCCGAGCAAUUCGCGUAGGCUUUCGUGUAGUGGCUGGUAACGAUAUUGCUUUUUCCGUUAGAAGAAGUGGAGGCACGGUCCAUAAAGAAAACCGUGGCUCUCUUGCAUGGAUCGGGAUGAGGCGGUCGAGUGUUGAAAACAUAUGUUCCGGCAAGCACACUUCCUUUGCUCCAUUGCUUGAAUGUCGUUUCGGUAGGGAGUACGUCGGGGAGGAGAAUGUGGCUCCCGUAGACCUCGACUGCGUACCCCCACGCCACUGAUAUGGUCCAUGAGAACCAACGGUCGUAGCAGACGGUCUUCUGCAGGACCCUCUGUGAAUCGACAUCUGCUGCGGUCAGCAAAUGUUGAACAGAAUCUCGAGUCGUCAUGUUGGGGAAGAUCGGACCUAUGUGACCCAUGUGGUGGAGAGACACUACUAGCACGGUUGGGUGUGAAGUCAAUAGACCAAACACAUCACCAUGAAAAUCGAGCUGCGAAAUUCGGCACAUUAUUACAACAUAAAUCAUAAAUGAUUUUCCCUUAUGCUGACCGAUUGGAAAAUGAUCGAUAUGCACAUACCUGAUGGAAACCGGGCUCUUUAGUUAAUGUUACACCAAGCUCAACCAAGCAAGAAGACACUCUAGAAUCACUUCCAUAGAGAUGAUGAUACCUUUCUAUACAAGAAUCAAGAACCUUGGCCAAAACUUUAGCCAGUGGGUAGCUUAUUGCGAAUCCUGCUCCGCCAUAAGCCAUGUCAAAACCAAACAGCCUGUUCUGCUCAUAAAUCUCCGAGUUAGACCCAAUGUAGUACCAAAGCCUAUGAUCGUAUUUCGAUAGAGUCUUCACCAAGUUCUCCGGGAAGAAAACCGUGUCAUCGUCCCCAAACACAAACCACCUGACAUCAGUAUGGUUGAGUGCCACCGUCUCGGAGACCACCCUAGCAACUCGAAUAGCAGACCUGAGACCUUUCUUGAACGUGUACCGAAACCUCGAGGUGUCCUCAGAGAUGCAGACAGGAGGCAGGGAAGAGUUAUCAGCGCUAAAGUUUCGGUCAUGAUCAUCGAGCGGAGUCUCGAGGAAUACACAUCCCUUCAUCUGCUGAGGCUUCCACCAGAGCUUGACAUACUCCUUCCGGUUCAGCCACGAUUUCUUGUUGGAGGCUAUCCCGAAGACAAUGUGCUCGAGCUUCGUCGCUGACUGUGGAAAGGAUGAUGAUGAUGAACCACCAGCAAUUCCUUCCCAGGAAGAAGUCACACCUGUGAAGCUGGAAGAACCAACCAGGAACACUGACACCAGAAGAUAGACAAUGAAAAUAGACGAUGAGAAAAUGACGAAGGUUAUUAAACGUGUGGAACAACUGGACUUAGAAGAACAAGACGUUGAUGAACGAAACAACUGCAUUUUUUUUUCAAAGGGUGGUUCCUGCAAAUCAAGCAGCUGGUGAAAAGUUUGCAUCUGCAAGUCUCUGUCCAUAGUGAAGACUUUGAAUUUAUAGAUUCAACAACUCAUAUUCAAUGGCGUAACUUGAGGUGAAAAGUUAGUCGAAUCCCCCAAGCACGGAAGGAGUACGUGGCUAAGUGCCAAAGUUAGGACUUUAAAAUUUAAAAAGAAAGGAAAGAAAAGUCAGCUGUUUCAUACAUGAUCGUAAGAUGAAGCAAAGUCUGCUACUUUUGCAAUCUAAGUCACCCACUGGAAGUGGUUUUUGGAAUCAGAUUGAAUUGAGGUCAAAUGAGUUGAUUGAUGCAGUUUUCUACAACCUAAGGCCUAGCAAAACAUGGCAUUCUCCGAAUGAACUAUUACUAGUCAUAAAUUCCUACCAAACAAAACUACCAAGACUUUACUUUUUCAAAUGGAGGAGCAGACAACACCUGCACGUGUCAUUAAAGAAAACAAAGAGUCGAAAACCAGCAAAAGCCCACAUGAAUCAUGGUUAAUGGGUACCGUUUUAACCAGACCUGGUUGAUGACCAAUUCUCGGUUGAACCAGCACGUACAGUAAAUGAUCUGGACAGUAAUGGUCGACACAUUAUCAGAACAGUAACAAGAAACAGUAUUUUCUACAGUUUGUGAGAAAGUAAGUUGCUGGUGUGGCAUUAUUACGAAUUUUAACAAAUCACUUAUAAUCUAAUCGAAUCAUUCCGAUCGUCAUUCUGACGAUCGAUGAUAUCAACUUUCGACGAAUAUGGUACAAAAAUUAGGCCUUGCACCAGGUUGACUCCAACCCUUCUGGACUCUCUUGAUCUUGGAUCUGUACAAAAUCAUACUGCACAGAUCCAAAAAGGAGAGUCAACCCGGUUUCUUCACGUUUACUCCUAAUGUGCACAGAAACUACCAGCUUGCCUCAUGGCCUUUGAUUCAGAAACAUUGGAUACACAAAAUUGAAAGCAAAGGUACAAUUUCUUGCAAAGGAGAUGACCAGUUGUCAAUUUGCUGACCUUUCUAAAGACCUUUGAGUUCAGAUUUGGAGAAUCUGGAAGCAGAAUCUGCACUUCUCCCUAGUAUGAAACCAAUACUAACAACUAAAUCAACAUGGAGAUGCAGUGUAUGUAUCUGAUCUCUCGUAUCUAUCAAGCCAACAAAGAACCAAAGACGCAGAUAAAGUUAUGGUUUUGAGCAGACUUGAAGACACUUUUGGUAAAAAAAUUAGUAACUCGAAGUCGUGGCUGAAGGUUAGUCUCAUUCAUAUCACCUGUCCAGCUUGGAGCCUGUUGCAUCAUCGUGCCAUUUGCUGCUCCCUCUCUCUCCUUUGGCAACAACACGUGUACUAGAUAUCUCCACCUUCAAAUUGCAAGUGGCAGAAUCUGAUUUUCUUGAAUCAAGCUAUUCCUGCCGAAGGAGUUCAGCAGAUACGAUAGAAGUUUGUUCGACGCCUUGAGGCAUUCAUCAAGGUUUACCAUAUCUACUUUCUGAACUGAAGAGGAAAGAAACAGGAGUUAGAUGGAAAGUAUGUGACCAUCGAAUUCCGGUUCAAAAGAAAAUGCCCAUACUGAAGAAAAGAUUACCAAGGAGUGACGACCACACCGCUACUGAUUGAAGCUCCAGGGGAUAUCAUUAUCAACACAAUCUAGUCUACAUUUCAAGGUUCACUAAGGAUGCAUGGCAAUUAGUUCGUUGUUUCCGCACUGCCUGAUUCUAACAGAAAUUGAUUUCUCAGGCGAUGACGAAACCUCACAACAUUGACGACGAGGAGCCCUAAGCUGUAGUAAGUAGCAGAUCAAGAGAAACACAGGUAAGGAAACAGCCACACACCUCAAAACCGAAAUUUCAAGAUCGAAAAAUGGCAAUUUCGUUCAUACCUGAUCGACAUCAAGCUUUAGUUUUUCUGACCACACCUUGAUGUACUUCAGAUUUUUCAUAGCUCUAGAAGCCGUUGUGCAAUCCUCAACAUUGUGCCUAAUGUAACUGCUCCGAAUGCCAUCUUCACUGGAUACAACAUUUUGCAUAAAGAAAACAGCUGGCCUUUUACAUGGAUCUCUAGGAUAGUCUCUCAUAUUAAACAUGUAAUAUUUAGCGAUUGCAUUUCGAUGUCUUCUCCAUGGGGCGAAGGUUUCAUGCAGCUUAAGGAGUUCCGGAAGAAGCUCGUUCCCCUCAAACACCUGAAUCGAGUAUCCCCAUGCAAUCGACACAGUAAAGGAAUUGGCUUGGUCAUAACAUACGACCUGCUGCAAGAUCCUAGCGGGAUCAACACUCACAGCCUUGAAAAGAUGUUCCAUAGCUUCAGUUCUGUUCAUGGUGGGGAACAGUGGGUUUGCAGCAUCCAAAUGAUGAAGAGAUACCAAUGGCGAUAAUGGAUGAGCUGAAAGAAAGCCAAACAAAUUCCCUCGCAAGUCAACCUGGCAAAACAGAGCUAAUUCAGGAAACUUCAUAACAAAAUCAGAACAGUUUCUUUCAAAGAAAUUCAAAUUACUAGCCCUUAGUUCAAUUAAGAAUCGAUGAAAGUUAACUUUCAAAGUGUACCUGGUGGAAGCCAGGCUCGUGAGUCAAUCCAACGCCUAAUUCAGCCAAGCAGGAGAAGAUCCUAGCAUCACUGCCGUAUAAAUGCGAGUAACGAACCAAACAGGAAUCCAGAACCCUAGCCAAAGCCCUCGCCAACGGAUAACUGAUGGCGAAUCCACCUCCACCAAACCCCAUACCAAACGCAUAGUUCAAAUUCUGCCCAUAGCUCUCGGAAUUACUCCCAAUGUAAAUCCACCGCGUAUGAUCGUACUUCGACAGCGUAUCGAUCAAAUUAUCCACGAAAAACACCGUAUCAUCAUCCCCAAACACGAACCACCGCACUCCGGUCUGGUUCAGCUCCACCGCCUCCUUCACCACCCGCGCCACGCGGAUCGCGGACCUCAGCCCGCCCUUGAAGGUGUAGGGGAACCGGGAGGUGUCCUCGGAGACGAUCACGGGAGGGAGAUCGGAUGCGAGGUCGUCGUCGUCGUCAUUGGGCAGGUGCGAGUCCAGGAAAGCGAAGGCGCGGGUGGCGUUGGGCUCGUACCAGAGGCGAAUGUAAGGCUUACGGCGGAGGAAGGAGCCUUCUGAAGACGCGAUGGAGAAGAGGAUGUGGCGGCGAGCAGUGGGGACGACGGAGGUGGCGAAAUCGGAGGGGUGCGACGGAGGUUGGGGAGGAGGGUUGCGGAAUGUGAGGUGGACUAUGCCGAGGAGGGAGAAGAGGAGGAUGAUGUCCUUCAGGCGAGUAGGAGUCAGGGUGAGGUUCCUGAUCGGCGGCAUUGCUUUGGGGGAAAUGAGACUGUGGAGUUGCCGUCGGCGGUGGAGAAGUGGUUGGAGAAUCAGGAAGGAGUAGAGUGAUGCGUGCUUCUCACUCACUCUUCAGGUGAAUGAUUUGUUGUUAUCAACGAUUUGCCACGUAAUGAAAGAAAAUAACAUGUGGGAAAUUUUUUUAAAAAAAUACCGCAAUUAACGGAGGUUAUUGCCUUUUGGGCUUCACAGGCUUGUUCGAAUGUAAGAUCAAAAUCGGGCCUCCGUCCUUUCAGCCCACUAUUCUUGCAAAGUCGGGCCUCCUCCGUUCCCAUGAACGAUCAAAUUAAUCCGCUUUUACCACGUGGCAAUUUGACUCAUAGCUUAAUGGUUUAACGUUUGAUGGUUUGACUGAGGUUAGAUCGUUUUAAUUAUUAAAUAAAUAUGGUUAAAAUGAAUUAGAUAAUUUUUUAAUUGAGCUGGAUCAAAUCGGUAAUAUAGAGAGUUCAAUAUCAUAAUCUAAUUUAUACAAAUAUAUAGUUAUUGAAUCAUUUUGUAAAAAGUAUGAAAUUUGAUAAAUAAUAUGAAGCUUUUAUUAAUUAAACAAUUGAUAUAUAUNNAAGUCAUAUGUCUAUCACCGGUCAUACGUCAUCAGGCACAUCUUCACUAUCUCUUUAUCUUCCAAACACUCUCAUGCGCCUUAUUCCCUUAUUUCAACUCUUUUUUACUAUUCUUUCUCUUAUACGCCUUUCGUUGAAUUGUGCCAACAGACACUCCUAAGCAUUCAUCAAGGAAGAAAAAUCAUUCUACUCAAACAACUCGACCCUUUAAAUAGAACCAGUCAUUAAUCCACCAUCCAACUAAAAAGUAAAAUAACAAACCGUCGAACAACUCUAUUUUUUCGGAAAUUGUUUCAAUGUCCUCAAAAGCUCAUCAAUUUGGUUCUUUCGAGAUGGAUCCAAAAAUGGAGAAAUUAUCUGCUCCCAAAAAGCAAUGGAUGCAAACAAAUUAAGCAAAUGGGUUGUGUCAUAUCGAUGCAUUAACAUCAUCACCACAAAAUUAUUAUUGCUAUUUGCUGUGAAUUUCAGCAAAGAUGGAGGUAGCGGUGGGUUCCAUUUUCCACUUUAAUCCAUGGCCAUGGCAUUUUUGUGUGGGAAUUUGGAGGACUGCGUAAUGAAGGUUUGUUGUUCAUUAGUCUUCUUCUUUACUAUAGCCAACUUUGACUUGUUAACCACCCCAAGAUCUCAACCCCCAGUAAGAAAAUAUCAACACCAACAUCACAGCGAGCCAUACACUUGUCCGGCAGCAACGUUCACCAGCCAGGUUGAUGCCCAUCGUUAGACAAGAGGAAUCGAGAACAAUCUCAUUCGUAGGUGCUUAGUUUGAUGAAUAAAUGUUUCAAUCCAUUGAAUGGAAUGCGACAAUAAUAAUCGGAUUUGGAGAAUCGAAUUGAUGAAUUUUGUUGGGAUCACGAGAAAAUGGUGUUAGUAAUUAAGAGAGUGAAUGUGUAUGAAGGUUAAGUGCUUGCAGGGAAACUAAACAACAUAGAAGUAGUGAAAAAUACCCCAUAAGAUGAAUAUGUGUGGGAUGAGUUGUGUUAAAUGUCUUUUGAAUUAUGAUCGUCAAAAUAUUUUUUAGGGCUCAAGCUUGUCGUCUUAAUAGGAUUUUUGAAAUUGUCUAAUGUUUUUAAUGGUUGGCCGAUCAGCCUCAAAAAUCGACUCUUUAAGGGCACUUGAAGCACCUAGCUCAUUUAUCUGACUAGUGAAGACCUAAUACAUAAUAUUUUUUUUGUAUAAACAUAUGUACAAUAUUGAUUUUAUACCCCUAAUAUUUAUAUUUCGACCCAUAUAUGUUUACAUUAGAUUGAUUGACAAGGUACCUAGACUAUGAAUGUAUUGUCAAAUAUUUCAAAAUUUUAAUACUUGUUUAUCUAACGCAACCGAUAUUAAUACAUUGAACUGAUGAAAGUUGUUAAAAAAUUAACGACGUAACAAAUACAUAUUUUAGAAUAUCCAAAAAAGUGGUAAGAUUCUGAGAUAUAUAUUAAGCUUAUUAAAUAAUAUGGUCACUAAACAUUAACACAUUGAGCUCACCAAUUCAAUCAUCCCAUACCACAUCCCCCAACAGAGCAAGUUUGAAAUCUAAGGUUAAAAAGGGUUUUAGGAUGUGUCAUGACAAUUCUGAAUCGUUAAAUUUUACGGAUUUUAUAUUUUGACAAAUCUAUCAAUUUUACCUGAAUUUAAAACGACUCUCAUCGCCAACAUACCUACCUACAAAUGAAAAAAAAAUAUCAUAGUCCAUAAGAAAGAUCUAAUUUCUCCAGCACCAGUCAAGUGUCACCAUUCAAAGGCAAAAAAAAAGCUAGCUUGUAGUUCAAUCACACGUUUCCCUUCUCCAAUAACGACAUGUGUAGUGUUUCUUCUUCUUCAAAUCUCGACCUCAUGUUAUAAAUACAAUCAGAUUCCUCACAUCCCAACCAUAACAUAAUCAUACGUACGUCCCCUGAAUUCCAUUGCUUCGUUCUCCCAUCGUUUCCCUCUUCACAACCACACAAAUCCCCAAUAUAUACGAACCAUCAACCCUCCUCUUCACAACUUGAUCAUAACCAGAAAAAAUGUGCAGAGGUGUGCAAAACCAGAAGGGUUGUGAUGAACAUGGUACAGGGGUUGCUUCAGCAGCAAGGAACAGGGUUUCGGUAGGGUGUGAGCUGUGUGGAGAGAAGGCAACAUUGUACUGCCAGGCUGACGAUGCGUAUCUGUGCAGGAAAUGUGACAGAUGGGUUCAUGGUGCUAACUUCUUGGCUUUGAGGCACAUUAGGUGUUUGUUGUGUGACACUUGCCAAGGUUUCACUCAGAGGUACUUGGUUGGUGCUUCCAUGGAGGUUGUGCUUCCAACCCUUGUUGGUUUGCAGCAGGAUGUGAUGAAUAAGUGCAUCAGUUCUGAUGAUGGUGGUGGUGAAGAAGAAUCGGAUUCAGGUUCGGUUAAACUGCCGUUUCUGUUUCUGUAGAUUAGAUGGAAAUCAUGUGUAAUUGGAGCUAUAGGGUUCUGUUUUUCUUCUUCUUCUUGUUAGGUUUUGAUAGAUUGAGGUGGCCGAUUUCUGAGAAUAUGUAACUCUGGGGAAGUUGUGUGAAUUAAUGAAGUUAAAACGUUAUAUAAAUGGUGAAGGAGGUGUAGCCGAGGUGGUAGUUUCAUCAGUUUUUAAUUUGGAGAUUUUGGAGAGUACACUUUUCAUUGUUCUUUUUGUGGCAAUUCCGGUAUGUUUAAAAAAGUACUUGAGUUGAUGGUCGGCAGCUCCGAGAUUUACUUGCUGCUUUACCUGCCUGCAGCGCCGAGAAAACUGUCGGCAUCAAUCAAAUUUUUUGUAGUCACGGAAGAAAAUGAAUCUGGACUGUUUAUAGGAAGAAAAAGGUAAUGACUUUGACAUAAGUGGCAAAAUUUUCCUCUACUAAUAAGAUGUGGUUGGAAAUUAAUCCGGGUAAAUGAGAUAUUUUGUGAUUUGGUUAAUAGGUUGUACGUUUCAAUAAAGGGUUAGGGUUAACUCGGAAGUUUGUAUAUUAUAACUUGUGUCGGAUUAUUAUAAUCAGUAUCAUCAGAACAAUAUAGCAAUGAUCGUGUUUCAUUCUCUAUAAAUAAUAUGUCGUGAGUUUUUCCUAGAAAACAAACAUAACCGAUCUGAAUUACUUCUCAAAAUCCAAUGUGAAAUAUGGUUCGAUUCAUCGCUAACCGUUUCGAUUUGAUUCAUAGCUAACAUUGCAAUAGAUGGAAAGGCAUAAACAAGCUUUGCAGCAGCAGAGUUCAUGGUUACAAUGUUUAAGAAGCUACGUACACCUGCCAAAACAGAAGGCUAACAUCGAAAGAAUGGGCUUCGAAUCUAGCUCUUAAAUCGCGGUAGUUUCAGAUCGAAGAACACUGUGGAGGAUAACCUGUCAAACAACAAUGGAUUGAAUUUUUGAACCAAUUAAAGCUAUAGAACCUCUUCAAAACUUGGAAGAGACCUUAUCAGACCUGCAAUUUUUCACAGACAAUGAGUUUCUUGAGAGACAAGCAAUCAAUAUUAUUGAAGUGUGAACUUAAGCUGUGUUUAUGGAAGAGAAAGCAAACCCAACUGAAUAAUAAGAAACCAGAAAAAAUGGACUCCAUAGCCUGCCAAAAAACAUGAAGAACAUUAGUAAAGCUGAUAAAGCCAUACAUAUUUUUCGAAACAAAAAGCCGAUUUCAUUUGUCACACCUAUUGAUCUUCCGUUACACUACGGAAAAGAAGAAAAAACCAGAAGAGGUUUGUGUGUGUAUCAAGCCAUGGAUGAUGGGACGACUUUGGUGUCUUCUUCCACAAGUAACCGCUCAUCGGAAGAAGGAUCAUAGUCGCAUUCUUCGCCAGCUUUCACGAAUCUUCCUUUCACGCGCUUCCUCGUUUCAGCCCUCGCUUUGCGAGAGGCAUAUCGAAUCUGCUUCCCAAACCUACACCAACAACCACCAGUCACUUGAUGAACAUGCUGUUAAUUAACCAUAUAAAAACUGGCCUGAACCUUCACCCAACCACAUGCAUGAAAAUGGAAAGCCAGUGUGGGAAGCAUGAUCGAGCCUGCAGAAUCGAUCGUAUUAUAUCGUACCUUCGUGUCUUCUUCUUCUCGUUGUAUCGUAGCUUCGCCUGGUGCCUGGUGUGUGGGCUGCUGCUAGCUUCCAAGGUGGCCUCCCAUGGAGGUGAUUCAGUGGUGCCACUCAGAAAUGCUUUUGAUGAUGAUAGCCCACAAUCUUGGUAAUCACUGCUGAUUUCUCCACUGAUGUUGGUCGAAAACGAGAUCGACAUGGCUGAUGAAUGAACUUGUUGCUGUCCUCCAUGAGUCUCACCAGUAGUAAACCCUUGCACAUUCAUGCUGUUGUUGGCUCUGUUGCCAUUAGGGUUCAUGUAGAAGCAGUUACUUGACCUGGAAGCAACAUGAGAUGGCUGAAUAUUCAACGCUGCACAUUCCUGCUGCCCCGGUGAUGAACCCUAACAGAUCAUUAUGUAAUCUAUUCUUAUCAAUUACUGUAAUUCCUGAAACAUUUUGUAUCCAUCCUAAGGUUUGUUUCCUUGAUAAAAAAACGUGACAAACCUCAAUCGGACCGUUUGAUUCAGUAAACGACAAGUUCCUUUCGAUCGUAUUGCAACACUGGUUUUCGACAUCUUCAAACGUGUUGUUAUUCACGACCUGAUCCUGCAGGCAUUCGAAUAUCCCACCAUCACCGUGUUCGAAAUUCAGCUGGACAUCGUCCAAUAUGUUGAGACCGUCGAUACAAAUGUCUUUAAGAUUCGAGCAAUCCUGAAUAUAUAAACAUUAUAAUCGUCGUUAAGCAACUAAUCAAUCCAAAAACCUGCAAAAAUCUCGAAAACUACUAUCCAUACCUUUGAUCCUUCUGACAUGAAGGGCACCAACAAAUUAGGCUGGAACCUCGAACCCGAAUUGAGAUCAUUAAUCGUUGGCAAAGGAUAAUUGAGAUGCUGCCUGAUCAAACUCGGAUCACAUCCAACACCACCAAAAGAAGGGAACUGAUCAAGAAGAUCACCACCACCACCAGACCAUCGCCCCAAGAUCUCCGACCACGAAGGACAACCAACGUAACAAUUACUAGAAACGUGUAGCUUGUGCCCCGAGCUUAUGCACCAGAGCUCGCACCCUUGACACACAGGGAGAUUGUUCUCGUCCAGGCAUCGGAGCACCGCAGGGUCGGAAUCGCACUUACUGCAGAGGAUCGAACGCUGAUGCCUGCGAGCCAGCGAAUUCGCGGAAUGCACACGCGCGUCGCAGUCCAGGCACAGCCUCGCCGUGUCUGAUUUGCAGUAAACCGCUGCCUUCAUCACACAGCACAAGUCGCAAAAGGGUUCCAUUUCAGUAACUAUAUUUUUCCUUGUGAUGAUGAUGCAGAGGCCAUGGAUGGAAGGGAGAAAUAGGUGAAUGUUUUGAAGAUGAUUAAGUGGCUUGAAUUAGCAAAAACUUGCAACUGAAACUGAGGAUGUUGUGGGAGUCUGUUUUUUUUCCCCAGAUCGAAAUGUAAAUAUUCAUAGUCUUUCGCUUUUUUGUACCUUUAGCCGUAUUUGAAGGCUUGUAAUUAGGUCAAUCAUGGGAGAGUUACUUUUUUGGAUUAUAUAUUUAUGACAUCAAGUUGGAAAAUCAAGUUGAUGAUGUCAUAAUAAUUUAGAUUGUAAUAAAUAUGAUGUAGAUGUAUUUUUUCUUUAUUUUUCACUUAUGAUCGAACAAAAUCGAGAGGGAGUUGUGGAUUAUUAUUAUCGGACGAUACGAACUAAGCGUAAAGUUAUUGUGAUUUAUGAUAUGUUGUUUAUAUCAUGGUCGUUAACUCUUUUUUAAUUAUUGAUUUUUAUUGAAGUUAGAAUAAAUUUUUUUGAAAUUUUUAAUAUUUGNNNNNNNNNNNNNNNNNNNNNNNNNNNNNNNNNNNNNNNNNNNNNNNNNNNNNNNNNNNNNNNNNNNNNNNNNNNNNNNNNNNNNNAUCUGAUAUACAAGGGCGGAACUAACUUUACAUCGGGACGAACAAUCGUUCAUUUCGGUCGCGGAUAUAUGUAAUUACUUAUGUGCUAGUAUUUUAUAAAUACACAUGAAUGUUACAUAGUUCAUUAAUUUAGCGGAAAGUCUUUAAUUUCUCUUAGGGAGGGUGUUAAGUUCAAUCCCCAUAACAUGCAAUUUUGCCUGGUUAUUUUUUUUAAUAAUUUUAAUUAAACAUGGACUGUCCACAUUUUUUGUUUGUUGCUCUUUUUUAAUAAUUUUAAUUCCUAAUAAUGAAUCUGAUUAUCGAAAAUUAUAUCCAAGCCCGAAUCUUAAUCCUUAAUAAUGAAUCUGAUUAUCGAAAAUUGAUGAAUAAAAUCGAAUUAAUUAAUUAAUUUAAUUACGAGAAAUGAUGCAUGCAUGAAUGAUGGAUCCGAGAAAUUGCUCCCGCGUUCUUUUCCAUUUUCUCACGUUUUCCCUCGCUAGAAGUUUACGUUAGCUAGCCAGAGCUAAAAAGAACGAAACGCUCGCAUCAACCGCCGUUUCAAAUUUGCAAAAAGGUCCUUGAGAAAUUGAUAGAUUAUCCAUUUGCUCCUCUUUCCUUUUUCUAAGGAAAAAGCCCUCCAUAGCCAUGAACGAAACAAUCUCAGAACUUAGAGAAAAACGAUCCAUCCCCAGGAGCGGGUGGUGAGAUCUAAGCGAACCUCUUCCUCAUUUCGGUUCGCAUUUGAACAGCCCCACCACUUGGGAUUCGAAAACCCACUUCUUUGUUUUCUCUGUAAGUCUUUCCUUGAUCUCAUUUUGUUUUGGUUUCGGAUCUGUCGUCGUUUUUUGAGAACCGCGCCUGAAUUUGAAUGGUGAUAGGCGUAGUGGGGGGCUGAUGUUCGGAGGUCAAGCGAUACCGCCUGGGAAUAGUCCGCAUUUGAGGAAGUCUGGUAGCCGAUCUGUUGUGUUUGAUCUUGGUAGCAACAGAAUGUCAAUUGGAUUGUCUCGAUUGUUUGCAUCGAGUAUUUGUUUUAGCUGGUUUGAAUUUUUUGGUUGGUUGAUGGUGUUUUAGUUUAAUUAUGUUAGGCGGGGAGCUGGGAAAUGGUGCGGAAGAAGGGUUCUUACAUACAAUAGAGUCCGAUAGCUUGAAGAUGCUUCCCAUUGCUGCUGCUGCUGCCAUAAUGCCGUCUCCAGUGCUGUUAUGGAGAUUCAAGGUAUUCUUCAGUUCCUUGUAUCUCACAUUCUUUCAUGAAUUCUUUCCCGUGCUGGUAAACAUUUGGUUUUGUUCCAUUUCAUUAGUCAAUGGUAAGUUUGAAAACGGACUUAGGUUGGAAUUAUCUAUCUAUAGCUUCAUUUCUCUUGCAUUAAGCUGAGCUAAAUCUGGUGAUGAGGGCAUAGCGUUAGUUAUCAGUGUGUGUUAAGUUUACUGUAGACAUGGCAUUCACGACUCAUGUUUUUGCAGUUGUGCUUCGUUACGAAUAUCUUGAUCAUACUAGAUUUGUUUCUUGUCAGGUGCUUCUGUUCUUCCUAUGGGGUUUUGUUUGCUGUAAGGUGAGUUGAUAACCAUACUGCAUUCUUUUAGAUUGGACUGUAUCAGCUGGUACAUAUGGAAGGCUGACAUAACUUUUUUUUGCUUGUUCUUGCUUUAUAAUGCAGAUUGGAUGGAGUUCUGUUAUGAGAAUGAGUGCAAACUUGCGGGACCUUUUUCUCUACGAGGUGUUCUUGUAUUACAAUCCUCUUCUUCUUGUGGUAAGUGACCAUUGUGGUUGGUACGCAAUAUGCUUGCUCUAGCAUUUUCCCUUAUCCCGUAGACUGAAACAUAUGAGCUUGUUAUUGUAGACAUUGGCAGUUUGGUUUUGGGGUUCUAAUCUGUGGGUAUUCUCCCAGUCGACUGUCAGUUAUGCUAAGAUUUUUGAUCUUGACCAAAGUCAUCUCACUCACAGAGAAAUAUGGAAGGUUUAGUAUUAUGGUUUUUUCCUAUUUCUUUUCCAUUUGGGUCUUAUUUGAUGUUGGACUUCUGCUACCCGUUUUAUCAUUUUAUGUUUUUUUCAUUGGUAAUGGUAAUGACUUCAGGUGCCUUUUAUAUAUGCAGGUUGCCAUGUGGAUGACCAUAGUUGUCCCAAGUAGCAUGACGGCCUACCUCUAUCUAUAUUCCCAUGGAGAAGUAUCGUUGGCAGCAUCACAACCAGUGUAAUAGAAGCUCCUUAUGAUUAUUUAUCAAUGCAUUUGUUCACUUAGCGUUGUUUCUAUGUUUGUGACUUUAGUUGCAUUAAAUAAGGUUCUUCAGUAUGCAGAGCUUUGGCUGAUUUUCAUUGUGGAAUAAGCUGAUUAGUAGAAAUAUUAAGGAAAUAAACUGUUGUUCAUAUUCAGAAUGUCUUAUCACUUAUCUCCAAUUUCAUUCUGCAUAACUUAAGCAGAUAUGAGAAGAAAAUGAAAACUCUAAAUCUCUGUUACAUGUGACUAAGAAUACAUUAUUCUCUACCGCAGGUUCUACUCUACUGUGCUGUUGCAAUGCUUCUGAUAUUCCCGUUUGAUAUAUUCUACUUGUCAACACGCUACUACUUGCUAAGGACUCUAUGGAGGAUAUUAUUCCCUUUGCAGGCAAGUAACCAGUUAGUCGUAUAAUUGAUGAAACUUGCAUUUCAAAGUUGGUUCCUAAUAUUCUACCAAGGGAAUUACCUUUCCUGCUUGUGAAAGAGAGAGUUGACACUUCACUUGGUAGUUAUGGGGAGUUAUAUUAUAAGUCAGUCAUGCUGCUUACUGAUUCAUUUUUUCUUCUGUUACAGGCAAUUUCGUUUGCUGACUUCUUUGUGGCUGAUAUCUUAACUUCCAUGUCAAAGGUAUGUAUCCUAUCCUGUAUAUAAAAUCUGGUGACUAAGUUUUUUCAGCACAUUUGUUUUGCCUCGGUACGAUUGGUUAAUAAGUUCGAGAUCAUUAAUAACAUAGCAAACUUCUAAACUAGCAAAAGUUGACCCGGUAGGUUUGGUAAAGUUUUCCGACUGAUUUCAGAAUUGAUCUGAUUCAAUCUGUUCUUUUGAAAAUAUUGAAAGAUUGAUUAUUUUUCAUAUUCUUGGGCGAUUGUUCACGUGCAGGUCUUUUCAGAUAUGGAGCGUUCAGUUUGUCGAAUGGUUCAUCGCCAGGUUUGUAAUUGGUUUAUGUCCUUUGGCUAGCUUGUAAUAACUAAUUAUGACAUCUCUAUUAAGGUAUUAAUCAACACACGUCAUUACAAGAAAACUACCAGAAAACUAAACCAAUCUUUAUGGUAGCUGACGUGCGAAUAAGUUAUUAGACUCGUGAACUUAUAGCUCAAGCAAUUGCGAUGCCUAAAUAUUUCACCUGUCCUUGCUAUUAAUCUAGUUGAGUUUAUGCAGGUGGCUACAAUUGCAUGGUUUGAAGCUGACUCUAUCUGUGGCAGUCACUCUGUUGCAAUCCCAAUGGUUCUUGUUCUUCCCUACUUGUUUCGGUUGUUUCAGUGCCUUCGACAAUACAAGGAUACAAGGGAGAAAACGUCUCUUCUCAACGGUAUGGGUGUUGCACUACUUUUUCUCUUUUCCUUCCCUUUACAUUGAUAAUCUGGAUCUGGUUUGCUUGACACUGUAGUAACGUCAUUUCCUUCUACUCUCAGCCUUGAAGUAUUCAACUGCCGUACCAGUCAUUUUCUUAUCAGCCUUGAAAUAUCAUGUCUUCCCCGAUAAAUGGACAAACUUUUAUCGGCCUCUUUGGCUAUUCUCAAGUGUCCUGAACUCUUUGUAUUCCUUCUACUGGGAUGUGACCCGAGAUUGGGACAUGAGGUAUGGCUUCGGUUCAGAUAUAACUCUUUAGAUACUUGACGUGUUUUCGUUUACACUUCCUUCUAAACAGAGUUUCACUGAUGGCCUUUGCUUUUUUCUUCUCAGUGGCUUCACUAGAAUCUUCAAAUUCAACAGACCGAGUGUAUUUUCAUACAUAAUACAUGGACGAAAAUGGGUAAGUUCCACAAACUCAAAUGUCACGUUUGUCAGAGGGGGUAAACUGCAAUCUUUUCUGCUGCAGGUUUACUUCUGGGUUAUUGGAAGCAAUCUGAUCCUACGUUGUACGUGGACCUACAAGCUCUCGGCUCAUUUGCGCCACAACUACCUGACCGUUUUCGCGAUAACAGCGCUGGAAAUCUUCAGGCGGUUCCAGUGGGUGUUCUUCCGGGUCGAGAAUGAAUGGAACAAGAUGAAUGCCAAGUCAAACGCUCAGCUUGCACUGAGUGAGAAGUCAACAGAGGAAGAGAAGUCCAAGUUACUUGACUCUAGUGAUCAUAAUGUAUAGAAAUACUGUCGUGUCUUACCCUUUAACCCCAUCUGAGAGAGCCUCUUGAACAUGAUCCUCUACUUCUCGAUUUUUUCGCGGCAGCUUCAAUCCGCUCGUUCACCCUGUAGUAUUGCACUGCUUCAGUUUUGGUGUUGAUAGAAUGACAGGUGAUGUUGAACACCCAGAACUGGUAGAUAUAUACAUGUUACUGAAUACUGAUGCUUUCUGAUACUACUAGUUCUGAAAUGCUGAAGAUUUCGAUGUAAGAUCGCAAAUGUCACCUCUUUUGGCGCACAGCUAUCACAACCCUUGCAUCUCCGAAGACAUGGUUUUACGAAACCUGGACGCCAAAUGCCACAGUUUUUACGAAUCAUGGAUACCAAUUGAUAGAAUCGAACCCGAAACCAUUGAAAAGCUUCCAGGACUGCAGUUAAUGCAUGGAAGAUCUGCUUAGUAUUAUUCAGUUCAUCCUCGGACCAAGAUUCUUAGUCUGAUUGAGAAUCAUCACCAACCACUGUGAAUCUGUGAUUUCUGAUGACUGAUGAGUGGUCCAUUUUCAUCCCUCCCAUUCAUCCCUACAUUAUCCCAAAAGCAAAGAAUAUCCAACAACUGUCAGAUCAGCAUCUGCCACGUGUCAGCAACCCAUUUAACACUACCCAGAUAACAGAAGGAGACCCCAUUUCACAUAACCACACCCCCAAACCAAACCAAAACACACAAAAAAAGCUUCCAACUUCCCAUGUUGGCAUGAAUGUUAGCCACCGGGGACCUCACCACCGGCGACAACCGGCAAUCAUCGGAGCAAGCGACGCCGCCGAGAGUCCUGACGGUACUAUCCCAUGUGCUGGAGAAGCUGGUGGCUAGAAACGACAUGCUGCAGGUGGAAUGGAACGUGAAUGGUGGGAAAUUAGGAGGAUUGAAUUCCUUCCAUGGAGUUAGAGCUCCAAGUAUAAGCAUACUCAGUUACUUGGAGAGGCUGUACAAGUACACUGAAUGCAGCCCUUCGUGCUUCGUGGUUGGUUAUGUCUAUAUCGACCGGCUGAUUCACAAGCACCCUGAUUCUCUGCUGGUUUCACUCAAUGUUCAUCGCUUGCUGCUCACUUGUGUCCUGGUUGCUUCCAAGAUGCUUGAUGAUGUGUAAGUCCCUCUCUCUCUCAAUCUGAUUUUGGUUUGUUUCGGUUUUGGUUAACGAUUUUUUCAGUUUGAAUGUUCGAACCAAACAACUAACAUGCAUGUAUGGUUACUCUGGACCGUAACCGGUCAUUUUCUCACAACUAGAUAAUGAUUUUAGGUGUACAUGUGUAGAUUUUGUAGUUUGAUUUGGUGUUAUAUCAAGUCGUCACGAUAUAAUUUUGAGUAAAUAAAGAAUUUUGUAUUAGUUAGACAUUUUCCCUAUACAAAACGUAACCGAUAUUGAUUUUGGAUCGGUUAACAAAUACAUCUAACCCCAAGCUUAAUUAAGCGGCUGAACUCCAUCAUUUUUGGGUAUGUUUUCUUGCAACUCAAGAAACCCUUGAAACCACUCGGCUAGAAUUCACUCCGUUCCAUUGAAGUUUGGCGAUCCACUUCUCUUGUGUUAAGGUCUUAAAGUGAUCAGAUUAGCCGAACUUUUAAGUCAUUGAAGUUUGGUUCGGACCAGCUAUACUAUUUGAUUUGGGUUUUCGGCCAUCUAAUUGACCUCUUGUUUAGUGGUACAACAUAUCAGAAUUAUUAUAAUUCCCUACGAACUCAUAAUUCUCUAAUCAUAGUAGAGAUUUCGUCACCUCUUGUGCAUAUAGUUUAAUUUUUUCCAAUUUUUCACGUAAAAUCGUUUAUGUUGCUUGUCUUGAUUGAUUGAGUUUUGAUUUGAUUUAUGUGCAGGCACCAAAACAAUGCGUUUUACGCAAGAGUAGGAGGAGUGAGCAACGCAGAACUGAACAAGCUUGAAAUUGAGCUUCUUUUCCUCCUUGAUUACGGACUCACCGUUACUUCUCGAGUUUUCGAGAGCUAUUGCAACCACUUGGAGCAGGAAAUGAUGCUCACUACCAGUAAUGGCGCCACUUCUUCUUUGACUGAUCAUGAUCCUGCCGCCGCCGCCAUUAAUGGUGAAGUGGUUUCUUUGUCCUCACCUUCAAGCGGCAGCAAUGGCGCCGGAGCAGUGCUACCUGCCUUGAGAUCCUUGUAACUUGUUUUCUAAUCUGGUAUAUAUAAUCUUAUGUUUUGAAAACCCUAGCCAACUCCGCGGACGUGCAAUGUUAUAUCAACUCCAAUUUUUUUCUUGGAAUCCAAGCAACCCCAAGACUUAGUUGUUGUCGCAGCCACCACUGAAGCCUGUAAGAAGUCCCUCCAACACCGUAGUAGGAACAGCAUCCCCACGGAAUCCGUCACAAUCCAUUUGUUGGAACCCUUACCGGACGGUUUCCUCGACAAAAUCUUGGUCUUGACUGCAAAGAUUUCGCCUCAAAAGAUCGACAUUCACUUAGACAGAUACUCUAUUCAUGAAUGGUACAUUAUCCCACAGUGCUUCUUAUUACUACGUCAGAGCGAUGGUGAUAAUAAUCACGAAUUUUGCCGCCUGACCAUCCUGAAGUUGCAAUAAAAAGCCCUAAUUUUCACUUGUUGCAAAUGAACAACUCCCUUAAGAGAAAGAGAGAUAAGUUACAGGAGGAAGAAAUGAAAAUGAUGUGGGCGAAGAAAAGAAGCUUCAAGUUCAUGGUGAGGUCGUCCCCACAUUUCAGGCCCGGGUCCACAUAUGAGUGUUUUUGGUUUCAAGCACCCAUAUUUUCCCACAACAUAUAUAUAUAUAUAUAAGUGAGUUAAUUUAAAAAAAUUUAACACUAAUAUCAUAUUUCUUAAAGUUAAGAGAAUUAUCAUAAUAAAAUUUAAUUUUUUAGUUAUUUUUAACGUGUCAAUAUCAGUAGAUUUAAAAAUGAUCAAAUUUUCUUAUGAAAAUGAUCAAAUUUUCCUUAAUAUAACACACGAAAAUUAAUCAAUUUUGACAUGAAAUUUGAAAAUUUAAAAAUUGACUAAUAUUUGACAUGCAUGUUGGGAAUAAUUAAAAAAUUGAGGUGUCAACCUGUUAAACCUUUCAAAACAUCGCUAAAUAAAAUUAAACAUUAUUUAACCGUCCAUUAAAUCAGCCCAAUAAUCAAAUAGAAAAAUUACUGCAACAAUAACAUUUUGUUUAUGGCUUUAAUAUUUUUGUAAAACUAGAGUUUCUCUUAGGAUUGACUUUCAUAAAUACUAUAUAUCUAUAUGUAUAGCUAUAUUAAUAGCUAUACGAAGAAAUCGUUUUAAGUGAUUAAUACUAUCAGAUGCCAUUAAACCUGUUUUUAUCGGUCACUCGAUAUAAACGGAUUUCAAGUCUACUGUGCUCGUUAAGUGUUAGGAUUUUAACUGCCCAAAUUAAAUAGUUUUCGGGUGGGUACCUGAUUUUCGGAUUAUGAUUGUCAUCCAAAAUUGGGCCAGUUAAAAGGUCCGUUGGGCUGCAAGGGAAAGGGUACGAUAUUUCCGACUUUUACGCGUUUUCCGACUUAAUCCUACUUGGACUCAGUUGAUUGCUUCAGGGGUUAUCGGUGUAAAAGAGUACGGUGAUGAAGAAGAAGCAGAUGAGGAAGAGAUUGAAGUCGAGCUAAACGAUGUCGAGCCAGAAUUUCUGCAGGGCCUAACGAAGGCAUCUAUCGAUCUAUCACUGGUGAAGAUCUUCCUUCUAGUAGGGUGAUCGUAAAUUUCUAACCAACAAACUGAUUGUAGUCCGUUAAAAUCUUAUCACGUAUGCCUUCAAGCGGUGACUUGUCCGGCUAUCCGCAACUAGUUAUGUUUGUUAGUUGUAUAGGCUUGAUCGCCCAAGAGCCCAUAAAGCAACCCAUUGAGUUCCGUUUAAGUUGAGCAGUCAAACUUCGAUCGUCAACUUUAGAUAGUAAAUUAGCUGUGUUCAAUUCUAUUUGAACUUUCAUAUCUCACUACUCGUAUAAAAACAGACUUCACGAAUUAGAUUAAUGAUUAAUUUUUGUUUAUGUGUUAUCUCAAUUCCUCCCAUCGAAAAUUAUCUAUAACAAAAAAAACUUUCACCCUUGCAAACCCAUCAUAAAAACAUGAUGAACCAUUGAAGAAAGAGUAAAAAAGACCCAAAAAAUAUCUAGAAUUGUAAGAAUAGUCUUCCUAUAGUGAGCCCACCCAAUCAAUAGACUAUUGACAAUUUCAUAAUUAAACAAAUUAACACUUCUCACACUAUAUAUAUAUAUAUUAAAUACAUGCAAGAGCUUUCCAAACUUCAACUAUAAGAAAGAACAAAACCAAAUAUCAUUAUGGCUUCCUCCACUAGUUACAAUCUCCUAAUCAUCACUCUUCUAGCCGCCGUCACCACCCUCGUCGCCGGCGACCAACCACUAUUCCACUUCUGUUCACCUUCCCUGCAAUCCUCAAACCAAGACGUCCCUGCUUUCAACGUUAACCUCAAGACCCUCUUCUCCAAGCUCUCCAACCAAGCCCCGCCCACCGGCUUCGCCAACGUCGCCGUCGGCGGCUACCGAAGCGGCAGCCGGGUCUACGGCCUCGCCCUCUGCCGUGCUGACGUCGCCUCCGCCACCAACUGCAAAUCGUGCCUCACCGACGCCGCCAGCGAGAUUUCCGGCCGCUGCCCUUCGAACAGCAGCGCAAUCAUUUGGUAUACUACGUGCUAUGCAUGGAAUUUAUUAAUGCAUCUAUAAAUGUUUUUAUUUUACCAUUAAACCAAUUUAAUUUAGAAGAAAAUUAAUAAAAGCUUACCCAUUUUACUAAAUAAGAAAAUCGGGUCGGGUUUCAAUUUGAUUACUUAGGUUGUAGGUUGAUUGGUUGAGCAGAUUAAUCACAAUUCGAUUAUAGGUUAAUUGAGUGCAAUAUAAAUUGGUUUACAGGUUUCUAGCCGUUCAUGUUUGAUUGAUAUUCGAAUCAGUUUUUCCAUGAACAUUCCAAUUUGUUGGAUUUACAGAUUUAAGGGUAUGAAUCAACUAAGAGGUCACAAAUUUCACAAGCUGAAAUCAUAUGUGAAUUGAUAAGAGUCGAAUAAAAGAGGAAUAAACGAAUAAAAAAAGGAAUAAUAACAGAGUAAUAUCGGUGAUUAACGCGAUUUUUGAUUUUGAGGUCGAUUAGUCCACGAAGAGAAAAGAGAAUAUUAUUAGGGAUUUUGGUGAAAGUGAUGGCUUAAUUACAGAAAAAGAGAUUUACACUUCUUAUAUACAUAAAAGUUUUGGUUAACUCAUAACUACAACAUGCCUAACCCGAUCUAUAUUAACAUCAAUAGGAUCAUCAACUAACUCAAGUUAUGAAAACAAGUUAAUUCAAAUUCGAUUCAACGAAUUUGACCGACCGAGUCAAGUCAACUCUUUCAUACAUAAUUUCACGUCAUAAAAAAUAAAAAUAUAUAACACUUUAAUUAUCUUGCAUUCCCACUCAUGAAAAAAUUACUAUUUAAUAAUAUUAAUGCUCCGCGACGUGGCUCCCAUUUGAUCAUAAUUUCCACUUGUUGACUUUUUCCACAUUUUCCACUGACAAAGUUAAAUUACCUCAAUGCCCCUCGAGGUACGACAACUGAAUGCUCAAGUACAAGGACACAAACUUCUUCGGCAAGGUAGACAACAACCAGAGGUUCUACAUGUGGAACACGAGGGUGGUUUCCGAUCCGGCCACGUUCAAUGCCAAGACGAAGGAGUUACUGACCAAGCUGUCGAAGGAGGCUUCGUCUUCUUCGCCCUCAAAGUUGUACGCCUCGGGGGAGAUGGAGAUCGACAACAAGAACAAGGUGAAGCUUCGCGGGCUUGUUCAGUGCACUCGAGACUUGUCGGAUGAGGAUUGCGGGAAGUGUGUUGAUGGGAUCAUAGGGGAGCUUCCUAGUUGUUGUGAUGGUAAAGAAGGUGGUAGGGUUGUGGGUGGGAGUUGUAACUUUAGGUACGAGAUUUACCCUUUUCUUAAUGGUACUAGUUAGUUUAAUGGUACGUGUACUAGUUGAUGAUGGGUGUUUUAUUAAUUAGUGGAGUUUGGAUUGGAAGUGUGAGUGUGUACCCACAUAAGGGCUAGUUGUGGUGGUGCGGUAGACUAUGAGUUAAUAAUUAAGGGUGUUGGUCUCCGUUUAAAUAAAAAAAAAUUAAGAAUAAGUUAAUUUGGUUAUUAAUCGUUGAUUAAUUUUCGGAGAAAAUGGAGUUAAUCCCAUCUAGGCAUGGGCAAGCAGCUAUAUAUGGGAGAUAAUUUAAAUAAUUUAGAAGACUUGAAGAAUGUAGUUAGGAUGGCAAAAUGAAGGUCAACGUUAUUUAAUUUUCUUAGCUAUGAACAUAAAUAAAUCAAUCAAAUUGGCUAUAUAUUGACUAAUUUUUAUAACGUGUUUAGGAAACAGCUAAAUUUUCGAAUUUCACUAUAUCAACCUUUUGAAUGGUAGCUAAAUGUGAAGUUAAAAAUGCAACUUUCGUAUCUUGACGAGUUUUUUGAGUAUUAAAGUUUCUUUUGAAAUUUUUGAAAUUGGCUAAUUUUUAAUAUGCGUGGUGGUAACAGAUAGAAAUUCAAAUUUCAUUAUGUCAGCACUUCAAAGUUUUCAAAACUCCUAUGGAUUAUGAUGAUCACUUUUAGGCAUUUCUCAAAAUAAACCGGUUAAUGAAUCAACUGAGUCGAAUCUUACUAGGAUCUCUUCAGGUAUCUUACUCAAAGUUGUAAUUAGCACUAAUCGAUGUAACAAGUACUAUGGUUUAGGUGCCACGAGGAUCAAUCAAACAGUCAAAAAGAAAAAUGAAAUUGCUUAAAAGUAAACGGGUUGCAAGACUUCACGAUCUAAGUUUAGANNNNNNNNNNNNNNNNNNNNNNNNNNNNNNNNNNNNNNNNNNNNNNNNNNNNNNNNNNNNNNNNNNNNNNNNNNNNNNNNNNNNNNNNNNNNNNNNNNNNNNNNNNNNNNNNNNNNNNNNNNNNNNNNNNNNNNNNNNNNNNNNNNNNNNNNNNNNNNGCCCUUUCGGUUAUGCUAUUUUGCUACCUAUCUAGUAUUCUAGUCCGCUCUUUCAAGACAAAGAUCUAAAACCCACUAGGCGAUUUACCGAUUUAGAAUUGCUCACACGACAUACUAGUUCAUUCGCUCCCGGAUGAGGGUUAACGUCUAACCUAGUUAUUUGAUUUCGGCGCUCUAGAUACGCAACCUCUUGCGAGUCUAAGACAAAUCUAACAGAGAUUUAAUUCAAGUUGAUCAGGCAAAGAACAAAUCGAAAAUAAAAUCAAAUAUGCAUAAAUCGUCAAACGUGUCAAAUCAUUCGUUCAUACAAAUCAAAUAUGCUAAUAUAGGGCAUAUGAAAUUUGCAUCGUGCUCUAUAAAAAAUGGCUUUGUAGACAAUGUGCUCCACACUUGCCACCCUAAGUUUAUAUCUCUUACUGGAGAAGAAGAUCAAAUACCAAAUAGCAAGUUUUUGAUUGCUCUUAAGGUAAAUGCUUCUAAUAAAUUAAUUAAUUAGUUCUUAAUGUAUUAUAUUAGUAAGUAGCUAGUAGUAGCAGUAACUCAGAAUAGCAAUAAUCAAUUAUUUGUUUUUGAUGGAUUUGCAGAUCAUAAAGCAAGCAGUUGGUGGGAAGAGCUUCAAGUUCUUGUAGUCCAUGUGAAGGUACUGCUGGCGAGUACUUCUGCUGGAAGAAUCAACUUAAAGAUGUUAAGUUGGUGACCAAUGGAGAAAGGUACUUCAUUUGCCGGACUCCUGGACAUUGCAGUUUAGGGAUGAAGCUCGAAGUCAACAUUCUUUCAACCAUUUCCCCUGUCUCCCCUGCCCCUGCGCCAGAGCAAUCUCUAUCUCCUGCCUCGUCUCUGCCUUUCCCCAAAGUCGAAUUGCCGGCGGAGGAAUCUCACCUCUGCCGCCGCCUGACCUGGAAAUUCCAGUUCUGGGAAGCUCCCCUGCAUUGUCUCCGUUUCCGACGGGUACCUCUGCUCUGACUCCGCCGUCUGUGGAUUCGUCGUCAGCUGAGGGAAAUGGGUUCGGCUCGAUUCAGGGGAUUGUCGUCGGAUUCUGCUCGCUAGUAGCGGCUGUGAUUGUGGUGAUGGGUUGAUGUGAUUUAUGAAUGUUCAUUCUUUGAGAGUUCAUCCACUUUGCCUUUUUCCACAGUAAUAGUUGAUUGUUUGUUUCGGUUUGAAUUUGAUGGAUGAAUGUUACUGUUAACUUUUUUUAACCCUUUAUUUUUUACUUUAUUACAUGUCCGUUACAGUUAUAAUCAUUGAGCCAGAUGUGACUUCGAUGGAAUCCCAGGCUCAGUAAAAAAGAGUUAACGAUGGAGAUCCCACUGGUUAAACUACGGCGGCGUUUGCAGUGUUGAUGGCGGUCUCGAGGAAUGAGGUGGCAGACAUGCGAGCAUCGGAGGUUAAGGCUCCACCUCUACAGAAAGUCCCUGCAAAUUUCACAGCCCUGCAGUGAAACCAGUAGUGAUUUACUAAGCUAUGAACACGAAGCAGUGAGUAAAAUUAACAACGUAAUUAACAAGCAACAACAAAACACAGUUGUCAAAUUAACAAGAGACAAACGAAACAGAGGAAUCUUUUACCCAUAAAAAGAUAAUCAAGUGUCGACCUUUAUCAACUCUGCAAAAAGCUGCUGCACCACGAAACCGGUAUUUGUAUAUUGUGAACAAACAAAUAACAAAAGGGAAUCAACGUCGAUCCUCAUGUCCUUAUUAGACCAACGACUCCCUCCCAUUGCAUUCCCAACUCAAGCCAUGUAGUCAAACCCUUGGAAUAACGUAUUUUAAUUUUAUUUAGUUAUUAUUUAAAAAUUUAACAUGAUAAAAUUUUAAUUCAUAAUUAUUUUUAACAUGUUAAAUAUUAAUUAAUUUUCAAAUUUUCAAAUUUUCAAAUUUUAUAUUAAAAUUGAUUAAUUUUCGUGUAUUAUACUAUAGAAGUGUUGACCAUUUUCACAAAAAAAUUCAGAAUUUUUAAAUCGGUAUGCAUGUUGGAAAUGGCUAAAAAAAUCAAGUUUUACUAUGAUAAUUCGUAAAUAAUUACCAAAUGAAGUUAAAAAUGAAUUUUACUAGGUAUUGUGUUAGUGUUUAAAAUUUUCAAAUUAAACUAACUUUCUAUGUGUUCAGCCGUCAUUACAUAAAUUGCGUUAUGUUAACUUUCAUCAUAUAUAAUUUUGUAGGAACCAAUUCCAUCAUAUACAAUUUUGUAGCACGAACAAACAGCCUAAUAUAAUAUUUUGAGGAGGGAAAAAUGAAAUGAACAAAAGAACAAGGUAUUAUGAAGUGUUUCAUUUAAAUUUACAACAUAUAGUCCUUAACAAAAUGAUAAUAGCGAUAUUUACAAUCUUGAAUAUUAUCAUCGUUUUUUAUCAUCAAUUUACAAUGUUCCACUGAUAUUUCGUUAUGUAUGUAUGUAAGCAAUGACCUAUACCAUUAUAGACUAUAUAUUUCUGAUGAACUUUCAAAUUCUAUUAUCUAUUUUCAUUCAAAUUCACUAAAAUCAAACGAUAAAUUAAUAAUGUUGAAUCGUAUCUAGACUUUCGCCUUUAACCAUCAAAGUGUUUUAACUUUUUCUGUAACCAUUAAGGGAAAAAAAUAAUGUAGCCAUUGAUGCACAUAACUUCCAAAACUGGAGUGUGUCACACUGGACAACUCAUCGUGGCCUCAACUGUUAAUACUUAAAUACCAUUUCUUUUUCCUUUUAUCCAAUCUUCAAUUUUGGCCUUCACGUGCAUCUUCUCUGCAAAAAUCCUCCAUUGCUCAAAGCUCCUCCCUUCAUCUUCUUCCUUCUCCCGAGAACCCGCCAUGAAAAGGAGGCGCAAACGACCCACAUUCUCCCCCUGAACUCAAACACCCCCAAUUCCUCCAAGUUUCCAGAUUCAAUCUCCUCUGUUUUUCCCCUGCAGCCAGAUAAGUAAAAAAAGAUGUUCUAUGUGGGGAAAGCAACCAAGAUCUUCAUCUUCAUCGUCACGGUGGCGGUUGUCGGCGGACUCAUUUUGGGCUUCGGCGUACUCCGCCACCACGGCGGAGGGAAAUCGGGCGGCGGAAAAUGCUCCCCUGAAGAUGAUUCCUGCAGCUACUCACCUCCCGCGGGUUCUUCUGUGUUUCCCAAUCCGGCUAAUCCGUCGCCGAUUACCUCCAGCCCAAUCUCAACUCAGCCGACUCCGACAGCUCCUGAUUUGAGCAAUCCGUCGCCGCCGCCUGGAUCCAGUUCCGGCCAAUCAAAUCCAUCUCCUCCUCCUCCGCCGUCUACGACUCCGCCUGAAUCUAGCUCAAAUCCACCUCCUUUGCAGCAAAUUCCGUCUCCGCCUCCACCUCCGGUUGCGGAGAAUGUGUCUCCGCCCUCUCCGCCGAUGCAGGCGUCCCCAUCUCCGCCGCCGCCUAGCGGGCAAGCGAUAACGGGAGCUCCGCCGCCGUCGUCGCAAUCGUUCAAUCCGCCGAGUGGGGGGACAGCGUUAACGACUCCAGGUCCUGUGCAUGCUUAAUUGAUCAGUGAAUUCUCCAUUUGGGUUUUCGAUUUAAGAUUUUUGUACAGUAGACUGUGAGAUUGGAUUUGAUACUGACUGCCUGAUAUUUCCGUUGAUGGCUUGAUGCUGCUGUAGCUCUGGUUCAGAGGUUGGGAACUUUUCAAAUACUUUAUUUUAUCUGUUUUUCCAGUUUUGGUCCUCGGAGUUUGUGAGCUAUACGCUUUGGUAUGUGAAAGUGAAAUGUUGACUUCCGGUUGAUUAGAAGUUGAACCCUUGACGAAUUAUGGUCCCAUUGGGUCAACUACCAAACCCGAUUAGUUGAUGUUUGAAUGGUUAUAUUUUAAUAGCCAGAGAAAUUCAACUCGGUUCGAGUAUAUUGGUUAGUAAGUCUCCGAUCGAACAGGACAGUCAACCAACCUAUAGUGAGAUAUCGAAAAUGCAACAUAUUAAAUUGAUUGAGGAAAAUCGGUACUAUGGAGACGGUAGAUAACCUCCAGGCGUUCACUGUAGCAUGGAUAAUAUAGGUUGUGUACACAUUUUUCAGCAAAGUUUGCUCACACUGAACUCGAACUCAAUGUUAGUCCAUAAUUUGUAGUCCAUGCCAAUGUGACUACACUAUAUUGCAUUAGAAAAGAGAUGACAUGAAUGAUCGAUUCGAUUAAAAACCGACUAUCUGAUUCAAUAAUAUAUCGAUUCGGCUUUGUACCAAGAAAAUAACACAAACCAUGGGCCUUGAACUCAAGCAAAAGAACUUCCUAAGCCCUACAAAAAUUGAAGACUUGAUCUGGGGUGUAUGGACCUAAGGCGAACCAACUAAGACGAACCUCAAAAUCAAGGCCCGCUAAAUAGGUUAGAGUUGAGUAGAGGUAGUGUGUUUGAACUUUGUAUAAUACAGAGUAUAAUUAUGUGUUAACCCAAUCAUAUUAAAACCCUAACCGACUGGUCGGGAUUACAGGUCCGUUUUGUCAACAAAAUCUUGGACUUGACUGCAAAGAUUUCACCUCGAGAGAUCGACAUUAAUUUAGAGAUACCCUCUAGUCGAGGGUGCAUUAUCCCACGGUACACUAUCCCACGAAGCUUCUUGCUGCUACGUCAGAGCGGUGAUGAUGAUGAUAAUUACCAAUUCUUCCGCCGCCUUACCAGCCUGAAGUUGAAAGAUGGCAGCUUCCGUGCUUACCUAGGAAUUGAAAACCCUAAUUUCCAGGGUUUCGGAAUCUCCCUCAAAGUGCUCUGCCUCUAGUACCUGUCCUUACCCGAUGACGGAAUCUUGGAUGCCAUGGUUUCAGCUGCCUCCCGCUUGGAGAAGUUGACUUUAUAUCUACGGGAUCAAGAGGCUUCGAAUUAAGGAUCACCCUAGUUCGAAAUCGAUUACUUCUGAGCAUGAUUCCGUGAGGAAAGAAUUCGAGAUUACGGGAGUUGACUCUCUCGAAACCUUGCGAAUAGUUCAUUCUUGGCUUAUUUGCUUUCGAGUUUCUUCUACACCGAAUUAAUCUCAAAGUUCUUGAUAUCACCGGAAACCAUACUCGAGUCUUGUAGGAUGAGAAUCAUUUGAAGUUGAUCUCGGAUUGUCCAUCUCUAGAAUCAAUUGCAUAUGCUGAUGCUGAAGCCGAGUCAUCGUUGUCGUCGUAAUUCAAGAUUGUCCAUAGGAAUCAAAUUCGAAGUUGACCUGGCACUCAUCAUCAUCGUUAAUGUUGACUUGGAACACUCAACUUAAAGACGUGAAGUUGGUGAGCAUUGGAAACGAUAGAGAAGACAAAACAGUUGAUGUUUCAGAAGAUAUGUUUUCUGAAGGUGAUCAAGACUCGUUAAUGUUGACCUGGCAUUAACUAAAUUAAAGUAAUUCCGAGAAAACGGCUUUUAAAUUAACUACAUCCUCACUCGAAAGUGAAACUACACCUUUGCAUGCAAUGCAUGCAUGCUACGUGUGAGGAUGUACAUAUAAUCCAAACCUUUGACCAUGGGCUAGGCAUUGCACGUAGUAUUCAUGCAUUGCAUGCAAAGAUUGGGGUGAAAAGUAACGUACACACAUCUCGUCACUAUAGGACCAAAGAACCCUAGUCUAUGCUUGGGUUUGCUCAUCCUACCAACGGACGAAACAAAUUAACUCUUAUAUAUCUCAUCAUUCUCACUACUUAUAUACUCUAUAGUUCAUCAAUGACAUGGUCUACAAUGAAUGAAGGCAUUGAAUUGAAUUGCACAUCCUCACUUAAAAAGUGACCUACACCUUGAUCAAGACUCCACACGCAGAUAGACUUAUCGAUCAUUAUAAAAUAGAAAAAUAAAUUCAUAUCACUUUACGUAAACGGUUGAAUAAUACUAAAUUCAAAAUUUCUUAUAAAUCUUUAAUGCACUAUACUACCAACUCAGCUACCUCAUAAACGUUAGAUUUUUUUUCUCUUUUUCAUAUAAAUUGGCGCAAAAAAAAAGGUUAAUUAUCAAGUCGGUAAACAUAUCCAAGGAAAAAAGACCAACGGUUCUAAUUCAACAAGCCCCCAUCUCCAAUUUUCUCACCAUAAGAAAAAUCAAAAAUUAAAUCAAAACCACUUAUUGCAUCAAGACAAACCAGUACCACCAUUGAAUCAUUGUUCAUCUCUCCACAUCUACGUACAGUCCAUAACCCCAAAAAACCAUGAAUUAUUCAUCACCGCACAUGUUCAAGCAUUACCCUUUUACCAAAAUCAGAACUUUUCUUCCAUGUCCCCUGUUUUGUUGUCGGUCUGAAACAGAGUGACUCUGUUUUUUUUUGUAUCUGUAAGUGGAAGAUGACGACGGUGAUGCAAUGUAACAACCACCACCACCGCCAGAGCCAGUUUCCAGCGGCGGCGGCGGUGAAACGUGGGAGUGAUGGGCUGAGUCAAGAGAAGGUUAGUGAUCGUGGGUUCAGGAAUCUCCGUCGUCGGAUGAAUGGUGUAAAUUAUUCGAGUGGUGGUGGAGCGGAUCAGGUUGUGUUAACGCGGGAGAUUACUUCCACCGCAGAAGUAGCUCAGGUAAAUUUAUUUACUGAUUUAUUUACUUAAGGGGUUCAAUUAAGCUCUGCAACCUCCAUUUAUUAAAGUAGUUGAUCACCUUCGAUGGCGAUUGGCCACCAGAAAGUUACGAUGUGUUUAAUGAAUGGCUGAAAGUGGUAGAUAAGUGGGGGCCGAAAACUAUUAAUUUGUGUCAUCAAACGGCCGAGUCGAGUAGGGGUUACAGGUUAUAAGUUUAGUAGGUGUCGGUUUUUAGCACUUUCAAGUCACUAUUUCAUCGAGUUGUGGUGGGUUUGCGGGGUUUGUUGAGAUUUUUUUGUUGGGCGAAUUAUGAUACUUUUUGAAAUAAUUUUCUUUAAUUCGAUUUAUUGAUGAAAUUGGAUGGGAUUGAAACAGACCGAGUUGGUUUGACAAUCGGUUUCUUCUCAUGUUAGAAAUGUGGCCUUAAGUUUUACACUAUUUAUGUGAAAAUGUAGUCCUUUCUUACAUGGUAAUAAUUGGAUGUACCAUUGACAAUGGCCCCAUUGGGGCCAGUAGCUAUAAUUUAUCAUACCAAGUUAUCUUUACUCUUCCAAAAGUAAAAGUAAAGUUGAAGAAGGUAAAAUUUCAUGAUUUAUUUGUUUUUAUCUCGAACAAGAUAAUUUAAUAUUAUAUAAUUUUUGUUGAGAAAUCUAUAUAAGUAGAAGAAGUAUAUAUCAUAUAAACAAAUUUGGAAUAAUAAAAAUUAAAGGAAAAAUAAAAAAGGGAUAAUAAAAAUUAAAAGAAAAAUAAAGGAGGAAAAAUAUGGAUGAUUAACGUGGUUUUCGAUCUUUAGAUUUACUAGUCUACGGAGAAAGGAUGGAUUUUGUAUUAUAGAAAUGAUGGCGGAGAUNNNNNNNNNNNNNNNNNNNNNNNNNNNNNNNNNNNNNNNAGAAAAGGUAUAUAUACUUAAUAGGAUUAUGUUAAGCUAUACAUAUUAAACAACAAGUCGAACAACAAGUCGAGCAUUAGAACGACUCAUUUAUCAACAAUUCUCAAUUACAAUCGGUACCUAAUGACAGAUCCAAAGAGGGCCUUUCCACAGGCCCGCACAGCCCAUUUUUUGAUUUUAAAAUGAGGCCUAAAGCAAAAAUUACUUAUUCAUUAAUCUAAUACUUUAAGGUUGCAAGUAAAGAAUUUUCACACAAACAAGCCAAAGAAAAAUCGCUAGCAAAUAUAUUCCAAUUUUCUCAUUUACUACUCAUCAAUAGGGUGUAGUACUUGUUUCUGGACUCUUCAUUGAUCUCCUAUAAAUAGACCCCAUCAAGCAAAGAGUUUGCAACAUCUUUGGGAGUAACUCUCUCUUCAAAAAAAUUCGUAGCAGUUCGAUCUCAAUUCGACUUCUAAUCGUUAUGCAGGCUCCGACUUAUGACGAGAAGAUGCUUGCAAACUACGUCCCAACAUUCGUCAUGCUCCCAGUAAGUAAUACAUAACAACUCGCUAGCCAAUCGUCGAUUUUGCAACAAAUUGAUCCAAUAUGCCUAACAAUAACCAUCUUGUUUAAUUUUCUCUAGUUGGGAGUAGUCACGCCUGACAAUGUCUUCGAGAACAAGGACGUCGUGGAGAAGCAACUGAAGGAGCUGAAAUCAGCAGGGAUAGAUGGGAUCAUGAUCGACGUAUGGUGGGGGAUCAUCGAAGCCAAAGGGCCGAAACAGUACGACUGGAGUGGCUACAAGGAGCUUUUCGAGUUACUCAAGGCAUUGGACCUGAAAAUCCAAGCUAUAAUGUCUUUCCAUCAGUGUGGUGGCAAUGUUGGUGACAAUGUCUUCAUCCCUCUCCCUGAUUGGGUCCUCAAAGUCGGGGAGGUUGAUCCCGAUGUCUUCUACACCAAUAGGGCCGGUGUUCGGAACAAGGAGUACCUGUCUCUUGGUGUCGACCACCUCCCUCUUUUCGGUGGCCGAUCUCCUGUUCAGGUAUCGAUUUGAGAUAUUCGAGUUAAGAAUCAUCAACCCUUUUAUUUCAUCUUGAAUCCACUCAUACAUGCAUGUUCUCAUUUGUUAACCGAACAUUUCGUGUAGAUCUACGCUGACUACAUGAAGAGUUUCAGGGAGACCAUGGCGGAAUACUUCGAUUCGCGGUUGAUAAUCGACAUCGAAGUAGGGCUUGGACCGGCAGGGGAGCUUAGAUACCCAUCUUAUCCUGAGACACAAGGAUGGGUUUUCCCUGGAAUUGGAGAGUUUCAGGUUUAUUACAGGCUAUAGUAAUUUCCCAAUUUCUCAUGAAUCCUUAUCACUUGCGGAUUCACAAAUUUUAAACCCUAGAUUCAUUGUUUCUUGUUGAACAAUCCAGUGCUAUGACAAGUACAUGGCAGCUGAGUUCAGAAAGGCAGCAAUAGAGGCAGGGCAUCCUGAGUGGGAAUUGCCUGAUGAUGGAGGGGAAUACAAUAAUACCCCUGAUCAAACAGGGUUCUUCAAAUCCAACGGCUCAUAUCUUUCUGAAAAGGGCAAGUUUUUCCUGACGUGGUACUCCAACAAGUUGCUUUUCCAUGGAGAUAACAUCCUUGAUGAGGCCAACAAGGCCUUUUUGGGAUGCAAGGUCAAAUUGGCUGCCAAGGUAAACUCAUUAAUUAGAAUGAGUACUAUUGUGAUCAUUUGUGUGACCGGUGAAAAGGCUUUGAUAUUAUGUUGUUGUGUUGAAAAAUGUGAUAGGUUUCCGGAAUCCAUUGGUGGUACACGGAUCCGAGCCACGCAUCGGAGCUGACUGCAGGGUACUACAACUUGAAGGAUCGGGAUGGGUACCGACCGGUGGCGAGGAUGAUGUCAAGGCACCACGGACUUGUGAACUUCACUUGCUUGGAAAUGAGGAACACUGAGCAGCCCGCCAUGGCCAAGAGUGCUCCCCAACAGCUUGUCCAACAGGUUAUAAGCUCACAUACGUAAUGAGAUAAAAAUUAUAUGUGAAAAAUUAAUGACAAGUGACUUCUUUGAUAGGUUUUGAGUGACGCGUGGAGAGAAGGGAUCGACGUGGCGGGAGAGAAUGCGUUGGCAAGGUACGACGCCGGAGGAUACAACCAGAUCCUUCUGAACGCUAGACCUAACGGGAUUCGCCCAUCAAAGGAUGGGGAGAAAAAGUUGCGGAUGUAUGGAGUUACAAUCCUCCGUCUGACGGAUGAUCUGUUGGAACAGAAGAAUUUCGAUGUGUUCAAGAAGUUCGUAAGGAGGAUGCAUGCCAACCAGGUAUGUAUAUAGUAACGAUACACACCUCAUUGGCUCGAGUAGCUUGACCGAUGAUGAAAAGGACUUUCGUAAUGUGUGGUAUUAUUUUCGUAUAGGACUAUUGUGGAGAUUCGAGCAAGUAUGGGCAUGAAAUCGGAGUUUUGGAGAGAUCUAAGGGCAAAUUGGGAAUGGAUGAGCUUAUGGAGGCAACUAAGCCAAUAGAGCCGUAUCCAUGGGAUGAAGAAACUGAUAUGCCUGUUGAGCCUGUAGGUUUAUUUGGCAAACUCCUUCAGAAAUUAUUUUCUCUAUUUUGCAGAUGAUUAAUUGACUGAUUAAUCUGUUUAAUUAUAUAUUUACAGUGACGAUUAUCUGAUACAAGCAUAAUAAUUAACUAUAAUCUGAAGAAGAAAAGCAUUAACAAUAGCUAAUCAAGCCAAAAUUUGGGUGAUAUUUGUUAGAUUUGUUCAAAUGUAUAUACAAAAUAAAUUUCUAAAAAAUUAAAGAAAUUUUUUAGAGACUACUGAUGGAAUCAUAUAAUAGGUUCAUAGUUUUUAAUAUUACUAAUCAUAAGCGAUAGAUAGUUUAGAUAAAAUGCUUUAUAUCGAAUAAUAAUACUGUAAUACGUAAUAUUUCAUUUUUUAAAACUAGUUAGUGUGCUAUAUCAUACAUUUGCUAUGUUCGAAACUAACCGUAAAUGAUAUAACAAGGCUAAUUAUAAAAUGACCACAUAAUCUUAAAAUAGAUAUCCACACAUUUAAAUGUUUUAAAUAAUUUUCAUAUUUUCUGCAUAUGUAAAUAUAUUUCAUUUUUGGUUUUGCAGUGAUCUGUUCGAUCUAUCAAGCAGUUCUUCUUCAAGACGCAUGACACGAUAUCGAGCAUGUACGCUUGCUUUCGAAAUUCGGCAGUGUUAUCUGUCAUGUCUAAUAAAGUUGUGUACUAGUUAAUGUGUGAUGUGUGUACCCAUCAUGGGGCUUAAAAAUAAAUAGAGAGUUGUUGGAGCCUCUUUCUAUAAAUAAAAUAAAAUAAAAAACCAAAAGGCAUAGAGCCAUUUGGUCCCUCUUGUAUUAAUGAUCAGCUAGUUUAUGCCCAACUUUUGCUAAACUACCAGUCAUUUCAACAAGAACACAACCCAUCUCUGAAGUGAUGGAACCUCCUGAUAUCACGCAUCACUAUCUCUCGACCCGUAACCUUCGAGAUAAGCUUCGUUACUUAGUGGCAAGCCUUGCAUACACGAAGGUUCUUCGUGACCCUUACGAUGGUUCCUGGACCGGUGUUCACUAGAGUAAACGCAAUCAAAGAGUUCCAAGACACUCUAUCUUUCUUCCUUGCAUAAUCCAUGAAACUACACUUGCAGUAAACUUCAACCAGUGAAUUCUCCAGAAAGGUAUUGUAAAGUGCAUGGCCAAGUUCUUACAACAUAACCAUGAACUUCUUUGCCUUGCUUCAGCAUAAAAAAUUCAGCACAAGAAGAAAGAAGACCAACCUCAUAGUAAACAUACAUUGAUUAUGCUCGUCUAUCGAUAGAUGUGAUAUGUGUGAACCGUAAACUUUUUCCAUACUAAAACAACAUAUGUCACACAACUAACCCUUAUCCAAUUAUUAGCUGUCACGAUUAUGUUCGUUUUAGCUGUGAACACUGCCUGGCCUCAUUACUGCUUAAAGAACUAGCUAAUCUAAUUAUUCUAUCUAUAAAAGGAGAACAUGAAUUAUUAUUGAAUAAGUAGUGUUUGAUUUUCUUAUAAGGUGUUUGAUUUUCUCAUAAGGGCUUUAUUUUGAGUUUACUGAGGCUUUAUUUUGAGUUUAUUGAGGCUUUAUUUUGAGUUUACGGGGUUUUAUUUUGAGCUCACAUAUUACUCUUUAAUUUAUGGGUCUUGUGGUAUUUUCCAUUCUUCAAUUGACAUACCUUAAAUUGUCUCGCACUUUCAUUUUGAUAAUAUGUUUUCUAUUAAAAAAAUCUAUCUAUAAAAAGAAAACAUUAAUUAUUAUUGAAUAAAUAUAAUAGUGGUAAAUGUUUUACUAUUGAUUGAAUAAUGUUGCCUAAUAACAAUGAGCUUCUCUACAACCAUUUUUAUAUGAGCUCUCAUUUCCACCCGCAUAAGCCCUAGAUCUCCAAUUUAGAUAGGUUAAAAUUGAAAAUUCAUAUUUGGAGGCAGCUCCAUUCUCUGUCACUAAUGUAAUUCGGCAUCCCAAGUUCAAAAUUUAAAUUACCGAUCCCGAAUUAAAAAUUGUGAAUUCAAUUUUGAGAAUUCGGGAGUUCGAGAAUUUGGGAGGCGGGAAUUCAGGAUUUCACAAAUUCGGGAACAGGGUCUUAUUCUCGUCCCUUUUUCAACCCCCUAUCCAUGCAAUAGUUGAGCCGCUAAACGAGCGGCUCUAAUGAUUUGUUUGUUUACUCGACUCUAAAUGAAACUUUCUUUAAGUUUCUUAAUUAAUUUGUCCUUAAAAUUUGUUUAAUCAACAUAUCAACAAUAUUACUAACAUCAUUUUGUCACAUAUAUCAUUAUAUUUUUUGUAUAACUUAUCACCAUGUCAUUUUUCGUUACAAAUCACAGGCUAUUUUUAGUGUUACUUUAAGAUAGCAAGUAAGGAAUUCUCACACAAACAAGCCACAAGUAAAGAAUUUUUACACCAACAAGCCACAAGUAAGGAAUUUUCACCCAAAAAAAGCCAGAGAAAAUCCCUUACAAAAUAUUCGAUCAUCAAUUGGGAAUAAUAACAGUUUCUAGGCUCUUCAUUGAUCUCCUAUAAAUACAACCCAUGCAUCAACCAAGGAGUUCUCAACAUCUUAUGGCUACUUUCUGAAAGAAGAAACAUUUCUUAGCAGUUCGAUCUCGAUUCGACUUCGAACCAUUAUGCAGGCUCCAACUUACGACGAAAAGAUGCUAUUGAACUACGUCCCAACUUUCGUUAUGCUCCCUGUAAGUAACAUAUAACAACUGAUCACUAGCUAGCUGUCGAUAUGUAACAAUAACCAUCUUGUUUUCUCCAGUUGGGAGUCGUCACGCGUGACAAUGUCUUCGAGAACAAGGAAGAAGUGGAGAAGCAACUGAAGAAGCUGAAAUCGGCCGGGAUAGAUGGAGUCAUGAUCGAUGUAUGGUGGGGGAUCAUCGAAGCCAAGGGGCCUAAACAGUACGACUGGAGUGGCUACAGGGAGCUUUUCGAGUUACUCAAGGAACUGGACCUGAAAAUCCAAGCUAUAAUGUCUUUCCACAAGUGUGGUGGCAAUGUUGGUGACAAUGUCGUCAUCCCUCUCCCCGAUUGGGUCCUCAAAGUCGGGGA